rnacentral:lncRNA from 1 species
CUCGGUUCAUUGGACAGCUUUAGAAGGCAAAGGUGUUGUCUGGAUCUGUGGACUUCUGAUUUUUCGGUCGCAUUUGGGGCGAGAGAAAAUAAUUUAUGGACAGCUUUGCAUUCAGUCUAUGUUGUGUGUUCAUUACCAUUUGUUCUUUCUUCAUCCUCUCGAGAUUUUGUGUUGUUGCUUAGGGUUAAUUACCCAAAGGCUUCAUAAACAAGCUAGGACCAUGUCCUAAGUUCGAAUUCAUAUGUGUUGUACUAUUGUUAUAGAAAAGCUAAUGGACCUAUGAAGAUUGAAGAGUCACUGCAUUUUCUGUUUUCUUGCAUGUCUAAGAAGUUAUACAGCUGUGAAUAUAUUGUUUCUUUUCUUUCAUACCACAGCUAUGACUCAUUUCUCGUAAAAAGGAGGGUCUCCGAUUCUUGGUUCUGCCAUAAUAAUUUUAUUCCCAUAUGAUCACUCGCUUGCUAGAUUAUUAAUUUUAGAUAAUGUCUCGCUUGCAUCGUUAUGGUGUUGUCUUGUUGAACUUCAAAGAAUCAAGCACAUUAUAGCACCCAAAAUAAAUAAAUAAAUAAUCAAGCACAUCUACUUUCCCCCGUUGAACUAAUUUGGGCUCACUUAACCCUAAGUCAGCCACACCUAGCCCUUAUCUGAUUUUUGGAAGGGCAGGAUUAACCAAAAGAAUCUGCAAAAUUCCAUACGCUUUGCUGUUAUAAAGUGUAUACCAGUACAAUUUUAGUUUAGAAAUAAGAAAGAUCACAAUUGUGAAAGAAAAAACAUAUUUUUUUUAAUAUUGCACAGGUCACAAAUUUUUAUAUUUUCAAAUCAACAUUAAUAUGCACCAUUUUUUUGAACUAACAUUCAAUAUGCAUCCUUAAUUGCACGUAGCACAAUCGUUUUUUCAGAAUUUUGUAAAAUGUAUAAUUUUGCUUUUCAAUAAGCAGGGGAGGGACACUAAAAAAGCGAAGAAAAGAUCAGAUCGAUGUAAUUUAGAUUUAAAAAGGUUUUAGAAGAAAACAAUGAACUUUAUGUAUUAAUUUGAUUUAUACAAAAAGAGUUUGGAAAGGGGCAACACACCAGUCACACACCACACCUCCAGAAAAGGAGACAUAGAAGAGGAAGAAGAAAAAUAGGAGAAAAAAUAAAAAAUGGCAUCUUCUACCUCAUCCUCUGCCUUUCUCCUCCUCCAUGGCCUCGCUUCUGCUUCUCCCUCGAAGGCUUCUGCUUUCUUCGCUUCCCCCAUCAGCCCCUCCUUCCCACUCUCGACCUCCACCUCCAUCAACGCGUCCUCUCCGCGGCGGCCCUUGCCCCCUGCUCCUCGCGCCACCGGCCGCGGCGGUGACAAGGACAACCGCGUGCAGGAGCUGAGGGUGCCUGAUUCCUGGCUCACGCCCGGAGGAGCAGCGCAGGUUCGCAUCCAUGAUUCCACCUCCGUCAUCUCCAUCCCGUUCAUUUAAUCUUGUAGCGGCACCUCCUGGAGUAGCUCGAAAGUUUUAUGUACGUAGCUCCUGAACUUAAAAUCCCUGUUAUGGUCUUAUGGAGGAGCUCGAAAGUUGUUAUGCAGUGAUCUAAACGCUUUUAUAUUUUCAAUACAAAGGGAGUACUUCACAAAGCUACUCCCUCCGUUUCAAAAUAGAUGACCUAACUUUGUACUAACUUUAGGGAGUAGAUUAUUUCUCCUGCUCCUGUUUCUGGACUGUCAUUAGCUCAAGUUUAUUUACACGCCAUUUGUACAGUCAUUGAACAAGGCCACCUCCAUCUUUCCACCUCUUACCAGGAAUCCGAAUGGCUGAGGGGAACGCUACACAAGUGGCUGGACGACGAGUACUGCCCCGAGCCGGCCAACGUGGACAUCAGCAACACGGCCGCAAGGUCGUACCACGAGUCCCUCACGGCGAAGCAGUCUGAUGUGGGGGAGAUCCUGAUGAAGAUGGUCGGAGAUCUGCAGGAGCUGUCGUACCAGGAGAGCUUCCACGGGGCCUUCUCCGCCGCCAACGCCGCGGUGCGCUUGAUAACGCAGAGGAUGGAGUCGUCAGCCGGUGAGUGAUCGUUGACAGACAGAGCUAGCCGAACCGGCAAUGGGUGGCUCAAGUUGUCUGGCUGCCCCGACCAUCAUUGUGUUUAGUGGUCGAACGGGAAGGCAAUCUGCUUUGUUUCACUGCAGAUUAGCUUUGUGAAUUACCUGGCGUUGGCAAGUGGUCUGUUCAAUUUGAAUCAAAGUGACAUACCGUGUCCUGCUCGACCGAUGUUAAUAGUACGUUCUUCUAUGUCGCAUGUUGUUAAUUCUGAGCAAACGAACCAACUUGUGGUUGGAUGAUGGUUAGAGGGACAAUGGUAUUCCCAGCCUAUCAGAAUUCAAGUUCUGGUGCUCGCAUUAUUCUUGAAUUUGUUUUAGGAUUUUCCGCGCUGUGCUUUCAGUGGAAGGAGACGUUCCUCUCGACGACGAGGCGCUCACGGGGCGCUCACGGUGACUUCAUAAUUCUCAAGAUGAUAUGAUAGUUCAGUCUCUUGAAGGUGCUCACAGAGAUAGGGUAUGUGUUCAUAGGAUGAGUGUAUGCGUUUAUGUCUGUACGUGUUUAAAAAAAGGCGACAGGCGUCCCGCCUCCCCCUCCUCACACACACACACCAUGCUGCCACCGACACCCCUCUCUCCAGCUCCUUCCCUCGCCGCAGGCAAAGCUUGCCUAGUGAUAACAGUGGCGGGGUCUCUCCCCGUUGCGCAGUCCGUUGCAUGCGGGACCUCCUGGCUGUCAACCCGACGUUCGGGCGUUCCGGCGACGCGUCUCCCGAUGGCCUGGCGGUACCUCUCCUCACCCCUUUUCGCCCCUCCGCCGUCACUAGUGGUUGUCCGUGCGGUGCCUUCACCCCUAGCCCUCCCUCCCCGACCUUCAGUUGCCUCGAUUUCGGCGUCCUCCUGGCAGCGGCAGCUUGGCACGAUGAUGCUCCGCCUCCGCUCUGUUGGUCGUGGUGGUGUUGUUGGCAGCGAAUCCAGGGCUCCCCUGGCCGGAUUUGGUUCGCGGUGGUUGCUAGUGUUGGUGGCGAUCAUUCAUGCAGGUGCGCUUGACGGUUUCCGGUGUCACCAUCCUCGAUGACGGGUGCGGCUCUCUUUCCAACGGUGGCAGUUCUGCUUGUGAUAGUUCUCCACGUCUUUGUUUCCUAAUCCAGCAGCCUUUGGGAUUGUUUGUUCAUAGGCCGGGGCGACCAUGGCUUCUCUUUGUGCCUUUUUCGAGUGCCGGGUAAAACCCUAGGUCCGAUUCAUCGGAUCAGGCAACAACGGUGUCUCGACGUCGUUCCCUUCAUGAAGGUGUUGUUUUGGUUGCUCGUGGUGUGCUUGGUCUUGGAUUUGGAGAUAUUGAAAGCUAUGAUGGGUUUGGACCGCUCCUCAAGGUGUGCGCAUCCGGGACACAAUGUAUGACAUCGCUAGCGCUUCUUUCAAUGCUUCUCCCUCCGGUUCGGCCAAGUCCUACAACUCCCUUAUCGAUCCUCUAGGAGCUUGAGAUGAGAUGUACGUUUUUUGACUGGGAUGUACGUUGAUCCAGUCAGCCUUGGAGUCGUGACCGUGCGGCUGAGUUUUUAUCAUUUAUAAUUUUUGUUGUUUUGCUUUGUUUCUUGUUUUUGCAUUAUACAUUUUUUGUAUAUAUCAACAACAUUUUUUUAAUACAUAUUCAACAUUUUUCCAUUACAAAUUUAACCUUUUUAAUACAUAAUCAAAAGAAUUCUAUACAAAAAUUUUAAAAAAAUUCAAAUGCUUGAUUAACAUUUUAAUGCAUAAUCAACAUUUUUCUUAUCAACACUUAAAAAAAUUUCAAAUGCUGGAUUAAAAUAUUAAAUACAAGUUUAACAUUUUUACAAUACAUGAUCGACAUUUUUUCUAUGCAUGUUUAACAUUUUUCAAAUGCUUUAUCACCAUCUUUUCAAAUGCAAGAUUAACAGUUUUUUGAAUGAAUGGUCAACUUUUUUCUAUACAUAUUUAACAUUUUUUAAAUGCUUGAUUAACAUUUUCUAAAUCCUGUUCAACAUUUUUUUUCAAAUGCUUGAUUACAAUUUUUAUAUACAAUGAUCAUUUUUUUUCCUUUUUAAUGAGUGGUCAACUUUUUCUCUAUACACAUUUAACAUUUCUCAAUGCUUGGCUAACAUUUGUGAAAUACUUGUUCAAUAUUUUUGUGAGAGCCUGACUUAAUAGGAAUGAUAGAUUACUCAUAUCAACAAGGAAUUUCAUCUUUUCCGGGAGCCCAUUCGAAAAUAACUCCAAAGUUAAGCGUGCUUGGCUUAGAGUAAUUCUAGGAUGCGCGACCGACCGAGAAGUUGGUUCCGGGUACGCAUGAGUGAGGACAAAGUGCACAUGAAAGACUAGUGUUGAUCUGUGAGGCCAGUCUAGAUCCCAAGUGUAACGGCCGGGAACCGGUGGCUAUGGCCAGGGCGUUACAAUUUUUUUCAAGUUCUUGAUUAAUAUUUUUAUUUACAUGAUCAAAACAUUUCAUCAUUAUUUUCAUACAUGAUCAACAUUUUUUAUACGCAUUUAACAUUUUUUAAAUGCAUGAUCAACAUUUUCCAAAACAUUAUGUAAAGUACAUUUUGGUAAUAUAGAUGUUGAUAAUAUUUCAAAGUGUAAACAAAAGUAAAAAAGGAAUAAAAGCGAAAUAUAAAGAGAAAAAAACAGAAAACAAAAUUAGGCAGUGUACUACCGCAAACUGGGGUGGCCAUAUGCUUGCGCGUCAGCUAGUCGGAAGCUCGAAUCGCUGAACGCGAGACAUAGGCGCGCCCCUGAAUCUCGGCCUCCGGCCCCUCAUUCUGGGCCAACCCACGGUCGCGAGGCUGCUUCUUCCCUUUUCUGUUUUUCUUUUUCUAUUUCUUAUAUCUUUUGUUUCCUUUUGUUUCUUUUCUUUCUUUCUUUAUGUUUCUGUUUUUGUUUUUGUUUCUUUUCCAUUUCUUUUUCUUUCCUUUUUUCAUGUAUUAUACAAAGUUCAUUUCAUGUUUAUAUACAAAAUGGUCAUCGUAUAUUUAAGGAAAUAUUCACCCUAUAUUAAAAACAUGUUCAACAUAUUUAGAAGAUGGUUGUUGUGUAUUUUUAUAUUGUGCAGAAUAUAUCACAGAAAUAUCCAAUGUGUAUUUAAAUAUUAUUCAGCAUAUGUCACAAAAAUGUUGAAUGUGUAUUUAAAUAUAGUUCAGUGUAUAUCACAAAAAUGUUCUAUGUGCAUUUUGAAAAUCUUUCAGGGCAUGUUUCCAAAAUUUUCAGCAUAUAUAUAAAAAAUCGAUAAAUGUUCAGAAUUUCAAAAAAAAUGUUCAUGUUUUUCAUUUUUUUGUUCACUAUUUUUUUAAAAAAAAUCACGUUUAAAAGUUUGUUUGAAUUCGAAUUUUGUUCACAAGUUUUUAAACAUUAUUUACGAUGUUUGUCAACUUUUAUGAAAGAAUAGCAUGAAUUAUUCAGAAAAAUUCAAAAUAAAUUCAGUUCUGCCGCUGCAAUUGGUACUUAAAGUCUGGCGCUGCGAAUGAACCGCUAGAACUCAUAAGGUCUAUUAGUUAGGAACACGUGAUAACAAAUGGGACGUCGUCAGUUCGAUCUCGCUCAUGCAACACUUUCGUGGUGAUUUUUUUUCCGCGCCUCGAGUUCGUUAGCUCCAAAUAGGCCACCCAUUCGCGGCUGCAUUCAGCGAAGGCUCAACAAUUUACCACCCGCGGGCAGUAAAUAGGGUCUUCCUGGCGAUCGAACGCAAGUUAUCGGGGUCUAAAAUUUGGUAGAUUUUUGGCUGUCAAUUAAAAGUGAUAGUUCUGGAGACACAAACCACCUCAAGCACCUCUUGAGUCCAGCGACCAAUUUGCACGCAAUGGACAAGUAAAUGACCAUGGAUGACUUCUACUCUUAACGAAUCUCACAAUGUUGUUUGUACACGCUCAUAGACUAACCCAGAACACAUCACAAUGUUGUUUGAUCUAGUGAUGUGCAAGUUCCAUUCUUUUGUGCGAGAAGUGCAAGCGAUCUCAAAGUUGACUUGUAGAGAUGCGGCAAUGUGUAAACGCUGGCGGAUUAGGGAGGUACAGAGUUGCGCGCCAAUUUAAACUCUCAAAUGAUAAGUGCCAGCGUGUGGCACGAAGUAAUCCUGCCUUGAUAUUUUUUAUAACUAAAGUUGCCAUUCGAAAAGAAAAGCAAAUCGAAAAAAACCCCCCUAAAAACUCGCCAUCUGAAGAGAAAGUUGCCAUGCCAACUAAAUUUGUCAUCUUCACGUCAUUAAACUUGCCAUAAAAAACGUUUAGAGUUGUCAUGUGUUUGUGCCACACGUGUGUCAUUUAUCAGGGUCUUAAAAUCCCAAAUGAUAGGAGCAACUCCAACGGGGUGACCCAAACGGACAUCAAUUUUGUCCGCUUUUCGUUCGGGUCGCCCGUCCGCUCGUCCAUGUCCGCUUUUUUAAAUGGGUCAGCGGUGGGCCCAACGGAGGCAGACGCUUUUUUAUCAUGUCCGCCACGACAUUCCAUCAAACACGUAGCAGGCAGGGAGGAGGACGAGCCCACCAUAGCGGAGCACGGCCGCCGAAGAAGCACGAGCCCACCACGCCGGAGCAUAGGCGCUGGAGGACCAGAGGAGAACGAGCCCGCCUAUCCUCUGCUGCUAAGGAUACAAUUUUACCCAUGGACAUGGAUACCCAUGGAUAUCCAACCCGAAUGAAUAGGGUUUGGAUAUGCUUUUGUGUCCAUGGGAGAUGCCCAAACCCGACCCGAUUGCUCGUGGAUAGGGCAUGAAUAUAAUCUUGUACCCGUGGAUAUACCCAAACCCGACCCGAUAGUAUGACUUAAUGGGCAAAAUCUGCUAUCCCUGCCCCACAGUCACAUGUACCACUGCAAUUUUACACUUUGUUAUCUAAAACAUGCAAAAAAAAUUGCACAAUCCCCAUCGUAACUUCUAUUAGUUGACAUUUAAUCCCCUCGUAACAUACUACAACGCCCCUUCCCUUAUUAUUAUCACCUUGCUAAAUGACUCGUCAUUCUCAUCUAUUAGAAAAAAAUACUAAAUGAUCUUAGGUUGUUAGUGGACGUUGAUUUACCAUAAGUUGAUGUUUACCAUAAGUGAGGCCUAGCCUGUCAGGAGGUGAAGACUGGAAGAGCUUAUGUUAAGAUUGUGUUAUGUCUUAUUUAUAUGUCUCGAGAGGACCCAGUGGAUAUCCAGUGGGUAUGGAUAUCCAUCGGGUUUGGACAUGGACAUAAUUUUUUACCCAUGGAUUUUUUCAUGGGCGGGCAAAGAGUGCAUUCAUGGAUAUGGAUAUGGAUUUGAUAUUGUUCAACCCGAUCCAAACCUGACCCAUUGCCAUCCUUAUCUGCUGCUGUUGUGCGAGCACAGGCGCUGGAGGAUGACGAGCCCGCCCGUCCUUUGCUGCUGAUGUGCGGGGAGCGGGCACGGCCGGGCGCGGCCAGGAGCUCGACAAGGUGAGGCGAGGCCAGGACGAGCGCGGGCGAGGCGAGCGUGGGGCAGGGCGAGCGGCGGCGCGGGGAGGCGAUGCCGAGGGCGAGCGCGGGGGGAGGCGAGGCUGGCGUCGUCUCUGUGCAGUCGCGGCGUCGUCCUGUGUGGUUGCGGCGGCACGGCGGGCAACUCGGCCGGUGGCUAGCUAGCUAGCACCCGCGACAUACAGCUCGGCCGGCGGCUAGCUAGCUAGCUAGCACGGGUGCGGCUCCAACAAGCAGCCCGUGCUGCCUGCUAGCUCGCAACGGAGGCCAAAGCGGCCGGUGGCGGGCCGCUGUGGGGUGGAUGGGAGAAAGAAAGAAAAAGAGAGAGACGGGGGUGGAAUGGGUAGGUGGCCUCUCGCUGACAGAUGGGCCAGUGCCCGCAUGCAGCGGACGGAGGCGAACGAGGAGACCAUAGAAAACGUCCGCCGCGGAUCAAAUGUGACCCAAAUUUAAGCUAGAUAUGAGUCCAAGCGAACACAAAACGAAUAGCAGACGAACGCUAUGCCCGUUUUGGUCGCCUUGUUGGGCCAAGUUUUGGUCGGAUGACCUAAACGGACAAAAUGGGUCACCUCAUUAGAGUUGCUCUAAGUGCCACACAUGUAUGCGAGUCUAGUUCCACCUCCAUGCACGUCAUGAACGCUAUAGUAGCUUAUUAGAGCAUCUCCAACAGCCGCGCAACGCGCCGCGCGCAAAAAACGCAUUUGCCGCGCGCCGUUUGCCUGGUUUGGCGCGGCCGGUAGCGCUGCCUCCAGCAGACGUGUCAAAAUUGAGCGCGCGCGCGUAGCUCCAGCGGCCGCGCUAAAAUGCAGCGCGCGCUAAACAUUGCGUACAUUUUUUUAAUAAACGAUAAAUAAAAUUCAUAGAUAGAAAAAACGAUACAUAGAUAUUUUACACAGUUCCAUAACAUAGAUAGAUAAAAACUACUAGAUAGUGCAACGACAUAGAUAAAAACUACUAUAUAGUGCAACUACAUACGCAACUACAGCCUACGCCCAGUCGUUGUCGUCAUCGUCAUCGUCGCCAUCCUCGCUGGUCUGGUCCGAGGUAUCUAGCCACAUGUCGUCCCAACGAUCAUCAUCAGAAGUAAAGAUCAUCUGCCCACCAUUCUCAACGAUGUCGCACUGCGAUAACGCCAGGGCCUUCCGCCGACGCCUGUCCAACCGCUCAUCGCGGCGCCUUUGCGUCUCCUCCUUGCGGCGCCUUGCCCAGUAGGCUUGCUCGUAGGUGACAUCCUCCGGGUAGCGCUGGCGCCACUCCGCCAUGACCCGCUCGUCCUCAUGGGCGACGAGGAGACGGCGCUGCCGCUCAGCGUGCUCCGCACGCUCUUGUGCCGUGCGAAGACGAGGCGGCGGGGCGACGUCCAGCGCCUGCUGGAGCGUGUGGACGUCGUGGAAGUUCAUCUGCGUGCGCGGCCUGCCUAGGCGCCACGCCGCCGCGUCGUACGCGCGGGCGGCCUCUUGCGCCGUCUGGAAGGUGCCGAGGCCGAGCCGGAGUUUGCCGGGCCGUAUCUCGGAGUAGAACCCGCCGUUGGGGCGCUGGCGGACGCCGCGGUAGCCCGACGCUCCUCGGCGGCGCGGCGGCAUGGUGGCGCGUCGGUGGCACGCGUGGCAGCGGAAGCAACCGAGGAAGCGGUGGAGGCGUGCGUGGCAGCGGAAGAGGAAGAGAAGUGUGCGGAAUAGGCGCGUGACGAGCGCCGCAAUUUAUAGGCGCGCCGGAAGCGGUGCGCCAAAAAUAGCGCGCGACCUGCCGCCUUUUCCCGCGCGCGCGCAAACGGUUCCCGCGCGCGACUUUCCCGCCAUCGCUAGAGCGCGCCGAAUCGUCCCGCGCGCGCUAAAAACUCGGUUUACCGAUGCGCGACUGUUGGAGAUGCUCUAACUGUUGGAGAUGCCAUGGUUUGACUGCUGCCAUGCACGCAAUGACGCUAUCCAUAUAUAUGCACGCCAUAUAAGUAUUGUUGUUGUACACUCAUACCCUAACGCUGAACUGUCCUUGACCUCCCGUACCGACCUUGUGAUGUGCAAGUUCCAUUGUUUUGUGCGAGAAGUGCAUGCGAUCUCAGAGAUGACUCACAUAGAUGCGGCAACGUGAACAAGCUGGAGGAUUACGGAGGUACAGAGUCGCAAGCCAAUUUAAAAAUUAUUGCUGCCAGUAAUCUAUUCCACCGUCCGAGGCUAGUUCCACCUCCAUGCAUGCCAUGAACGCAACACUAUCUUAAAACUGUUGGAGAUGUCCUGCCAUGGUUGACAGCUGCCUGGUUUGAGUUAGUAUAACUGACAGCGAGGACGUCUGUACGCGUUGCAUGUUGAGGGUUUCCCACCCCACCUCUCUCCCCAUGUAUAUAUAUGCUACCGUAGGAGCGAUCGCUCCGUAGUAGGAGUACGUGGCUAGCGAGUAGUCAGAAUGGGCUCUCGUAUUGGGAUGGUGGUCUCUCGUGGAUUGCCUUGCGUCCUGCUCCUGCUGGCUUGUUGCUGGCUGUGCGAAGCCGGUGCAGGGUUGGCUCCGGCGCUGUACGUGCUCGGCGAUUCGCAGGCGGACGCCGGGACCAACAACCACCUCGUGACGGUGCUCAGGGCGGACCACCCGCAUAACGGCGUCGACUACCCGGGGUGCAAGGCCACUGGCAGAUUCAGCAACGGCAAGAACUUCGUCGACUUCCUCGGUGCGUAUGUAUGCCUUAAACAGUUGAUGUCAAGUCUCUUUUCUCAUCAGACUUUUAAACUGAGCAUUGCUUCGAGGAGAGUGAACCUGUAACUUUUGCAUUUUUUAUGGGCAUCGGCCGGCCGGCGAGAUGAUCAUCAAGUGGUGAGGGAAUACGUGCGUGCAUGAUCUUUAAUGUUGUACUCCCUGUCCCUGAACAUGGCAUUGCUGAGUACUAGUUGACCAAAGUUAGUUUUAUACUCUACUAGUACUUGAAUUGAUUAAAACGACGAUCUUCUCAACUAGCACUGAGAGCCUCCAACGCGUUGAUCUAAAUGAACGCGUACUUUAUCUGCUCUUUGUUCGUUUGGAUUAGUCGCCCACUAGGUGUUCCUUCUGUUUUUAUUUGGAUCGGCAGUGCGUUCAACGUGCCGAUCCAUAUUUGCCCACGCGACUAGCUUGGCGCUGUUGUUCCACAAAUAUACACACAUUUUGCAUAGUUUCACGAGCAAACAAAUGUAGCAUAGUUCCACAACCCAAAUAAAUACUCCUCCUGUCCCAAAAUAAGUGUCUCAACCUUAGUUCAACUUUGUACUAGAGUUAGUACAAAGUUGAGACACUUAUUUUGAGACAGAGGGAGUAUAUCAUAGUUUAUAAGCCGAAUAAAAAUUAAAUUAUCUUAAAUACAUUUUAUAAAAGAUAUAUCUAUUGGUUGCCAACAUGAGCCUACAUAUGCUCAACUAGAUCAUCUUGCAGCUGAAUGUGAGUUUUCCAAUCACGCAUUUGAUGAUGGAAUUUGGUGAAAGGUGCAAACAUUGCCGCUCCUCCUCCAUGCUCAUGCACAACAUUGUCACCCUGAAACUGAAACCCUUGAUCGUAGAUACGUUCCGGGCGCUCAUCCUCUACGAUCAUAUUGUGCAUGAUCACACAAGCAUUCAUCACCUCCCACAACUUCUUGGUGCUCCAACUUCUAACAGGAUACCGAACAAUGCCCCAUCGAGAUUGCAGAACACCAAAAGCAUGCUCGACAUCCUUCCUAGCACUCUCUUGCUCUUGGGAAAAUCUCCUCCUCUUCUCUCCGACAUGGUUGGGGAUUGUCUUCACAAUAGUGGCCCACUGAGGAUAGAUACCGUUAGCUAGGUAGUAUCCUUUGUUGUAGUUGUGGCCGUUGAUGUUAACAUUCACCGCUGGGUUGUUGCCUUCGGCAAGUCUUGCAAACACAGGCGAGCGUCGAAGCACGUUGAUAUCAUUGUGCGAUCCGGCUAUGCUGAAGAAAGAGUGCCAGAUCCAGAGAUCUUGUGAGGCCAAGGCCUCAAGUAUGAUAGUGCAAGCCCUGACAUGGCCCAGAUACUGCCCUUGCCAAGCAGAAGGGCAGUUCUUCCACUCCCAGUGCAUGCAGUCUAUGCUGCCAAGCAUCCCUGGGAAGCCCCGUUGGCAUUGAUCGCCAACAAGCGGGCUGUAUCUUCAGCAGUCGGCUCUCUCAAGUACUCAGGGCCAAACACUGCAAUCACAGCCUUGCGGAACAUGUACACGGACUCUAGGCACGCAGACUCGCUCAUACGGAUGUACUCAUCAAUGAGAUCAUCGGGCACUCUGUAUGCAAGCAUCUGGAUAAUUGCAGUGCAUUUCUGAUAAGAGGAAAAACCAAUCUUUCCAAAGGCAUCCUCCUUGCACUCAAAUACUUAUCGUAUCCGACCACCCCCUCUUGAAUACGGUUGAAAAUAUGCCUAGCCAUACGGAAACAGAGCGUGGCGGCGUCAGACGAAGGAGCUGGCCGGGGCCGUGGGGGUGACUUCGUGCUCGCGGCGUCGUCGGGGUGGGGAGCUACGGUUGCCCUGCGGCGAGGCGGUGGUGGCGGCGACGUGGGAGGUGGCGGUGUGCGUGGGAGGUGUGUGGGCGCGAACUGCUGGCAGGGACACCGGAACUGGGCGGCGGCGGCGACGGGGUGGAGCGGGCGAGGGCUUGCUGUCAAUGGGGAUAGAAGAUAAUGGCCAAUGUGCCACCGACUGGUGGGCCAGGGGGAGGAGUAGGCGCGUGUUGCGCGCGUCCGCUUCAUGUCCGCGCCGAUGCAAAUGAGACCUAAAAUUUAGGCCAGGAAUGGGUCUUCAGGCAGACGAAAAGUGGGCGCGCGUCUGUUUAGUUGACGCGUUGGGCCGAUUUUUCUAUCCGCGGCGAUCCAGACGAACACGAGCAGACGAAAUGAAUCGACGCAUUGGAGUUGCUCUGACCAAGAUGUUUAAAGGAACAACUGGAAGAUCACGGGAAUGAAACACGAAACAACUAGAAGAUCACCAUAAUGAACUGUAGUAGGGGUUCCCUGAUAUUUUCUGAUAACAGAAUAAUGCCUUGUUAUGCCAUAAUACAAUGCAAUACAAUACCCAGUUAUUUGUACGAUGCAUAUACUUACUAGACAUGUAUGCACUCUGUUUUUCCUGAUUAUGCUUCUUAUUCCUGCCAUUACAGCUGAACAUCUGAAGCUGCCGAGCAGCCCUCCUCCAUACCUGUCCAUCUGCAACGCCCCAAGCAGCAAUUCCAUAUAUCUGACUGGUGUCAACUUCGCUUCAGGAGGUGCAGGGGUAUCAAAUCAAACAAACCAGGUAAAAUGGAGAUACUACGUCGUACGCACUAGCACUACUGGAUGACUAAUUGCGCUGGUUUCAACACUUUAACUUCUUCUUCCAUAUGCCAUAUUAUUUCUUAAUUAUAUAUGCAUGCCAUGCAUGGAUCAACGUACAUACAGGGUCAGUGCAUCAGCUUCGACCACCAAAUCGAUCACCACUUCUCCAAGGUGAAUGCAUCACUGGUGCAGCAGCUCGGCCAGGCUCAGGCUUCGGCGCACCUGAGCAGAUCGAUCUUCGCCGUUGCAAUCGGUGGCAACGACAUACUCAACUACGUCCGUCCAAGCCUUGUGAACCAGGUGCUAAGCCCUUGUCCUCCAACUCAGUCUCCUGAUGAGUUCGUCGCCUCGUUGGCUCUCUCGCUGCAAGACCAGCUGCAGGUAUGGAAACUUUUUGGUUCAUCCUUUGCUUAUACAUUACAUAAGCUUGUUCUUGAUAUGUGCUUCCUUCGUUCAAUAGUAUAAAAAUAUUUUUUGCACUAGUGUAGUGUCAAAAAUUCUCUUAUAUGAUGGGACGAAAGGGAGUACAUAUUUCCUCUUCCAUUAAUUAUUUAAUUUGCACCGACGCAUGAGUACAUGAGUAUGCAAUCUGAAUUAAAACCUACAUGAAUGAUGAAUUGCAGAGGUUGUACAAACUCGGGAUGCGCAGGAUGUUCAUCAUCGGAGCAGCGCCACUGGGGUGCUGCCCGGUGCUGCGGGGGAAGGAGGAGUGCGACGCACUAGCAAACUAUAUGUCAUCUCAGUACAACAUCAAGGUGGCUUCCCUCCUGCGCGACAUGAGCGACAAGUACCCGGAUAUGCUCUACUCCUUGUUCGACCCAUCCAUUGCAAUGCUCGACUACUUCCAGCGACCAGAAGCAAACGGUACAACAGAUCGACGACCCACUAAUUAGUCAAACUGCCCGGAUGGCCCACUAAUCUGGCAACCGCUAAUCAUUCACCUGUUAAUUUGAUAUGUACUGUAGCUUAAUUUGAUGUUACGGUGAUAUAUACUGUAGGUUACAGUGUGGUGGAUGCAGCGUGUUGCGGGCUAGGAGGGGAGAAAAAUGCCAUGUUUAGCUGCACUCCGGCCAGCUCCCUCUGCAACAACCGGACCAACCACGUUUUCUGGGACUUUGUGCACCCCACGGAGAUCACUGCGCAGAAGCUCACGGCAGUUGCCUUCCAUGGAUCAGCACCCUUCGUGACCCCCAGAAAUGUUGGGCAGCUAUGUGACACUGCCAUGUAGGCAAUGCUGCGUCGAUUGCUCAGUCGCUGUUGUUUUAUGCAAACUACUGGGUUGCGACCUAACCUGCUGCUAUGUUCCAGUAAAUUUUCUUAUCUUUUUAAUGUGGACUACAAAUCUGCCUAGUUUAGAAGAUUUAUGAUUUAUGUAUAACUCUUUGUGUUAAUGGUUGCGUGCAUCAUCUGAUGUAGAGGCCGGGGGUAAACUCUCCUUUUCCAAAAAAAAGAACUCUUCAUGUUUCUGUUCACUAUAUAGGUACAUGAGAUAGAUUAGUACGUUACGAGGGGAAGCGGAUUAGGAGCACUCGGGUGCUCCAACCCCCUAUAUUCAAAAAUAAUUUAAUAAUUCAAAAAAGCCAAAAAAAUCUUGGAUAUAUUUUUGAAUCAAAUAUGAUUAGGUAUUGUACUCACAUAAAAUGUUUGGCCAAGGAAUAAUUCUCGUUGACUUCAGGGAAAAAACAAAUUUAUGACGACAAUAUAGCAUGAAUAGUACUUGUAUCUAGCAUUUUUUGGAAAUCUUUGACCCCGGAUACAAUAAAAGUCAUUUCCUAUUGAAAUCUUUUUAUACGAGUGCAAUACCUGGUCAUGUUUGUUUCAUAAAAAGUUCCGGGAUUUUUUUGAGUUUUUUUGAAUUACUAAAUUAUUUUUGAAUAUAGGGGGGCGUAGCACCUGAAAGCUCCUAUGCAUUUUCGGUUACGAGGAGACUAGGUUACACAACAGAAUCCUACAACACAACUGAAGCGAUGGACAUGGGGAUGUCGUACAAAGCGUGCGGCACAGUGUGCGCUCCGCGUCCUGACGAGAUAGUCCGGUAGGUUGAGAUGCACAAGAGGACGCGUUCCAACGGCCCAUCAAAUUCGAGAUCUGGACAAGGACUCGAGGAAGAGUGUUGUAGGCAGUACAUUGGUGAAAAUGUCGGCGUGCUGACAAUAGAAGGAACGUUAAGUACUCUGACAUUGACCGAGAAGUGCAUGGAUGAAUCCGAGUACAUAUGAACCCGCUUUGAAAACACAUUUCUAAAUACUAAAAAAAAUUAAAAAUGGUUGCAUGGGUACGUCUCCAUGUUUUAUGUGCGUGCAUCAAGUUUCACGGAAAAAUAACUUUUUUGUGGCCUGUGCAAAAAAGACAAAAAAUUGUGUCGUGAAACGCUAUUUAGAAGCAUUAAAAUUUAUCUUUUUGCGGAGGCAAACCAAAAAGACAUUUUUUCCACAAAACUUUGUGCCGCCCACACACAUUUGGCAACAUGUAUGCAUGAUUUUUUUUAAAAUAUUUUUUGACAUUUUAGAACAUGCUUAAAAUGCUUUUUUUUUCAAAAGUGGGUGCAGAUGCCCCUGCGUUCAGGACGUGCCCACUCGACAUUGACCAAGCAAACCUGUUGAUGGACAAAAUGGAAGAUUGAUCUACAGUGCUUCGGGCAUUGAUGGUGUACUAUUGGAGGAAAGGUAUGUAGCGAUGACAUUAUCGCAUUAGACAAUGGUGACGCAGGAGGGGGGGAUGAAGGUCACAUUAGACAACUAUGAUGCGGCUAGAGGGUGAAUCUUUUGAAGAAGUUGAUCGAUACACGAUAUAACCUCGUAUAUAUUUUGAACAUGUUACAUGGUAGAUACAUGGAUAGAUGAUUGGUACCAUCAGCCUAAUCAAGCCAAGUGUCUACAUGAUUUCGAAUCUAGUUAAUUAGAGAAAGUGCACUUAGGCCCUCAUUUGUUUUUUUGGUGAUUAGUGAUGUGUCAAUUGAGAUGACUAAUGUUUUCUAAAGUUUAUUUUAGGAACAUGCUCGAUAUUAAUGAGUGGAAACAUCAUUUGCGAACCUUUACUUUUUUGUGCUAACAUGUGGUUGGCCCUUAGAACUCAUACUUUAUACUACAUAUACUUUUGUUGGAACACCUAGGGCUUUACCUAUAUCAUAUUAGUAUCAUGGGCAAGGUUUCUCACAACUUAGAGCGCCUCCCCCCACACCUGUCUAGCCUAACUUUUUAUUAUCUACACCCAAUUUCAAAAAUCUCCAGCAAAAAUAGCCCUACCCAAUUUCUUGUAGUUUUGUUGGAUCUUGUGAGAUUUUGUUUGAUUUGAUCCAUAGAUUUGAUGUGUUGCAAGUAGAUCUGCCUUCCCAAACCCCCCCAUAGCUUUCGUGCACAAAUUCCACCACCAUAGCCCCAAAAUGUUUCUUCUCCACAAUCCAAUUUUGAAGUCGGAUGUCCCCAAAUUGCCAUGGUUGACAGCCCCCGGACAUCGGCCCUCCAAGACAUCCAACCCACCAUUUUGUUUCCUGUUUUUCUUUGCCAUUUCUUUCAUGGUUAUUUGAACUUGUGGCUUGCAUUUUAUAAGGUGUUUCAGCUACUUAGGGAUGACUACAUCAACAUCACUGCCAUUCUUCACCGCCAAGAAUUUGUCACGGACAACAUUCAUCCACCCUUUAACACCACAACCGGAAGCAAGGUCGUAUACCCUCCGACCGUGACAAAGGUAUAGUUGUUGAAGGUAUCUAUUCCAUCAACCACUAUCUCCCCUUGCCAUUUAACUUGAUAUCCACUAGCCAUUGCAUUAUCUUACCCACUCGAAUUUUGAAAAUUGUUGGGCCUCGUCACAUGUGCAUCGUAGUGAAGUGUUGCGUCAUAUCGCUUGCUAUAAGUUACUCCCAUGCAUAUCUUGAUUGCUUGCAUUUCAUUUGGCUCGAGCAUCAAGCAAUGUUGUAAAGGAUGAAUAUGAAAAAAACCUCUACGCAGAAGAAAAAGAUACAAAGAGCUUAUAAGCAAUAGCGUUUAGCAUCUUACGUACAUCAUCAUGCUACUUGUGAGCUGCAUUGGGAUUUUCCUCAAAGAGGAGAAGAGAUGCAGUACAAUAGAGAUAAGUAUUUCCCUCAGUAAGAACCAAGGUUAUCAAUCCAGUGGAAGAAUCACGCAAGGCCUCAUGAAAAUCACUUGCACACACAAAAGCAAAUACUUGCACCCAACGCGAACAAGAGGGUUGUCAAUCCCCUUGGCGGUUACUUGCAAGGAUUGAAUCUUGUAGUGGCAGAUAGAUAAAUUGCAAAGGUAAAAAAGGUAAAAAAUGCAGCAAAUAUAUUUUUGGUUUUUAUAUAUGAUAAAAGUAGACUCGGGGACCAUAGUUUUCACUAGAGGCUUCUCUCUCGAACACAUAGCAUAUGGUGGGUAAACAAAUUACUAUUGGGCAACUGAUAGAAAAACGCAUAGUUAUGAUGAUAUUCAAGGCAAUGAUCAUGUAUAUAGGCAUCACGUCCGAGACAAGUAGACCGACUCCUGGCUGCAUCUACUACAAUUACUCCACCCAUCGACCACUAUCCAGCAUGCAUCUAGGGUAUUAAGUUAAUAAAAACAAAGUAACACCUUAAGUAAGAUGACAUGAUGUAGACAAAGUAAACUCAACUAAUAUGAAUAAACCACAUUGUUUUAUACUUAAUGGCAAUAAUACUUACGUGUCUUGUCCCUUUAUGUCACUGGGAUAGAGCACCGCGAGAUUGAACCCAUCACAAAGCACCUCUCCCACUGAAGAUAAAUCAAUCUAGUUGGCCAAACCAAACAGAUAGAUCAGAGAGAAAUACAAAGCUAUAACAAUCAUGCAUAACAAAGUUCAGAAAAGACUCAAUUACUUCUCAUGAAUAUUCAGAUCAUAAACCCACAAUUCAUCGGAUCCCAACAAACACACCGCAAAAGAAGAACACCAAGAACAUCGAGGAGAACAUGGUAUUGAAGAUCAAAGAGAGAGAAGAAGCCAUUUAGCUACUAGCUAUGGACCCGUAGGUCUGUGGUAAACUACUCACGCAUCAUCGGUACACCUGUAAGGUUGAUGUAGAAGCCCUCCGUUAUCGAUUCCCCCUCCGGCAGGGUGCCGAAAAAGGCCUCCAGAUGGGAUCGUAAAAGAACAAAGACUUGGGGUGGCGGAAAAAGUAUUUCGGGCGGCUCUUUGUUGGUUUCUCAAUAUUUGAGAAUUUAUAGAAGUGGAAUUAGGUCAGACGGAGCUUGGAGUGGCCCACAAGGCAACAUGCCCCCUAGGCGCGCCGGGUUGCCUUGUCAUCUCCUCGUACAUCCUAUGGUCUACUCCCGAAGCUUCCAGGAUCUCUUAUGUCCAGAAAAAAAAUCAUCAAAAAGUUUUGUAGUGUUUGACGGAUUUUCUGGAAAAUAAAAAACAAGCAGAAAACACCAAUUGGCACUAGGCACUGGGUUAAUAGGUUAGUCCCAAAAAUUGAUAUAAAAUAGCAUAUAAUUGCAUAUAAAACAUCCAAGACUGAUACUAUAAUAGCAUGGAACAAUAACAAAUUAUAGAUACGUUGGAGACGUAUCAAGCAUCCCCAAGCUUAAUUCCCGCUCGUCCUCGAGUAGGUAAAUGAUUAAAACAGAAUUUUGACGUGGAAUGCUACCUAACAUGUUCAUCAUGUAAUCUCUUUUAUGGUAUGAAUAUUAAGAAAUCAAUGAUUCAAAGCAAUAGUAUAUAAUUUGAUAUAAAGACAUCGAUACUCAGACAUACGAGCAAACAAUCAUGCCUUUCAAAAUAAAAAUGCUAAAGAAUGCUAUCCCUAAAAAAUCAUAUAGCCUGUCAUGCUCGGUCUUCCUAACACAAAGUACUAAUCAUGCACAACCCCGAUGACAAGCCGAGCAAUUGGUUCAUACUUUUUAGUGCGCUUCGGCUUUUUCAACUCCCACACAAUACAUGAGCUCGAGCCAUGGAUAUAGCACUAUGGGUGGAAUUAAUAGAAUGUGGUGAUAGAGACCAAUAAGGGGAAGUCAAAAAGGAAGAUAGUCUCGCAUCGACGCGGCUAAUCAACAGGCUAUGGAGAUGCCUUCAAUUGAUAUCAAUGCGAGGAGUAGGGAUUUCUAUGCAACAGAUGCACUAAGAGCUAUAAGUGUAUGAAAGAUCAAACUGAAAACUAAGUGGGUGUGCAUCCAACUUGCUUGCUCAUGAAGACCUCGGGCAUUUUAGGAAGCCAUCAUCGGAAUAUACAAGCCAACUUCUAUAAUAAAAACUUCCCACUAGUAUAUGAAAGUGACAACUUAGGAGACUCUAUAUGAGAAACAUGGUGCUACUUUGAAGCACAAGUGUGAAAAACGAUAGUAACAUUGCCCCUUCUCUCCUUUUCUCUUUUUUAUGGGCUCUUUGGCCUCUUUUUUCAUCUGGUUUCUCAUCUCGACUUGUGGGGGAAUCAUAGUCUCCAUCAUCCUUUCCUCACCAGGACAAUGCUCUAAUAAUGAUGAUCAACACACUUUAUUUACUUACAACUCGAUAAGUAGAAAAAUAUGACUCUAUAUGAAUGCCUCUGGCAGUGUACCAGGAUGUACAAUGAUCUAGCAUAACAUGUAUAAAAAAUGAUGAACGGUGGCUGAGCCACAAGUACUAUGUUAGUUAUAAUUAUAUGAUCAUGCAAAGAAAUAUCACAAUGAUGAUGUCUGUCAUAUAAACAGAACGAUGGAAGUUGCAUGGCAAUAUAUCCCGGAAUGGCAAUGGAAUGCUAUAAUAGGUAGAUAUGGUGGCUGUUUUGAGGAAGAUAUAAGGAGGCUUACGUGUGAUAGAGUGUAUCAUAUCACGGGGUUUGGAUGCACUGGCAAAGUUUGCGCCAACUCUCGAGGUGAGAAAGGGCAAUGUCAGUACCGGAGAGGCUAGCAAAUUGCUAAAAGGUAAAAGUGCGUAUAAUCCAUGGACUCACAUUAGUCAUAAAGUACAAACAUACUUAUUGCAAAAGUAUUAGCCCUCAAAGCAAAGUACUACGACACAUGCCCCUAGGGGGAUAGAUUGGUAGGAAAAGACCAUUGCUCGUCCUCGGCCGCCACUCAUAAGGAAGACAAUCAAUGAUAAAUCAUGCUCCAACUUCAUUGCAUAACUAGAGACUAUACGUGCAUGCUUCGGGAAUCACAAACUUUAAAACCAAUAUUCUUAAUAAACCACAAUCGUUCACUAGUACCUCCCACAUAUAAUCACCUUAAUAUCGUAAAACUAUUGCAAGGAAUCAAACAUACCAUAUUCAGUGAUCUACAUGAAAGUUUUAUUAUAUCAUUCUUGAAUACCUAUCAUAUUAGGACCAAUUUCAUAACACGUGCAUAUUGCCAUUACUAUUUAUUAAACUCAAAAAGAUUUAAGUGAAGCAUGAGAGUGCAACUGUUUCUUUAAAAUAUAACCACCGCCGUGCUCUGAAAGAUAUAAGUGAAGCACCUGAGCAACUGCCUAGCUCAAAAGAUAUAAGUGAAGCACAUAGAGUAUUCUAACAAAUCGUGAAUAAAUGUGUGUCCCUCUCAAAAGGUGUGUCUAUAAAAAUAUGAUUGUGGCAAUCUAAAAAGAAAACAAAGCAAAAACUACUAUGGCACAAGACGCUCCAAGUAAAACUCAUAUCAUGUGAUGAAUAAAAAUAUAGCUCCAAGUAAUAUACCAAUGGUUUGUAGACGAGAGAGUGGAUGCCUUUCGGAGCAUCCCCAAGCUUAGACGCUUGGAUCUUCCUUGAAUAUUACCUUGGGGUGCCUCGGGCAUCCCCAAUCUUAGGGUCUUGCCACUCCUUAUUCCUUCAUCCAUCGUGACCUCACCCAAACUUAAAAACUUCACCACACAAAACUCAACAGAAACCUCGUGAGAUACGUCAGUAUAACAAGAAAAUCAUAAACUUUAGGUAUUAUUAUGAACCCAUUCAUAUUUUAUUAUUGCAUAAUAACUAAUUUAUUCCAACUCCUCCAUGACUUAUACCCCCAAUAUAUAUAAUCCAUAGAAUCUGCAAAACAAGCAAACUAUGCAACAAAAAUAGAAUCUGUCUAAAACAAAACAAUUUGUAAAGAUCUGAAUAAUGAUCAUACUUAUUGAACUCUAAAAAAUUCUGAAAAAUUAGGACAACAUUGGAAAUUUUUAUAUCAAUCAUGUGUAAAACAUUGAAAUCAAAAGCAUGUUCCAGUGAUUUUUAAGAAUUCUUGGACUAAGCGCAAAAGUUUAUGUUUUCGCAUAAUCAAGUCAACUAUCAACCAAAUCACCCCAAAGGAUUUACUUGGCACAAACACUAAUUAAAAUAUAAAAACACAAUAAUAAUGGUAGCACAAUUGUGUCAACACUCAAAAAACAGAAAAGAAAAAAAAGUAACUAUUGGGUUGCCUCCCAACAAGCGCUACUGUUUUAUGCCCCUAGCUAGGCGUAAGGCAUUGUUUCAAGUAUUGUCAUCUUCCAUGUUAAUUCCAUAGGUGGCCCUCAUAAUAGAUUCAUAUGGUGGCUUAAAUAUAUUUCUAGGGAAGUGUUCCAUCCCUUUCUUUAAUGGAAAUUGGAACCUUAUAUUACCUUCUUUCAUAUCAAUAAUAGCACCUAUGGUUCAUAGGAAAGACCUACCAAGUAUUAUAGGACAAGACAUAUUGCAACCAAUAUCAAGCACAAUGAAAUCAACGGGCAAAUAAUUUCUAUUAGAAAGAAUAAGCACAUCAUUUAUUCUACCCAAUGGUUUCUUAAUAGUGUAAUCCGCUAAAUGCAAAUUGAGGGAACAUUCAUCCAUAUCGGUAAGGCCUAGCACAUCACAUAAAGAUUUUGGUGUAGUGGAAACACUAGCAUCCAAAUCACAUAGAGAAUUACAUUCAUAAUAUUUAAUCUUUACUUUAAUAGUAGGUUCCCAUUCAUCAUGCAAUUUUCUAGGUAUUGAAAUCUCCAACUCUAGCUUUUCUUUAGGAGAUUUUAUCAUAGCUUCUACAAUAUGUUAUGUGAAGACUUUAUUUUGUUCAUAAGCAUUGGGUGAAUUUAUUAUGGAUUGCAACAAGUAAAUACAUUCAACUAAAGAACAAUUAUAAUAAUUAAAGUCCUUGUAAUCCGAAGUACUGUGCACAUCACUAUUUAAAGUCUUGACCUCUCCAAACCCACUUUUAUCAAUUUUAUCACUGAGAUCAUCACCCUCCCAACAAUUGGGAAGGCUUCUAGCUAAAGUUGAAUCAUAUCUAGUCCCUUUUCAUCAAGUUUUAUAUUACUAAAUAAAGAUUCAAUUGGUGAGACAACAACCAUUUUAAUAUCUUCAUCAUGAUUAAGAUAAAAACCGGGUGGAAUAGCCUUUUCUAGGAAUUCUCGCUUAGCUCUCAACCUAGCGGUUCUCUCCAUACUUUCAUUAAUAGAGAUUUGGAUACAUUUAAUAGACUCAAAUAUCAUGCUUGGGUGGCAAAAUUUUAAUUUAAGAGUAUCCACAUCAUGAGCAAUUAUAUCCAUGUUUCUAGCCAUAUCAUCAACUUUAUUCAAUGUUUCUUCAACCAUGGAAUUAAAAAUAUUUUGAGAACUAAUGAAUUAUUUAAUAUUGUUCUCAAGGUCAGUAGGUUUCCUAUUAUUAUUGUAUGAAUUACCAUAGGAAUUUGUUGGGGAACGCAGUAUUUCAAAUUUUUUGCCUACGACCACGCAAGAUCUAUCUAGGAGAUGCAUAGCAACAAGCCAUGAGAGUGUGCCUACGUACCCUCGUAGACCGAAAGCGGAAGCGUUUAGUAACGCGAUUGAUGUAGUUGAACGUCUUCGCGAUCCAACCGAUCCAAGUACCUAACGUACGACACCUCCGCGAUUUGCACACGUUCAGCUUGGUGACGUCCCUCAAACUCUUGAUCCAGUUGAGGUUGAGGGAGAGUUCCGUCAGCAUGAAGGCUUGGCGAUGGUGAUGAUGAAGUUACUGGCGCAGGGCUUUGCCUAAGCACUACGACAAUAUGACCGAGGUGUGUAACUGUGGACACUAGUAAAAAAAGACACAUCCGUGACAUUUUGGGCUGAACGAAAUUUUUUUCUGUCAUACAUAUGACACUUCUAUGACGAUAAUUGUGACAAAACCCGGUAUCAUCAUAGAUGUGGUGGGAUCCUACUUCUAUGACAAAAAAUCAUGACAGAAAAUGGGCUUUUCGUCCUGGGCGGGCCGGAGACGCAGCUGCAUGACAUUCUUUGGGCCGUCCAUGACGGAAAAAACCGUGGUAGAAGCGAGGGCGAGGAAAUUUCGGGGAGUUCCCGGUUACGGUGGGAGGUCGGGGGCCGAGCGAUGCGCGUUUCUCUCGUACACGUACGCGCGUGUGUGCGAGGCGUUGGCUCUAACUGAACCCGAGCGAGGCGUUGGGCUCUAACUGAACCCGAGCGAUUGCACUGCAGGCUACGCGUCACUGAACCCGAGCGAUCGAUCGAUGGCUGUUAACUGAACCCGAUCGAGCGAUUCCUUCGCUACUGCUGCUAACUGAAGCUGANNNNNNNNNNNNNNNNNNNNNNNNNNNNNNNNNNNNNNNNNNNNNNNNNNNNNNNNNNNNNNNNNNNNNNNNNNNNNNNNNNNNNNNNNNNNNNNNNNNNNNNNNNNNNNNNNNNNNNNNNNNNNNNNNNNNNNNNNNNNNNNNNNNNNNNNNNNNNNNNNNNNNNNNNNNNNNNNNNNNNNNNNNNNNNNNNNNNNNNNNNNNNNNNNNNNNNNNNNNNNNNNNNNNNNNNNNNNNNNNNNNNNNNNNNNNNNNNNNNNNNNNNNNNNNNNNNNNNNNNNNNNNNNNNNNNNNNNNNNNNNNNNNNNNNNNNNNNNNNNNNNNNNNNNNNNNNNNNNNNNNNNNNNNNNNNNNNNNNNNNNNNNNNNNNNNNNNNNNNNNNNNNNNNNNNNNNNNNNNNNNNNNNNNNNNNNNNNNNNNNNNNNNNNNNNNNNNNNNNNNNNNNNNNNNNNNNNNNNNNNNNNNNNNNNNUCGACGGUAGCCCGUGGAGGCUGGAGGAGGUCGACGGUAGCCCGUGGAGGCUGGAGGAGGUCGACGGUGGAGAUGAACAGUAUCCCGUGGAGUCCCGUUUUGCGGUACGCCACACCCCUCCCGAUGAACAGGACCCCCGUUUCGACCGUAGGAGGUCCGUUUCGUCCGUUUUGCGGUACGCCACACCCCUCUCGAUCAACAGGACCCCCGUUUUGACCGUAGGAGGUCCGUUUCGUCCAUUUUGCGGUAUGCCACACCCCUCCCGAUCAACAGGACCCCCGUUUCGACCGUUUUGCGGUACGCCAGACCCCUCCCGAUGAACAGGAUCCCGUUUCGAACGUGGCCGGUCUAACACAACGCCGUUUCCUCCGUUCUACUGUACGCCAGGCCUCGUUUCCAUCGCCUGUUCCGUCCAAGCCCUCCCGAUGAACAUGACCACGCAUUCCGUUCCGACCCAGCCGGUUGGCUCCCACGUGUUCCGUUGCCUCCCGAUGAACACGACGCAUUCCGUUGCCUCCCCAUGAACACGACGCAUUCUGUUGCCUCCCCAUGAACACGACGACGAUGCUGUUUCUCCGUUCCGACCCAGCCAUGUCAAUGAGCCCUCGCCGUACAUAUGCGCGAGUAGGCGUUCGAGACCCCGCCCGUAUGUACACAUACAUGGCCGUAUUUUCUUUCUUGCACCAUGGCCGCUGUACGUACGUGUACAUUCUACGUGCGCGCCUCUACUACGACACGUGCGCGCCUCUACAUCCACCAGUAUAUAUGUACGUACACGUUCGCGACCAGAAUGACAACGCUACGUACGCUUUGACCAGGUGGGUCCCGACUGUCAGGCACUUCCUUGCAUGCGAAGAUGUAGCUGGUGGGUCCCAGCAGUCAGGGGGCGAAUCGUUUUUUUUUUGCCCGGACGCACUUCCUUGGGUGCGAAGGUGUAGCUGGUGGGUCCCAGCAGUCGGGGGGAAACGUUUUUUUCGCAAAAUAUGGUGGCCCGUCCGGUGGGUCCCUGCUGUCAGGUGGAGGAAUAAUUAUUUUGCGCGUAAUAAGGAGGCACUUCCUUGUUGCGGCCGUGGACCCAGCUGUCAGCGUCUCCACGCACAGUACUUUUCCGAUGGAAGUCGGUCGUUGACCACAUUGACCACGCCGCGCCGAGAGCACCACAGCGGUGGACGACGGCGAGGCCUAGGAAGGGGAUGACACGGAGGUAGGGAAGACUCGGCAGUUGUUUCCCACGCGGAGGGGAGUACGACUGUACGAGGGUUUACUGGUUCGUCUGCCGUCGCCGGAGAAUAACAACAGGUGUGGGUGAGUAGAGGGAUGGCUAGGCCAGCGAUGGGAGUACGAUGGGGUGGUGAGGCCUGCGCGGCAGCACAACCGACCGCGGGGAGGAGGGAGCAGGCAGUCCCGCCGGCGCUUGUUUGAGCGGCUGGAGCAGGAAGAGUAGAGAUUGAAGAAGCACGACGGCCGUUGGAUGGACAUCCAACAGUCAGUGCUUGUGCGUCAACCUUUUUUUAGGAAAGCCUCAAAUCUGUGGAAAACAGCAUACAGCCCAUCUGCCAUUAUUUCUAAUAAUUUACAGCCCAUUUGCUAAUUCUUAAGGUUUUUUUGGAGCCCAUAUUCUUUUUGUUAGCUUUAGAGCCCAUAUUGUGGCCACGGUUAAAAAAUUAUACGAAAUUUUGCAUAUUUCGGUGCGGUCCGAACUGUUUUUAAUCCCGAAAUUUCGACUCACAUUCAAACUGAUUUUAAAAAUAAAUGUAUAUCAAUAUAAAAUCCAACAAAUUCUCCACGCAUAAAAAUUAAUGUAAUUUAAAAUCUUGAAAUGAAAAAAAGAUAUUUGAAACUAAUUGCCGGUUUGAUGUGUUUUAAAAAUGUACAGCCCAUUUCUCAUUAUUGAUGGUCCAUUUUCUCGGCCAGCCGAAUGAAAGCUCUCCUCGUCUUGAAAGAUUUGCAGCCCAACAGGCCUGACAAAGCGACUUACUUGGCAAAUCACAAAAAAACUGGGCUGUGGCCGUGGACCCAGCUGUCAGCCUCUCCACGUACAGUACUCUUCUGAUGGAAGUCGUUCCUUGACCACGUUGACCACGCCGCGCGGAGAGCACCACGGCGGUGGACGACGGCGAGGCGUAGGAAGGGGACGGCGCGGAGCCGGGGAAGACGCGGCAGUGGAAGCCCGCGCGGAAAGGAGUAUGAGGGUUCACUGGUUCGGCUGCGGUGUGAGGCUGCCGUCGCCGCAGGGCCUGGCUAGCGGUGGGAAUAGUAGGGGGCGGUGAGGCCUCUGCGGCAGCACAACCGGCCACGGGAGGCAGGAGCAUGCGGCACGACCGGCGCUGCUUUGGGCGGCUGGAGCAAGAAGACCAGAGGUUGAAGAAGCACUACGACCGUUGGAUGGACAUCAUGCGGUCACUGGAGCUAGAAUCGUUCAUAUUGACUAAGUUGACAAAGCCCUUCGUCCCCGUCAACUUAGUAGGCCCACAAGUCAGCCUCCCACCAAGGUGGGUCCCAGCUAGCCGGGGGAGUAUUCAUUUUUUUGUGCGUAAUAAGGAGGCACUUCCGGUGGGUCCGAGCUGACAGCGGGGGGAACGUUUUUUUCGUGAAAUACGGUGGCCCGUCCGGUGGGUCCCAGCAGUCAGGGGGAAACGAUUUUUUCGCAAAAUACUGGUGGCCUGUCCGGUGGGUCCCCGCUGUCAGGUGGAGGAAUAAUUAUUUUCCGCGUAAUAAGGCGGCACUUCCUUGCGGCUGCCGUGGACCCAGCUGUCAGCCUCUCCAUGUACAGUCCACGUCCGAUGGAAGUCGUUCCUUGACCACGUUGACCACGCCGCGCUGAGAGCCCCAGGGCGGUGGACGACGGCGAGGCCUAGGAAGGGGACGACGCGGAGCCGGGGAAGACGCGGCAGUGGAUGCACACGCGGAGAGGAGUAUGAGGGUUCACUGGUUCGGCUGCGCUGCCGUCGCCGUAGAAUAACAGGGGGUGUGGGUGAGUGGAGGGAUGGCCUGGCCAGCGGUGGGAGUAGUAGGGGGCGGUGAGGCCUCCGCGGCAGCACAGCCGGCCACGGGAGGCAGGAGCAGGCGGCACGACCGGCACUGCUUUGGGCGGCUGGAGCAAGAAGACCAGAGGUUGAAGAAGAACGACGGCCGUUGGAUGGACAUCGUACGGUCAUUGCAGCUAGAAUCAUUUAUAUUGACUAAGUUGACAAAGCCCUUGGUACGUCAACUUAGUAGGCCCACAGGUCAGCUUCCGAAACGGUGCGCCCCAGAUGUCAGGGGGAGGAAUCAUUUUUUGGGCGGGUGAAGCUAGAAUAUCCGAGAAUGAAAAAGAAGCACGGCAUCCGUUGGAUGGACAUCCAACGGCCACUGCUGCUAGAACCGUGUUUUGACUAUAAGUUGACAAAGCCUUGCAUACGCGUCAACUCUGUUUUUUUAGGAGACGCGUCAACUUAGUAAGGCCAGAAGUGUGUGGCCGAGAACUUAUAGCCCAUUUGAGAUUUGUAAGAAUGUGUAGCCCAUUUUUGAAUUCUAAUGGAAUUUACUACAACCCAUUUACAGUUUGUUAAAAGUACAACCCAUUUCAACCAACCGUUUAAAACAGAAUUCAAUAAAAUUUCCCACAUUUUGAUGGGAUCCGAAAUAUUUUUAUCCCGAAAUUUCUAGUCAGAUUAAAUACAAUUUCAAUAUAAAUUUAUAUUACGUAAAAAUCCAACGAAACAUUGCGCUCGCAACAAUUAAUGAAAUUAAAAUUUUCAAUAUCCAAAAAUAAUAUUUUAUAAAGUAAUCACGUGUUUGGUGCAUUUUUUUAUAGUUACUGCCAAGUUUUUAUAAUUACAUCCCAUUUAUUAUUUCUUAAAGCCCAUUUUCUUGUUAAGCCUAAUGCAUCCCUCCUAGGAAAGAUUUGCAGCCCAGCGGGGCGGAGAAUAACAACUUGACCUUGCCUAGGUAUUCCUAAAAAUAGUAUAGCUGGGCUAGCCAUUUUCAGCUUGAAAAAAAAUUAAUAUCUGGGCUGGAUAUCUGGUCUGGGCUAGACGGGCCAUAGCCCACCCAGUUAAUACCUGCAGCGAUGUUUUCGUUGUUGUUCAGAGGAAAAAAAUUAAUAUCUGGGCUAAACAUCGAAAAACUCUAGAGUGCUCACACCUCAAAAACACAAAUACUGCUCGAGCUGCUUGGUCCUAGCUGUCGGCCGCUUCUUGUGCAAUUCUCUCGUUUAUUGACUACUACAUAGGUUGACAAUGGUGUGGGACCGUGAUGUCAGGAAACCAGGAGGAAGCAAAAUAAAUUAUAGUUAUAUAUAUAUAAUAAGGAGGCACUUGCUUACGUGAGGCUAUGGACCUGGUGGGUCCCUAGUGUCAUCCUCUCUAAGUAAAGUCAUCUCCUCGCCCGCGCGCGCUUUCCGCCCGAAACAGUAAGCGCCGCCUGCCCCGCUUCCCGGUGCAGGCGAUUGCUCCGCCUUCAAACGACACAAGUGCCGUUCGUCCGUCCAUCUGCCGCCCACAUUAAGGAUACGCGGUUGCCGAGGCGGCUACUCCGGCGCCACACGUCCGUCCCUCCGCCCGCCCACCAAUGCUAUAUAAACUGCUGCGCCGGCCAUAGCCGCAGUCAUCCGCAUCCGUUCCCUUUCUCCUGUCCACACCACUACUGCCCACCAUGGCUUCCUCGCGCUCCAGCGUUCUUCGGGACGGGCGGACGACGGACCACAAGGAGAUGGCAGCCAUUGCUGCCGACCGGCUGGCCGGCAGGCAGCCGGAGGACAACGACGUCCCAAUGGAGAACAUGGUAGUCGACGAUCCGGCACCAACCCCCUCCUCCGCGCCAUCCUCGCUGGUGCAUUGCACCAUGACCAUCGGCGAGGCCCGUGCCCAAUAUAUGGACAGGGUGAGGCAGAUGCGUGAGGAGUAGUUCCGGGAGGCGCAGGCCGACGCCGCCUACAACCACCAUCUCCUCCAGGAGCACCUGCAGGCGGAGGAGCAGAUCGCCGCGGAGCGGGCGGAGCAGGAGGCGCUGCUCGACUCGUACCGCUCCGCCCGCAAGGGCCGCCUCGAGCGUUGGCGGUAUCGCAUGCGGGUGGCGGAGGCUGCGGCCGCCUACAAAGAGGCUAGCAAAGAGGGCGAUGAAGCGGGCGAGGCGCUGUUUGGCGAGACCGAGGACGAGGUAGAGGACAAUGCCGGCUCCGACGAGUCCCCGCUCCGCUGGCGUCGACGAGGCCCUGCUCCGCCGAGGCCCCGCGGCGCCAACAACGAGGCAGAGGACACCGCCGGCUCCGCCGAGGCCCCACCCCGCCAACAACGAGGCAGAGGACAUCGCCGGCUCAGCCGAGGCCCCACCCUGCCGGCAAUGUGGGGGAGGAUUUCCACCGCUCCGCUGAGGCGCCGCCCGCUGGCAACGAGACAGAGGACAUCUCCGGCUCCGCCGAGGCCCUGCCCCGCUGCCAACGAGGCCGCGCCACACAGAAAACAAGGAAGAGUAGAACACGGUAGGUCGCCGUCGCUCGGGUCCAAGUAAGGCCAUCGCUGCUACCCUCCGGUUGAAGCCAAGCUAGGCGGGUUGACCAUUGACGGCCGGUUAGCUUCUUGGCGGCGACGUGGAGUCGGAGAGCUGCGCUGGGGAAGAAUGCUGCUUCUACUUAACUGCUGGUGUAGUUGGCUGACUGACACGUGGGCCCAACAGGCCACAUGUCAGUUACGCAACUGCACCUGCAGUUAAGUCACUGAAGCUUCUGUUCGGCUCAGCGGGACACAUGUGGGUAGCUUCAGUUAAUUAAUUAUACCUCCAGCGCACCCCUUUUUAGUUGAAGAAUGUAUGAAAUGUAAUGAAAUCCGGCAUGUUUAUAUGAAAUCCGACCGUGUAUGAAUGAAUUUAUUUCGAUUAGUUUGAAUUCCUGUAUCACUGGCAUUGGAUGAACAUGCAAAACAAUACGUACUAGCAUUAUUCCCAGGGUGAUCACCUCGUUUGCAGCAGUUUCACAUGUACUCCCUCCAGUCCUUUCUAGUCUACAUACAAGUUUUGUCUGCAGUCAAAGUAUCUCUACUUUGACCAAUCUUAUACAAAAAAGUAUGCACUUUCACAAUGUGCGAAGUAAAAAGGAACAGAAGGAGUACAAAGAGUUUGAGCAGCUUUUUAGCGUUUCUGUACAUUGCAAUCAAACACAGGCCUGGCAAUUCAUAGAGAACAUUCAAAACAAUCGAUGAUUAUGCAUCUCAGCGACUCACAUGUCAGAGGCAAUCUUUACUUCACAACUAAAGAAUAAAGAAAAAAUUGAUCGACGCUGCUGACAGCAAAGGGCGUCCCAUUCGAAAAUAUCAAACGCAUGUCUUACUAAAAUCAAUGAGCAAAAUUUGACAAGGUUGUCCCAUUCCAAAAUAUCAAAUGCCUACGAUUGUGGAAUGGGCAGGGUUUGCCAUCAGUUCGGACAUUGACAUGGCACCUCGUGCUAAAUAAACCAGCUGUUCUUUUUGUGCAGUUCCACCAAAAUCAACCAAAUUCGCGCGUAGCUUGUAUGAUUUCGCCCUUAUAUGUUGCAACGCCUUGAACUUAUCAGCACCUCCUUUCUUGUGGUGGAAAUGAAUGAUUCGAUGUAUUCAUGAACAUUUUGUGCAGUUCCCAUUGAAAUCAAGCUGAGCACUCCUGUUUGCACAAAUACAAAAAAGUGAUUAGUAUAAAGCAAACUGUACUAUGAAUUGACAGUUUCAACAGGCACAUACAUGGUCCAUGUAGAGCACACUUUUAGAAAAAUGGAACUCACCAGAAAGAAUCCUAGAACAACAUUGUACUCGCGCAUCACAGCAAAAAAAUGGAGAUUUGUCAGUCCUUCUGAGCUGAAGUUAGUUUGGUCUUGUGGGGAGUAAUGUAACCAUCCUUCAACUGCUCCUUCUGAUGAGAAGAUAGACAGGGCUUCUUCAUCCUGGCAUAAUCGGAACUAGUCACUUCACAUACUCCAUAUUCUUCUUUAGAGGAAGAUGAUCCUGUUGUGCAAAGACAAGAUGACUACUAAAUGCUAGCAUCCCUGUUUGCUCGAAAAAAGGAAAGGAAAUAUUUAAAACAGCACAGAUGAAGCACUUCUCAAGGACAGUACCACUUUUUCAUGACAGUAUCUAAACAGUAGCACAACACCAAUAGAGAUGACAAAGCUCAAUCAUAUGGAUGAAAUCAGUGGGCGAGUACCAACCUUUGUCAGGAGGCUUAUUGUGUAGAGCAUACAGAUGAAGCACUUCUCCGGAACCAUCUGUUGCUAUCUAGGGUGGUGGCCAUGCUUACUAUAUACUCCUCGAUUAGUUUAAUGUUUCCAACAUCUUCUUGUGCAAUUCCACUAAAAUAUAUGGUAUCUUCAAAGAAGAUCCCUGUUUGCACAAGUAAAGAUAAUUACAUAUUACAUUAAGAGUGGCAUCAAAUCAGUGGCAAAACAAUUGCUCAUUCCAGCCAUAGCAAUAAAUUAAGAUGCAAAACUAUAUCAUUACUUGUGUCAUCACAGUUCCAGUGCUUCAUUACAGCACCGGGAGUUGAUUUUUGUUUUUCUUCCGCUUGUUCUUCCCCUUCAUCACUUGGUUCAAUAACAGACAAGCUUCGCCUUCAAUGUAAGAUUUGGCAUGUCAAUUAGGGAGCACAAGUAUAGUACUAAACUUAAUUUUCUGAUGAAAGUGGCAAGAUACAGGCCAGCAGUUGUGAAAUAUCCUUAUCUUACCUCAAUGGGAUAUUACGGUGCACAUACAGAUUGGAAGUCUUGUCUCCAUUUGUGCAGUUCACUAAAAUCAAGCAACAUUAUCGUACAAGUAGCACAACAUAUGAAAGCACACUGCAGAAUCAUGUGAAAGAAGGCUAGUAUUGACCUCUCAUGAUGCGGAAUUCAAACAACUCACAAGAAGAAGAUCUGAACCAAAUUCGCCUUAACGGAUAGGAAGUGAGAUCUCCUCUUGUGCAGUUCCACUAAGAUCAAGCAAUCAAGCAACGUUGUCGGUGUGACAUUUUGGUUGAACUGCACAAAACACUUUAAAACAAAAGUGUUUUGUGCAGUGCAACAAAAGGUCACAAUGGCAACGAGGUGAAGUAGAUAACCCUGUUUACAUAGAGGUGGAAAGGAAACAAUUAGUGGUCAAUAACGGUGGAUGACACAGAAGCCAACAAAAAGAAGCAUCUACCUUAUAUAAAUGGGAAAGAAAGCAAGACAGUAGCAUUUCUCAAACGGUGGCAUUGAUUAAUAUUAACAUAGAGAUUAUAUUAACAAUAAAAUUUGUUAAACAUGUAAUUUGCUUUUAACUGUGGCAUUGCAUCAAUUUUCCAGCGGCAUUAUUAGAGGGGUUUGUUUAUAGGGACAUUUUGGUGUAGGGACUAAAAAAACUCCGUGUCAGUCCCAUCUAAACCAAACAGGAGGGACUUUUAGGGACUAAAAGUGGGCAUUUGGGACUAAAGAAAGAAGACCCCGAGGGGGUCUUUUUGGGACUUUUUCCAACAGUUGCCCCUGCCACGCAUCGCACCUUGUCUCUAUUAGUUCAUUACUAGGGGUAACAUGGUCUUUUAGCAUGUCAUUUAAUAACCUCUAGUCCAUGUUUAGUCCCUGGAACCAAGCAGGUAGGGACUAGGGAGUUUUUAACCAAACAGGGCCUUAGAUUAACAACAGCUAAUGAGUUGCACGGGACAGUGGACGCACCAGCACCAUGUGCAUCUACCGAUGUACUGUGGUCAUGCACAGUGUGUUGCAACAAAGAACAAACAACCAAGGAGCAUAUUUGUGUUGGUCCCAGUUUUGUUAUCUUUAGACACCUUUCCCUAUGUGAGCGCAGCAAAUCUAGUCCUGCUCAAACUCUACAGCCUUGUCCCUUCCUUUCCUUUUUGAACUAGUACUUUCGCCCCUUCCUUUCCUCUUUGAACCACGUCCUAGAUUUAUGCGAUACAACUUUCCGCACUACUUUCCCCCAUUCCUUUCCUCUUUGAACCACGUCCUAGAUUCAUGCUAUACAACUUUCCCCCUUCAUUUCCUCUUUGAACCACGUCCUAGAUUCAUGCUAUAUACAACUUUUCCCACUACUGUCCCCCACUCCUUUCCUCUUUGAACCACGUCCUAGAUUCAUGGUAUACAUGCAGCUAGAGCAAUGCAUGUGGAGUAAGUAAAUUAUACCUUAAGGUUCUUGGGGCGUGGUUCGGUGGGCGACGGGACGGCGGCGAAGAAGAAGGGGUUGGAGGCCCUCCCGCGCCACCGCUAGGUGGAAAGUGAACAGCUGCGCCGGUAGUCCCUCGCCGACGGCGACAGCGUUAAGCCUCCUUCCUUUCCCGACGGACGGAUCCUGCUGGCUCUUUGAGCAGCAGUGAGGGGAGAGAGAGGCCAACGAAGUCUUGUUUAGAUCUGGAGAGGGCGAGAGAGUGUGAAGAUAGCAACUACAAGCGCUGAGGCUCCAGCAGGAGAGGGCGAGAGAGUGUGAAGAGAGCAACUACAAGCGCUGAGGCUCUAGCGUGUAUAUAUAUACUGGAGAGAGAGUGUGAAGCGUGCAAACCCUAGAAAACAUUUUGACCAGUCAAAGAAUCCUCCUGGCACAAAUUAUGCUCAAGUGUAGCUAUCAAACCCGAGACCUCAAGUUUGAUGAGCGAACAGGCUAACCAGCUACACAACCCUCCCGUUAUGUUCAACGAGAGGGAAAUAACCUUUUAUACAUUCCUGCAUUCGUGUGACAAGCAUGCCGUGUUUUUUUUGUGUGUGUGGGAGUCAUUGGGAUUUCAAUCAUAAUCGUGUCAUGUGGCUUUGGUGGUAAGACUAUCCACAGUGGUGCAGAAAUAAUGCAGCCUUAGUCACCUUACCUCUCUCCACGUAGUAUGUUGGGUCCCACCAGCCAGAGGGUGAAACAAACAAAUUAAUAAGAAAAAUUAAAAGCGCCAGCGGUGUAUCUUACCUCACACAUCUCGCUACUGCUCGGGAACACUGUCCAAUUGAUCCCUCUGUUCGCUCACGUACUAUUUUAAGUGAAUCCUUAUUAUAACAUGCACACAAAUUUUGGGCACUUGUAUUCGACUUAAGUCAGUGUGCCACCGUAUCUCGUAUACUUACUACUCCCUCCGUCUAGGUGUAAUAAGUCACGUUAGAAGGUGCAACGGGACCAAGGUGUGUGCGUGUGUGCGUGUGUGUGUGUGUGUGUGUGUGUUUAACAACAUGUGUGUGUUAGAGAGAGCGACAGAUCGACCUACUCUUACAGAGAGAUGUUGUGUAGUGUACGAUUUUAGCCGCGAGAGUCGGUGCAUCCUCUCGUUUCCGGGCAUGUCCGGUAGGGACAUGCGGACAGCUGCCACGCCCGCUCCUGACCAGCCUGGCCCACCCAAAGCCCCUCCAUCGCCCGCGCGCGCUUCCCGCCUGAAACGGUCAGCGCCGCUCCAAAGAAUCGGUGCCGCAUUCAUGCCCGGGCAGAGCGGACGCGACCUCUCACUGGCGCAAGAGUGAUGGUUGCUUCGUCCGUCCAACUUACUGCUGGGUCUAUGUGAUUUGACGGCUCAUUGGUCUUUAUUACUGAGGUGGUAGGACUGCUGGAUGUCCCACGCUUUCGGCGAAAGGAGGUACUACUACUAGAUUACAAUUUUCUCCAUUCUUACAGCGGAGGCGUGCAAGAGCAGUGAAAACACGCAUGCUCAGUGAUUACAUGGCCCACCUCACACUAUCACCGUGCGACACCUAACUCUUUACAUAGUACUCCCUCCGUUCCUAAAUAUUACUAGAUGAGUCCAUGCAGUCCCUAGCCCUUGAACCGUGAACCCUGACCAGGCUUCAAUUUGCUGGCAACGUUCGAGCUUCCUAAUAAAUGAAGUUUGCAACCUUUUGACCAUCGGAUCAUUUUGUGCAGUUUCACCAAAAUCGAGAUGAGCAUCCCUGUGGCAAAGAAAUUGAAGAAGCGUGAUUAGAAUAAGAUUACUGGGACUAGUUGAUGAGACAUAAACUCAUCACAAAUACAGUACGUAGAAGCCAGUAGAGGUAUGUGCGGGGCAAAGAAGUAGAGAAAUAUCCACAGGGAGUGAUGUGGGCAGCUGGAGCAGUGGUGCAAGCCGGCUGUAAAGGGAGUUGUACCUGAGGGACGUAGCUCAACCUUGAGGAGGGCGGCGGGAGGCGGCAACUGCCCACGUCGCGGCAGUGAGCAAGGGACGAAGGCAACCUCACCGGCUUUGUGAGAGAGAACGGCGGGGACCCCUGAUUGGGACGUGCCGAUAGUGGGUUUUCGCCGUCGGCGACGGCCACCGCAUCUACACUAAGCAUCCACCCCUUCCCCAAGCGGACAUGAUCCGCCGGGAUGUUAGAGAUGUGGCCACAGUCGUUUUGUGCGAGAGAGUGUGAAGAGAGCAACCCCAGCAAGCAACCGUGUAGGCUGGCCCGUCCUGACUAUGUAUAUAGUGGAGCGGUUUCCUUUUCUCUCCAUAUGAACCUAUCAUAUUGCGUACGUGCCACUGAAGAAAAAAACUUUAUUUAUAAAUGACGCGGCACCUACUACUCGUUCUCCUAUAACCUUGCGCUUGGCAUCUCCAAAAUAUUAACCUUGCGAUUGGCUCUUCGCCUCUUCGGGAAGUCGAGCAAUAAUGGUAGUGCAGUAUAUAUUGUUCUGGCUAUAUGAGACCAUGAAUUGCUGCACGUCCACCACAUGGGCGAGGGUCGAGGGGCGAGGGAGAGUGCUACAUACGGAGCAAAAUGAGUGAAUCUACACUCUAAAAUACGUCUAUAUACAUCAGUGUUUGGAGUAUGUACUAGUAGUUCAUAUUGAAAUCUACUAAAGGACAUAUAUAUUCCAAACAAUAUGAUAUAAUAUCUAUAACCAAGGUAGUAGGGACGAGGAGUAAACGGAGGGAGUAGUAAAUUUUUCUCCUCGUCCUGCGAGCCACCGCGCACAUGGGCGAGGGAGCGAGCGUAAGGCGGAGCAAGCUUCACCUCAUCCUGCAAGCCACCGCGCCCGUGGGCGGGGGAGAUGGUGUACUAAGCAAGCUUCUCCUCGUUCUGCGAGUUGACGGGACACAUCAAAAGUACUCCAGUGUAUAGAGCCUUGCCUCUAAGGUAGGCCCCACAUGGUUUGCCUCUUUUUUUAACAUAACACGUCAAGUCGCAAUUUGUUUGUUCACCCGUGGUAGACAAUCCUCCCUCCACCAAGUGGACAACCAAUACACGUGCCAAAUUACCACGUGGGCUGCCUUUUUCGUACAGAAAUGAGCUCCACUGUGUACCCACGCGGGUGUGGUUGGGAAAGAGACGGGAGUACGUGCGCCGUGCAUGCACCUCUUCUCUUCGUGCACGUCCCCCACCUACGUGGGUGUGUGUGAGAGAUACAAACCGCGUUCGUGAGUGUUUUUUGUUUUGGGGUGGUGGUGGGGUGGGGGGUUGAUUUCGUGAAUUAUUUGUGGGAAUAUGUGUCGAUGACAUCUCAAACAAAAUUUUGCAUGCAAUGUGUGUGAAAUGGAGGCCUAUCCAUAUCAUACAUAGAGGUUCGGGCAAUCCACAAGAAGAGAGGGAGGGGUCAUAGCUAUCGAUAGAGUCGAAGAGAGGAUCAAGUGGGUGGGUGCGAGAUCGAUGAAGAGAGCCAUCGAAAUUGUGUGUGUGUGAAAGUCAAAGAUAUAGGGCGACUGGCCUACCGGAACGUUAGAGGGCACAUGUCAAGUUUGUGUGUGGCAGGGAGACAUGACUAGAGCGCUCGAUGUAUCGGUGUGUGUGGGGGGGAGGGGGUGGGGGGAGGGGUAGGCAGAGGCCUAACUAUAGAGGUAGAACGACUCGUAGAUGUGUUGAGAAGGAGAGACCCAGCUAUGUCUUGAGGGAGACCGGUCGACAUCCAUACAUAACUGAAGGACGGGAAAUAUGAUGGGACAGAGAGAGAGAGGAGAGAGAGAGGGAGGGAGAGGGGUAGAGUGCUGGAUGGGUGAUGGAGUUGCUUCUCGAAGAUGGUGGGAGAGGCCUACUAGACAAACUGAGGGUGGGACUGCAAUGUUAUCAAUAAGAGUGGGGAUGUGUUUCUGUGUGUGCCUGUGCGUGAUAGAUCUGUCGGGACGCAUCCAUGGAUGAUGAAGGGGAACCAUGUGUUUGGUAAGCAAACCUAACUAGAUCGGUAGAUCAAUUGUUGUUUGUCGGAGGAAGGGAGAGACACAACUAAUGAGGUAGAUCGAUUGACGUGUGGGUAAAAACGAGUUAUAAGGACCUAGCUAGCUAUUUGUAUAGCGAGAGAUCGGUCGGUGUACGUCCAUUUGUUAGAGGCAAAUAAGGCCCAGCGAGACGGAUAGACAGAGAGAAUGGAGCUAGGAGGUGGUGCGAGAGGCCCAACUACUAGCUAGAUAGGGGGAGGAGUGUGCGGUUGUGAGAUCGAUGAAAAGAGGGGCAAGAGUUUACACGUGUGUCUGACCGUAUGAGAGACACGAGGCAAGGACACAUAAAGGAGGAGAUUGAAGGUGUGUGUGUAUGUUGUAGGCAGGCAUCGCUGGAGAGGUUUAUCGAUCGGUGUGUGUCGGAAAGGAGUUGUGGAGACUCUGGGAGAACGACCUAAAGAAAAAAAUGAAUGUGCCCGGUGGAUAGAAUGCCGAGGGAGGGGGAGGGCGAGGAGGGCGUGUGCAUGCACGAGAGAAAGUUAGUGGUAGCUACAAAGGUUAGAGGAUUGUGUGGGUGUAAGAGACUAACAAAGAUCAUAAUUUGAUAUGAAAGCGGAUUCAUAUAUUUGAAUAGGAGAUCAUAGUGUUUUAAACAUUGCAUGCAUGAAUAUAGCGGUGAUACACGUGCUGUGCACAUGUUAUACCAUAAUGUGAUAACGCAUGGCGUUUGCAACUCACAGCUAAAUGCCGAACAAUCUAAACCAUACUAUACAUCAAACAAUCUCACAUUUUAUUUGAAUUUGUGAUAAUGUGUGGCGUUUGCAGCUUACAACUAAAUAUCGAACAAUCUAAACAAUACUAUAUGUCGAACAUUCUCACAUUUUAUUUGAAUUUGUGGUAAUGUGUGGUGUUUGCAACUCACAUCUAAAUACUUGUAGGCAUAGGGGGCGGGGCACCAUACAUAACGUGAUAAACACAUUAUACAUAUGUGACAUGGUUUAGAUUAUGAAGAUCUAGCUAGAGCUAGAAAUGUAAUGUGAUUUGAAAUCAAAAUAAAGUGGAUUCAAAAAAUCUAGUUCGAGUUCAUAUAGUACACAUAGUUCAUAUGUAACUCGAGACUAAUCAUGUGGUGUGCUAUGAAGAUAAUACACAAAUUAUGGUUUAACUUGACAAUAAUGAUGAUUGUAGAUCUUAUUAAAACAGAGAAAUGAAUUCAAAUGCUUUGACUUCACAACAAUCAUUACUGUAGAUCUUAUUCAAAUAGAGAAACGAAUUCAAAUUUAGUUCAUAUUGAAGCGGUAGUAUAUACGUUUGGAAUGCACUAAAACGUUCAUUUGAGUAGUAGGUUGCAUGCAUUAUACACGUAGCGAAAUAUUUUAAUUGAACAUAACAUGAAUUCAAAGUUUUGAAUGACAUUUGUAGUGCGCAUUGAUUUGGUACAGUACACAUUAGGCUUGUCCGGAAAUUUCAACCCGCGCCUUGUUAGCCCGAAAUAUUUAAGAUAUACCUUUGUCUCGUUGUGCUCCGACAACUCCCUCCAUCUCAACCCGCGCCUUGCUAUUCCGAAAUUACAACACGCGCGAAAACUCCCACCUCCUGUGAAAUCCCGAUACACGAAAUGCCCGUGGUACCCCUGAACCGAAAGAACCGCCUCAAAUCGGUGGGGGUACUUUCGUAACUUACCCCACAUUUCGGACAAGCGCGUCUCUAAGCCAUGGUUCCCCACUGCCAUCCCAUCCGCCCACCCAUUCGUACACCGAGGCCGCGAAAACCUGCGACGAAACCCCACACCCUGCUCCGUCCGGCACCCAGCCGGAGCCUCUUCCCCGACGACGUCGUUCAAAGCAACACCUCGACGUCCCUCAUCCACCGUACUGGAUGAGGAUCCGUCGUCGAUCUCAUCACCCCGCCGGCUCAGCCACCCUGUCCUCCACCUCCAAGGAGCUGCCCCGACGUUCCCCUCGUCUUUCACGCCACCUCCAUUCCCACACCACCGUCUUCACCUGCACCACCGGAAGAGCAUCAUCAUCACCGUUUCCUUGGAUGAAGCCGCGGCCUAAUCGGCGCCACCAAAGAGGUUGUACACUAAUCGCCGCAUUUUCUUCUUGAUUCGAUCUCAUGGUGCUGCCGGCGCUCGGUCCCAAGCCGACACGGCGCGGCUCCAUCCACGGCGGCAUCGCCGGCCACUUCCUCCACGGCGCCGCUCCCUCGACGGCGAUGUCCACAUCAGUAGGAGCUGCUGCUGCUUUAGCUCUCGCUCGCGCUGCUGCUCUGCUCUUGCUCUCGGUCCCCUGCCUGGUCUGCUCUUUGCUAUUGCUCUAGCUACACUUCAGUCGACUGAAUCGACUUUUGGGNNNNNNNNNNNNNNNNNNNNNNNNNNNNNNNNNNNNNNNNNNNNNNNNNNNNNNNNNNNNNNNNNNNNNNNNNNNNNNNNNNNNNNNNNNNNNNNNNNNNNNNNNNNNNNNNNNNNNNNNNNNNNNNNNNNNNNNNNNNNNNNNNNNNNNNNNNNNNNNNNNNNNNNNNNNNNNNNNNNNNNNNNNNNNNNNNNNNNNNNNNNNNNNNNNNNNNNNNNNNNNNNNNNNNNNNNNNNNNNNNNNNNNNNNNNNNNNNNNNNNNNNNNNNNNNNNNNNNNNNNNNNNNNNNNNNNNNNNNNNNNNNNNNNNNNNNNNNNNNNNNNNNNNNNNNNNNNNNNNNNNNNNNNNNNNNNNNNNNNNNNNNNNNNNNNNNNNNNNNNNNNNNNNNNNNNNNNNNNNNNNNNNNNNNNNNNNNNNNNNNNNNNNNNNNNNNNNNNNNNNNNNNNNNNNNNNNNNNNGAUGGGGAGGGUUUUCGGGGUGGGCGGGGCGGCGCACCGCCGGCCGCGGGCGGCGGGGGGCUGCUGUUUGGCCGGUGGUGGCUGGCGGCUCAGGGGGGGUGGAGGUUGAAGAUGAACCGCGGGCCCUUGAUUUCGUAUCCAACGGCUGCAAAAUCGACUGACCAGAGAUGAAAAAGUCAGUCGACCGACGUGUAGCCUCACCUUGCUAGUGCAUUCAGUUUCGACAGCAAAAUUCAGUUUCGAUAGUUAAGUUCAGUUUCGACAGUUAAGUUCAGUUUUGAUAGUUAAGUUCAGUUUUGACAGUUAAGUUCAGAGAUGAGCGGCUGAUGUAUUCUACAUCUAGCAAUUUGUGGUUAUGUAUUUUACGUCAUGUAUUGGAGAUGCUAUUAGAAUUCCACUCAGGUUAACGUUGUUCCUUCUCUCUCUUCUCCUGCUUCAGCCUCGGCGUCGUACAACUCACCGAAGCUGCUCCAACGACGAAACCCUCCAUCACAGCGGAGCAGUACCUCGGGCUCCAUCUCCAGAUGCCUACGAUCUUCUUCCCCUCCUCCGACAGCAAAGUCAGCCGGAGCAUCCUCACCGGCCAACCCAAUCACGCUGAGAUCGACAUGGCUUCGCCAAAGAGGUUGUACACUUGUUGCAUCUCUUUUUUACUCUACAUGUUAUAUAUAUUGUCCACUGAGCACACAGAUUUGUUCCUUUAGUGUCUCCUUGAAAGAAAAAACGUAGGAAUUUUAAUUUUCACUUGUCCUCCUUCUCAAAUUCCUAUUCAUGAAGCACAAGACUAAGAGAUAGUAGCAUAAUAGCAUUAUAACCGUACAUUUUCUUGUGGUUUGACUUAAUCUCACCAUGCUUCUUUGCAUCCUGUGAUCUUCCAAUUUUUGUGAAUCAAACACCCAGAUUGGCAGAAAUCCUGUGUUUUUAAAUUCUCUGUUUUGCACGUGCAUUCCUAUCCUAUUCCUGUCUAUUUCCUAUCCCUGCAUUGUUGGAAUCCUCCAAUUCAAACGAGCCCUUACAGAAUUACUUCUCUUACAGAUAGUUGUCAAAGAAAACCUUGCGUGGUUUGUCUCGCUCCUGCUGCGCCGUCGUCCACCCCAGCUCAGCUGCUCCAACGACAGAAGUGUAACAUCCCAAAUUUUCAAUUUGGAAUGUUAUACAUUAGAUCAUCAUUGCAUAGCAUAUUUUAUUGCAUUUUGGCAAAUCCUCGGAAAUCCUAAGCAACUCAAGGACCCUCGGAGAGAGUUCGGGAUUUUUCGCGGUUUUCAUAUUUGAUUUUUAUCAAAUAAUGAAACAAGGAUUUUGGUUGUAAUUAUUUUUCUCUCCGAAAAAUAUUUCGUAUUAAAAUAAAUGAGAGGAGAAAAUAUGACUUCUCCAAAAUAAUUGAAAUAUUGGAGGAAAAAUAUUAAAGUCAAAUAUUGGAUUUUAUUUGCAAUUUUAAUUGCAUUAGAAAAAUUACACGUUUUCAAAACUGUAUUUUUGGGCCAAGAAAAUGUUCAUCUCGUUCUAAUUAUUUUAAUUAGACGGUGAAAAUUUGUUUUGGCAUUUUGGCAUUUUUAUUUAUUUUUCUAUGAUUUUUUUAGAUUCGGCAAAAUUAUUUAAAAAAAACUCGCGAAGCGCGCCGACUGGGCCGAAACCCAGCCGACGGCCCAGCCCAGCACCGCACCUCGUCUCCCUCCUGGAGACCGAGACGGAGACCGCCGCCGCCCCGAGUCCCGCUCGUCGCCGCCACCCCUUGCCCCUUCCCCAAGGCAGCACCCCCCUCCUUAAAUACUCCCCCCGCCGCCCCUCUCCUCACCCCGCCCCGACCCGAAGCCGCCCCGCCGCCGAGAGGACCCGCCNNNNNNNNNNNNNNNNNNNNNNNNNNNNNNNNNNNNNNNNNNNNNNNNNNNNNNNNNNNNNNNNNNNNNNNNNNNNNNNNNNNNNNNNNNNNNNNNNNNNNNNNNNNNNNNNNNNNNNNNNNNNNNNNNNNNNNNNNNNNNNNNNNNNNNNNNNNNNNNNNNNNNNNNNNNNNNNNNNNNNNNNNNNNNNNNNNNNNNNNNNNNNNNNNNNNNNNNNNNNNNNNNNNNNNNNNNNNNNNNNNNNNNNNNNNNNNNNNNNNNNNNNNNNNNNNNNNNNNNNNNNNNNNNNNNNNNNNNNNNNNNNCCCCGACGACGCCCGAGCCCCGCCGCCCUCGCCGCCCUCUCCCGAACCCGCAGGAGCCCGCCGGAAUACCUCGCCGGAGGUAUAACCAGAGCCGCCGCCGUCGUGCCGUUUUUUUUUAAAAACCGUUCGGUUUAUUUUUUCUGAAACCCUAGAUUUUUUUUAGAUCGGUUUAUUUUUUUCUUCGGUUUAGUUAGUUAGUGAACGUUCACCGAUCUGUUCGUUUUAACGAACGUGUUCGUCGGUUUGUCGCAGCUAACGAACGUCCGUUCGUUUAACUGUUCCUCGGUUUUCUUUUUCGUCGGAUUUUCCGCGAUUAUUCCAGAUCGCGAUUUCUGAUCAGAUUUUCAUUCUGGUUUAUCUUUUGAGCUCGUUUAUCGGAAUCAGGCGAUUCAAGCGCCUAGAGUUUCGUCUCGAAAUUCUCAUUCCGUUUAACCUAUUCAAACAAAUUUUUGCUACUGUAAAAUUUGACUUAGAUCCAGAUUCUUUUGAGCUCGUUUAUCGGAAUCAGGCGAUUCAAGCGCCUAGAGUUUCGUCUCGAAAUUCUCAUUCCGUUUAGCCUAUUCAAACAAGUUUUUGCUACUGUAAAAUUUGACUUAGAUCCAGAUUAGUAAACGAAGCUUGUUUCUUUCGCCAUUCGACUUUCGUUGCUUCGUUUGAUUUGAUUCUUUUUGCAAACCGGAGUUCUUAAUUGAACUUUCUGGUUAGAUCUUUAUUUGAGUUUUACCUGUGCAUUAGAUGAGUGCUUAUUGUAUGCUUGUUUGUUUGCGAUAGAGUACCCGGAGUGCGCCGCUUGCUACUUCGAAUCUCUAAGUUUCAUGGAUCAUCAGCAAGGCAAGUAACACUUUGAUCAUACCUCUUUUACUACCCAGUUUUAUUCAUUAGACCAAUCCUCAAACAUUGCAUGAUUAGGAUCUAAUUAAAUUGUGGGUAUUGGGAAGUAGAUGAGGUAGUACCUAUUGCCCUGUUUAUUAUCAAACUUUGUGAGUUACUUCUACGUUUGCUCAUAUUGCUAUGCUAUGCUAGUAGACGUGGAUUGGGUUUGAGUGUUACCAUGACAGACGUGAGAUUGUUAAUUAAUGGUUAACCCUAAGGUGGCAACUAAAACUCACAUCUGGGUGGACUGAGGUACCUGGGUAUUCCAGGAUUGCCUGUUUUUCUUUGGACCGCCACCCAGGUUCAAAGGGAUCAUGAUAUUAUUCAUGCUAGAAACUUCCGUGUGCAGCCGCAAGCUAUUAUGGGCUCUAGCAUAGUUGAGUAGGUUGUGUGAGCUCUUGAAGAGGUAGACUAGCAGAUGUAGGGGAUGUAGGUGGUACUGUCUACCCGGAGUAGAGAGUUAACGCUUCUGAAAGACUGUGUCUCGGUCAUCCGUUUCUCAAACACCAUGAAGUGCGAGAAUCCCAACGGAGGAGAUCAAGUCUUGUGGGGAAAAGUGCACAAACCUCUGCAGAGUGUAUAAACUAAUCAUGGUUAGCCGUGUCCCCGGUUAUGGACAUCUUGAGUAUCUAGUACUUGGAUUAUCAUGUGAAUCUCAUCAUGUUACUUUAAUUAAUUUUGUUGGGUUAAUGAUGAUACUUAAUUGGGAUUGAAAAUGCUGUCAACCAUUCUCAAUGUUUAACCACCACCAUGAUAUUUAAUAAAAUUUAUUCCUUUGCAGUAGGGAAAAAUUGGCUUUUCGCAAAAUUGUAACCAUAGAGCUUAACACCAGCCAUAUAUGCAUGUAGUAUAGCAUUAUUAUGUUCAUUACUCUCUAUGUGUUACAUUGCCAGCAUAUUCCAUGUGCUGACCCGUUUUCGGGCUGCAACGUGUCAUGUUGCAGACUUUUCAGACGACGAGUAAGGUGCCUUAGGUCGUGGUCUUAUACUCAGUGAUGCCGUUGGAGUUGAUGGACUCACUUAUCUUCCAAGUCUUCCGCUGUUAUCGUUUUUAGAUGGCCUUAAGCCAUAUUUGUCAUACUUAUUUCUCUCUUGAGAUACUCGUUGUAAUAAGUGUGUGAUUGCUACUCUGUUAUAAAUCCUCCAUUUGUACUAUGCGUGUCAUCAUUACUGAUCCAGGGAUGACACUGGUGCACGGUAGAUCAGACUGCUUGAGGUCUGGUCGCUACAAAGGUGGUAUCAGAGCACACACUGACUGUAGGACACGGCCACUAAGCUUAAACCCUAGAACACUACUCUCUUCUCAUUUCUGACUCCUCUUCACUUUCUACUCUUUUAGGAAUGGCGGAUGCAAGGAACAAGUUCAUGCAACCGGAUGAUGAUACACCUUUUGGACGACACUUGAAGGAAGUCACUAAGUACCUAAACAUCGGAAUACCAAGCUUCACCGGGACUUACAAAGCCACACUACCAGAAGAGGAGCGCUGGAAGAUUCAAGUUCAAGUUCCAGGAAGGACGUUUACGCCAGUCACUGAGCUUAUAGAGUUUUCCUUUGAUGCACCAACCUGGAGUUUAGGGAAGAGCAUGGCAGCCCACAUCUCUAUGGGACGCAUUGGAGAAGUCUACUAUAGGGAGCUUAAGGAUACUAUUUAUCAGAUUUGUGGACGCCGAGAUGAGCAAUGGGAGAUGAUCAGCACCAAGAAGGAUGGAUCAAUUGCAGCUUUCAUCCAGGAGCAAAACCAACACAUUCGUCGCCAGGAGAACCAGAUGUGCGCAGACAUGUUAGAUCUGAAGAAGGCAUUGACCAAGAUCAUGGAGUUGGAGGAAGAACUCAAGUCUACACGCGAUGGAUAUGAGGAGGAGAUCGCCAUGUUGUUGGAGAAGAAUGACGACCUGAUAAAGAAGAUCGGAGUAUUCAUGGGAGACCCAGCACCAGGAGGAGAAGAUGACAAUUCUACUUGCCCGGAUAACUACAUCAUCAUCGACGACACCGACUCAGACCCCAGUGAAGAUGACUUUGUUGAUGAAGCUGGAGCAGAUAUCAUGGAGUCUUCGACCGAUCAAAAUUUCUAGUAGACCACCAUAAUCAGUAGUAGUAUUCCCCCAUGUAUAUAGUAUAGUCCGAGCACUUUGUAACGAUAGUUAGAUCGAUUGUAUGCCUUGUUUGAUUUGAUUGAGUGAUAUUGAUUGUGUUUGUCUCAUGAGCAUAUGGGUAGUGUUUUCUCUCUAGACCUCAUUCUAUUCUAAAUUCUCAUCUUUUCUAAACCUAUCAGAUGCCUCCGAGACGCGACACCGGAUUUGUUUUCCCACCGGAGAUCACUCAGUUGAUUCAGCAGCAGAAUGCCCUGAUGCAAGUGUUAGUACAGAACCAAGGCAACAACAACAAUAACAACCCACCACCACCACCUGUUGAUCACUUAGCCCGUUUCUUGAGGCUAAAUCCGCCGGUGUUUUCCAGCAGCACCGAGCCGAUUGUUGCAGAUGAUUGGCUCCGCAAAGUUGGGAGGGAGUUGACCACUGCAGGAUGCACAGAUGCGGAGAGAGUGCGGUUUGCCGCACAUCAGCUUGAUGGACCCGCAUCAUCAUGGUGGGAGAAUUACACAGCCACACACCCUAUUGACACUGUCACAUGGGACCAGUUUCAGCAAGCUUUCCGUACUGCCCAUGUUUCAGCAGGAGCUAUGGCUAUGAAGAAGCGUGAGUUUCGCAACCUACGCCAAGGAGGACGCACCGUAGGCCAGUAUGUGGAGGACUUUAGUAAGUUAGCACGUUAUGCUCCAGAUGACGUUGCUACAGAUGCAGCCAAGCAGGAGAAGUUUCUCGAAGGACUGAAUGAUGAGCUGAGCAUGCAGUUGAUGGUAGAAACCUUCAACAACUACCAGGAGUUGGUAGAUAGAGCUCUCAUGAUUGAAGGGAAGCAGCAGCAGAUUGAAAACCGUAAAAGGAAGUAUGGACAAGGGAAGUACAAUUCUGGAGCUCAGCAGAAGCCACGUUUUACCCCGAAAUCGGGAGGACAGUUUCAGCAUACCCAUGGAGGAGGUAGUUCGCACAACCAAAAUGGCCCCAAGAAUGGUAAUGGGAAUGGAGGAAGCAACGGCCAGAACCGUACCAACCCUUCAACCCCAGCUAAGAGAGACCUGAGCCAAGUCACUUGCUUUAAGUGCCAAAAGACUGGACAUUAUGCCAAUGAAUGUCCUGAAGCCCAGAAUGGAAAUGGCAAUGGAAGAUCUGGGAAGAAGCCGAACCCUUUCAACAAAGGACAUGUGAACCACGUUAGCGUGGAGGAGGUAGAAGCUCAGCCAGAUGCAGUAAUAGGUAAGUUUUUGGUUAAGUCAUUUACUGCACUUGUUCUUUUUGAUACUGGUGCAUCGCAUUCAUACAUAUCAAGGGGAUUUGUGGAUAAGUAUAAACUGCCAACCCAAGCCCUUAGGUCACCCAUGUUAGUAACCUCGCCAGGAGCGAAGUAUAUGGCUAGUUUAUGGUGUGAUCGAUUACCAUUAAGGAUUGGUAACUACGUGUUUCCCUCGGACCUAAUAGUACUGGAAUCGCAAGGAUUGGAUGUGAUAUUAGGCAUGGAUUGGUUAUCGAAGUAUGGAGGGAACAUUGAGUGCGCCAGUAAGUCGAUUUUGCUUACCACCCCGGAAGGGAGAAGGAUUAAGUAUGUAUCCCGGCAUGUGCCGAAGAGGACUCAAGUAAAUUCCUUAUCAGGAGUUGUACAGGAAGAAGUACUAGUGGUGAAGGAUUACCCGGAUGUAUUUCCAGAAGAGUUGCCAGGCAUGCCACCAGAUAGAGACAUAGGGUUUUUGAUUGAACUUUUGCCACGCACAUGGCCGAUAUCUAAGAGAUCGUACAGGAUGCCCGCAAAAGAUUUGGAGGAGAUUAAGAAGCAGAUUAAGGAGUUACUGGAUAAAGGCUAUAUUUGCCCAAGUUUGUCACCUUGGGGAUCACCCGUACUUCUAGUGGAGAAGAAAGAUGGAUCGUUGAGGAUGGUUGUUGAUUAUCGAGGAUUGAAUGAAGUGACCAUAAAAAAUAAAUACCCACUGCCGAUGAUCAAUGAUUUGUUUGACCGAUUACAAGGAACUAAGGUAUUUUCCAAGAUCGAUCUACGAUCAGGAUACCAUCAGUUGAAGAUUCAAGAGAAGGAUAUACCUAAGACGGCUUUUACCACCAGGUAUGGGCUAUAUGAGUAUACCGUUAUGUCAUUUGGUCUGACUAACGCACUUGCCUAUUUCAUGAACCUGAUGAACAAAGUGUUUAUGGAGUUUUUGGAUAAGUUCGUCGUAGUGUUCAUUGAUGACAUUUUGGUUUAUUCCAAGAAUGAAGAGGAGCAUAAGGAACAUUUGCAUUUGGUACUUGAGAAGCUCAGAGAACAUCACUUAUACGCCAAGUUCAGCAAAUGUGAGUUUUGGUUGAAGGAAGUUGGAUUCCUCGGACAUGUUAUAUCCGGAGAAGGAAUAGCAGUAGACCCCGCCAAAGUCGACACUGUGACAAACUGGGAAUCACCCACAUCAGUUGGAGGGAUCCGGAGUUUUCUUGGACUUGCAGGAUACUACCGGAGGUUCAUUGAGAAUUUCUCGAGGAUUGCUAAGCCCAUGACAGAGCUGUUAAAGAAGGACACCAAGUUCAAUUGGACUGAGGAAUGUGAAGCUAGUUUCCAAGAGUUGAAGAAACGUUUGGUUACAUCACCAGUGCUGAUUCUGCCAGAUCAACGCAAGGAUUAUGAAGUAUAUUGCGACGCUUCACGUCGAGUACUUGGAGCAGUGCUAAUGCAGGAGGGAAGAGUUGUUUCAUAUGCUUCAUGACAACUUAAACCCCAUGAGAAGAAUUAUGCCACCCAUGAUUUGGAGUUAGCAGCCGUAGUACAUGCGUUGAAGACAUGGAUACAUUUUCUCAUCGGAAAUCACUGUGAGGUGUACACGGAUCACAAGAGUUUGAAGUACAUUUUCACGCAGAAGGAGUUGAAUCUCAGGCAAAGGAGAUGGUUGGAGCUCAUUAAGGAUUAUGAUAUGAGAUUGCAUUAUCCCCCAGGGAAGGCUAACGUAGUAGCUGAUGCGUUGAGCCGCAAGAGCUAUGUUAACACCCUCAUGACCGGAGAGUUACUAAAAUUAUUAGCCGAGGAUCUUCGCGAGCUAUAUUUGGAGAUAGUUCCAAGAGGCUAUUUAGCAACGUUGGAGAUUCAGUCUACCUUGAUGGAAAAGAUCAGGGAAGCUCAGAAGACAGACAAGGAGAUUUACGAGAUAAAGAAAAGGAUGAGUAAAGGAAAAGCCAAGGGAUUUCGUGAGGAUGAGCACGGUACCUUAUGGUUUGAUGACCGCGUUUAUGUGCCCAAUGAUCCGGAGAUCAGGAAGUUGAUCUUGCAAGAGGCCCAUGAUUCACCGUAUUCGAUUCACCCAGGAAAUACCAAGAUGUAUUUGGAUUUGAAGGAUACUUUCUGGUGGACCGGAAUGAAGAAGGAUAUUGCGGAGUAUGUAGCAGUUUGUGAUGUAUGUCAGAGAGUGAAGGCAGAGCAUCAGAAGCCAGCAGGAUUGCUACAGCCAUUGCCGAUACCCGAAUGGAAAUGGGAUAAACUAGGCAUGGGUUUUAUCACGGGAUUGCCCAGGACUCAUUCCGGCUAUGACUCAAUAUGGGUUGUAGUCGAUCGUUUGACGAAAGUAGCUCAUUUCAUCCCAGUGAAGACCACUUACACCAGUGCUAAUUUGGCAAAGAUAUACAUGACCAGGAUCGUAUGUCUGCAUGGAGUUCCGAGGACCAUUGUAUCAGAUAGAGGAACCCAGUUUACUUCGAAGUUUUGGAAUCAGUUACAUGAAACUUUGGGUACCAGGCUAGAGUUCAGUACAGCCUUUCAACCACAUACAGACGGACAGACCGAGAGAGUCAAUCAGAUUUUGGAAGAUAUGCCGAGAGCUUGUGUGCUAGAUUAUGGAUCUAGUUGGGACGACAAUUUGCCGUAUGCAGAGUUUUCUUACAACAACAGUUAUCAAACUAGUUUGAAGAUGGCCCCUUUCGAAGCUUUGUAUGGAAGGAGGUGCAGAACACCCUUGUUGUGGAACGAAGUUGGAGACCGCCAGUUGUUUGGACCAGAUUUGAUUAAGGAAUCAGAACAGAAGGUGAAUUGAUUCGCGAUAGGCUCAAGGUAGCCCAGUCCAGGCAGAAGAGUUAUGCGGAUUCUAAACGCAAGGAGACAGUUUACGAAGUCGGAGACAGAGUUUACCUACGAGUAUCACCACUUCGAGGAGUUAAGCGCUUUGGAGUUAAAGGAAAGUUAGCGGCACGUUUUGUAGGACCAUACAAAGUUUUGGAGCGUAUGGGAGAAGUUGCCUACAAGCUGGAAUUGCCUUAAGGAUUGUCAGGAGUUCAUGAUGUAUUUCAUGUUUCCCAGUUGAAGAAGUGCCACGCAGAUAUGGCUGAGAUACCACUGAGAGAUACGGUGCCAUUGGAAGCGAUUCAGCUGGAUAGUGACUUGACCUAUGAGGAGAAACCAGUUAAGAUUCUUGAGUAUGCCAGCCGAGUCACCCGCAGCAAGGUUAUCAAGUUUUGCAAAGUUCAGUGGAGUCACCAUACCGAGGACGAAGCCACCUGGGAACGAGAGGAAGAUCUACGGAAGAACCACUCUCACCUAUUUUCUAGCCAACCCGAAUCUCGAGGGCGAGAUUCAUCUUAAGGGGGUAGGUUUGUAACAUCCCAAAAUUUUAAUUUGGAAUGUUAUACAUUAGAUCAUCAUUGCAUAGCAUAUUUUAUUGCAUUUUGGCAAAUCCUCGAAAAUCCUAAGCAACUCAAGGACCCUCGGAGAGAGUUGGGGAUUUUUCGCGGUUUUCAUAUUUGAUUUUUAUCAAAUAAUGAAACGAGGAUUUUUGGUUGUAAUUAUUUUUCUCUCCGAAAAAUAUUUCGUAUUAAAAUAAAUGAGAGGAGAAAAUAUGACUUCUCCAAAAUAAUUGAAAUAUUGGAGGAAAAAUAUUAAAAUCAAAUAUUGGAUUUUAUUCGCAAUUUUAAUUGCAUUAGAAAAAUUGCACGUUUUCAAAACUGUAUUUUUGGGCCAAGAAAAUGUUCAUCUCGUUCUAAUUAUUUUAAUUAGACGGUGAAAAUUUGUUUUGGAAUUUUUGGAUCUUUAUUUAUUUUUCUACAUUUUUUAGGUUCGGUGAAAUUAUUAAAAAAAACUCGCGAAGCGCGCCGACUGGGCCGAAACCCAGCCGACGGCCCAGCCCAGCCCCGCGCCUCGUCUCCCUCCUGGAGACCGAGACGGAGACCGCCGCCGCCCCGAGUCCCGCUCGUUGCCGCCGUCCCUUGCCCCUUCCCCAAGGCAGCACCCCCCUCCUUAAAUACUCCCCCGCCGCCCCUCUCCUCACCCCGCCCCGACCCAAAGCCGCCCCGCCGCCGAGAGGACCCGCCGGAGCAGGAGCCCAACGCCGCCGCCUCGGGAAGCCCCGUACGCCGCCGCCCUCGUCGCCCCUCGCCGCCCCCGACGACGCCCGAGCCCCGCCUCCCUCGCCGCCCUCUCCCAAACCCGCAGGAGCCCGCCGGAAUACCUCGCCGGAGGUAUAACCAGAGCCGCCGCCACCGUGCCGGUUUUUUUAAAACCGUUCGGUUUAUUUUUUUCCAAAACCCUAGAUUUUUUUAGAUCGGUUAAUUUUUUUCUUCAGUUUAGUUAGUUAGUGAACAUUCACCGAUCCGUUCGUUUUAACGAACGUGUUCGUCGGUUUGUCGCAGAUAACGAACGUCCGUUCGUUUAACUGCUCGUCAGUUUUCUUUUUCGUCGGAUUUUCCGCGAUUAUUCCAGAUCGCGAUUUCUGAUCAGAUUUUCGUUCUGGUUUAUCUUUUAGCUCGUUUAUCGGAAUCAGACGAUUCAAGCGCCUAGAGUUUCGUCUCGAAAUUCUCGUUCUGUUUAAUCUAUUCAAACAAGUUUUUGCUACUGUAAAAUUUGACUUAGAUCCAGAUUAGUAAACGAAACUUGUUUCUUUCGCCGUUCGACUUUCGUUGCUUCGUUUGAUUCGAUUCUUUUUGCAAACCGGAGUUCUUAAGUUGAACUUUAUGGUUAGAUCUUUAUUUGAGUUUUACCUGUGCAUUAGAUGAGUGCUUAUUGUAUGCUUGUUUGUUUGCGAUAGAGUACCCGGAGUGCGCCGCUUGCUACUUCGAAUCUCUAAGUUUCACGGAUCAUCAGCAAGGCAAGUAACACUUUGAUCAUACCUCUUUUACUACCCAGUUUUAUUGCAUUAGACCAAUCCUCAAACAUUGCAUGAUUAGGAUCUAAUUAAAUUGUGGGUAUUGGGAAGUAGAUGAGGUAGUACCUAUUGCCCUGUUUAUUAUCAAACUUUGGGAGUUACUUCUACGUUUGCUCAUAUUGCUAUGCUAUGCUAGUAGACAUGGAUUGGGUUUGAGUGUUACCAUGACAGAUGUGAGAUUGUUAAUUAAUGGUUAACCCUAAGGUGGCAACUAAAACUCACAUCUGGGUGGAUUGAGGUACCUGGGUAUUCCAGGAUUGCCUGUUUUUCUUUGGACCACCACCCAGGUUCAAAGGGAUCAUGAGAUUAUUCAUGCUAGAAACUUCCGUGUGCAGCCGCAAGCUAUUAUGGGCUCUAGCAUAGUUGAGUAGGUUGUGUGAGCUCUUGAAGAGGUAGACUAGCAGAUGUAGGGGAUGUAGGUGGUACUGUCUACCCGGAGUAGAGAGUUAACGCUUCUGAAAGACUGUGUCUCGGUCAUCCGUUUCUCAAACACCAUGAAGUGCGAGAAUCCCAACGGAGGAGAUCGAGUCUUGUGGGGAAAAGUGCACAAACCUCUGCAGAGUGUAUAAACUAAUCAUUGUUAGCCGUGUCCCCGGGUAUGGACAUCUUGAGUAUCUAGUACUUGGAUUAUCAUGUGAAUCUCAUCAUGUUACUUUAAUUAAUUUUGUUGGGUUAAUGAUGAUACUUAAUUGGGAUUGAGAAUGCUGUCAACCAUUCUCAAUGUUUAACCACCACCAUGAUAGUUGAAUAAAAUUUAUUCCUUUGCAGUAGGGAAAAAUUGGCUUUUCGCAAAACUGUAACCAUAGAGCUUAACACCAGCCAUAUAUGCAUGUAGUAUAGCAUUAUUAUGUUCAUUACUCUCUAUGUGUUACAUUGCCAGCAUAUUCCAUGUGCUGACCCGUUUUCGGGCUGCAACGUUUCAUGUUGAAAACUUUUCAGACGACGAGUAAGGUGCCUUAGGUCGUGGUCUUAUACUCAGUGAUGCCGUUGGAGUUGAUGGACUCACUUAUCUUCCAAGUCUUCCGCUGUUAUAGUUUUUAGAUGGCCUUAAGCCAUAUUUGUCAUACUUAUUUCUCUCUUGAGAUACUCGUUGUAAUAAGUGUGUGAUUGCUACUCUGUUAUAAAUCCUCCAUUUGUACUGUGCGUGUCAGCAUUACUGAUCCAGGGAUGACACUGGUGCACGGUAGAUCAGACUGCUUGAGGGUUGGUUGCUACAAGAAGGGUCCAGCACAGCAGGGAUCCGGCCUCCAGACUAUCUUUCGCCGCCUCAGAUCUUCUUCCCCGCUGCUGGCAGCCAUGAAAACUGCAUUACCAUCAUCAACCGAGCAGACGACCUCGAGGACUACACGGGUCUGCAAGAGAGGUCGCACUCUUUGGUGUCUGCUUACGUUAUGCAUCGCUUAAUAUUACAUGCUACUUUAUCGUCCUGUUCACCGAUUAGACUCUGAGUCAGCUCCAAACUAAUGGUCAAACUUGAGUUUUUAAAUGGUUGUGGGGUACAUAUCGGGGCCGCUAUCAAUAGUAUCUAUCUACUAUCUGGUUAAUCUCCGGUGUCUACUAUGAGUUUCAUGUUGGGUGGGAAACAAACAGUAAAGAAGCCAUUAUCUGUAUUUUUUAACUGAAGCCAUUAUCUGCCUGCUAUUAUUGGUUUUGGGUCUAUCCACAGGUUGCUACCAUCACUCUGGAUUUCUGCAUGCACUCCUUACAUAAUCUCACUAUGUUUUAUUCCUAUGCAUGACAGUUAUUGUAAACAAUGGAACUGAACAUGUAGAGCAAAAGAGACGAGCCUUGCAUGGCAAUAAAAUUUCAUGCAGACGUCGCUCCAUGGUAGGCGCAAAGGCAGCCCCCCCCUCCACGCAUUUCGGAUUGUAAUCGAGAGGAAGAUAUCUGUUCUGAGGUGGAUUCAGAAGGAGAAGACAACUCCUAUUUACUCCCUGAGGUCUUCGCUCUAACUUGGCAUGCUGAUGUUGGUUAUAUCAUGCAUAUGGUGUCUUGCAUUGCGUACUUUAUACAUCAAAUAUGUCAUCUGCUUAGUUUAGACAUCCUUUGUGCGAAUGCCAUCUGUUUAGUUUAUUCAUCGUUUAUGUGAAUUAUGCAACGCCAUCUUGUUUAGCCAGGCAUCAUAUAUGUGAAUUUUGCAAUGCCAUCCUGCUUAGCCAGUCAUCUUAUAUGUAAAUUAUAUCAGGCCAUCCUUUUUUUUCCGUUACAUAUUACAUUUGUCAACAAUGUUAGUACAUUCGACUGCUCUUCGUGUGCAUCAGCCAUUUGACACGGUGAUGGCAAAUUCUGGAGUGAAAACAAGGUCUUCAGAGCAGACUAUGCUAUUUGACGAAGCGCAUAUCUCGCUGCUUACGGAUAGCUCCUCAGAGGAGGAUUCAGAGACAGAUGACCAGUCCUAUUCCCCCCCCGAGGUGUAUGCUCUAACUUGGCAGGGUUAUGUUGCUCAUAUCGUGCGUAUGGUGUCUCACAUUGCUAUGUCAUUUGAUUAGUUUAGACAUGCUUUGUGUGAAUGCCACCUGUUUAGUGUCUAAUUACCAUAUAUGUGAAUUAUGCAUUGCCAUCUUGUUGCAAGACAUUAUAUAUGUGAAUUAUACAAUGCUAUCUUGUUGCAAAGGCAUUAUAUAUGUGAAUUAUGCAAUGCCAUGUUGUUUAGCCAAUCAUCAUGUAUGUGAAUUAUAUCAUGCUAUCAUUUUUUGUAUUACGUGUUCCAUUUGUCGACAACGUUUGUAUAUUCAACUACUCUUCCUAUGCAUCAGCCAUUUGAAGCGGUGAUGGAAGUAUCUGGAGUGAAAACAAGGUAUUUAGAGCAGACAAUGCUACCUGCUGAAGCAGACAUCUUGCUGGUUACAGAGAGCUCCUCAGAGGAGGAUUCAGAGACUGAUGACCAGUCCUAUUUCCCCCCUGAGGUCUACGCUCAAACUUGGCAGGGUUAUAUUACCCAUGUCAUGCAUGUUGUCUUGCAUUGCUUAGUUUUUACAUCAUAUAUGGAUUGCCAUAUGCUUACUUGCUUACUAUAUAAUCAUAUAUUUGAAUUAUAUCAUGCCAUCAUGUUUACAUAGUACAUACACAUCAUCUAUCUGAAUUAUGGCAUGGCAACCCAUUUAAUAAAGACAUCAUAUAGUUAUAUCAUCUCAUCCUGUUUAGUGUUUACAGUCAUCAUAUUUUGAAUUAUGGCAUUCUAUCCGUGAAUGUAUGUGAAUUAUGGCAUGCCAACCUAUUUAAUAAACACAUUAUAUAGUUAUGUCAUGUCAUCCUGUUUACAUAGUCUCAUAUUUUGAACUAUGUCUUUCCAUCUUUCUUAGUUAGCCAUCAUAAUGUGAAAUUGUGUCAUGCUAUCCUGUUUAGUUAGCCAUCAUAUAUGUGAAAUUGUGUCAUGCUAUCCUGUUUGGUUAGACAACAUAAAUAUGAAUUAUUUCAUGCCCUCUUUUAUUCCCCACUAUCCAUUGCACCUGUCUAUCAUACAAUGUCUAUACUUUCAAUUACUUUUCUUAUUUAUCAGCCAUUUGAAUUGGAGAGCGUGAUGGCAGUAUCUAAGGGAGUAACAACACGGUCUUCAGAAAAGAUAGUGCUACCAGUUGAUGCAGAUAGAACCACGGUUGUACUUACCCAAGGACUAGAUCCACCACACAUAACCCAGACUCUCGCAGAUUGUACCCCUACCCAGUUGGACAGAGAACCAGCUACACCCCUUCUAACCCCAACGCCGGUAGAUAGUAACCCAGUUCCAGUUGACACAGCACCGUCUCCACCACAAAGCACCCAAACACGAGCAGUUAGUAAGGGAACUGCAGUGCCCAAAGCACGAGGACCACCACUCCGAAUCCCAACUCAACGCUUAAAGGAGAAGAAGAUUUGUUCUCAGGUCAGGUUCUGUAGCUAUGGUUCAUACUCCUUUGCUCUUGCAUUACUGUAUUUACUCAUACCAACUAUUUUCAAAUUUGAAGGAUGGAAUUGAAACUCCAAUGGCGCCACAGGUAUGUUUUAAACCUGUUUCUUUAACUGGUUUGCUGUUGUAACCUGCUCUAUGUUGAUUUCAGUUUCAAUUGAAUAAACAAUUAUGUUCUCAUGUCAUGCACAUUACAAGUGUUGUUAUUGCUCUAUAGUUACCCACACUUAUAUUCUGUCUAUUCUGCUUUUUCUUGAACAAAUAUUAUUUGAACUGUGUCUCUAUCUUGAUUUGGCAACAAAAACUAGAAUGAUAUAGACCAUAAAGUGACCAUGGUACAUAGAUAUAUGUUUGUUUCAUGCUGUUAUCCUGUCCACUUUACUACUGAACUCAUUUACCAAAAUGAGUUUCAUAUACAACAUGGUAAACAUGUGAUGUGUCUGCUUGUUUCUCUUUUAGAAUGCGGACAAAAUAUUGGAGAACAGUACCGCGUUAUCCAAUGGUAAAGGAAGUAAUGCAGAUAAGGUUCAAGAUAGUGAGACAUCCCUGUUGGUCUCCAACAAAGCUGAUAAAAACUAUCUUGACGACAGUGAGGGAACCCAAAAGUCCUGUCUUGAUGUAGUGUUCGAGUUACUGGCCACUACUGCUGGCACAAGCUCUUCGAACUCGCUGCCUGAAUCAGUUCGUCUUCUUGAGUCUCAACUUCAAGUUGAAAGACAUCGAUCAGAUGUGCUGCGACAGGAAGCUGAAGGACUGAGGAAGUCCAUGCAGAAUUCAGAUGCACAUUUUCUGGUGCAACAGCAAGCGCUGGAGGAUUUAAGCGCCAAACAAGAGAAAGUUAAUAAGCUUGCUAAGCAUCUUGCCAGCACUAUGGGUACCCAGGAUAUUGUUACUUGAGAUCUUCUGAAGUGGUUUCAGUUCUGGAUGUGUUUUGCUGCGGCGUUUAUUUGCGCUGGUCGCCAACUUUGACAACCCACUACUAGAAAAAGGGCUAUAGAUGGAAUGGCCACUAAUGGCGCACCAGACAUGUGGUGCGCCACUCCUAUAUAGCAGUGGCGCACCAUGUGCUGGUGCGCCAUUAGUGUGAAAGACACUAAUGGCGCACCAGAGAGAUGGUGCGCCAUUAGUAACAAAAUUUUAUUUUUUAUUUUUCCAAACAUACUAAUGGCGCACCAGGGCACAGUGCGCCAUUACUAGUUCUAACUAGUAAUGGCGCACCAGGGCACAGUGCGCCAUUACUAGUUCUAACUAGUAAUGGCGCACCAGCCACAUAGUGUGCCACUACUAUAUUUUUUUAUUUUUUAUUUUUUUGCAAAACUACUAAUGGCGCACCAGGGUACAGUGCGCCAUUACUAGUUUAAACUAGUAAUGUCGCACUGUUCCCUGGUGCGCCAUUAGUGUUUUUUUUGCAAAAACUACUAAUGGCGCACCACCAGCAGGUGCACCAUUAGUAACCAGGGUUACUAAUGGCGCAUUAGGUGGUGGUGCACCAUUAGUAACCUGGGACGAGCUAGAUAGUUUGGACAGCCACACCUACCCACUCACUUUCCCCACUUCAUUCUCUCCACCUCCUCCUCCAAGCUUGUCUCGGCUGCCUCCUCCUCCUCACCUCAUUUGCACCAUAAAUUCAUCCAAAUUAAGUGGUUAAAUUACCUUUUUUUGAUAGUUAAGUAAGGGGGAAGCUAUCUUUAUGUUGUUCUCCCUCUCGAACAACGUGCACAUGCACUUUUUAUGGCCUAGCUAGAUCUAUGUAUGUUUGUGGUGUUGCAUAUGUUUGUGCUGUUGCAUAUAUGUUUGUGUUUGCAGGUACCGGUAUUUGAAAUGUGAUAGUUGCCAAUAUUUUGCCAGAAUGUUGAUUCAUUUCUGUUUCGGCGAGAAUUUUGGCACUAUGCAUUCUUUUUGGUCCUAUUUUUAGGGAAAGUCAUUCCAAAUUUUUUCUUGGUUCUAAAAUAUCGUUUUGCUCUACCCCGCAGGCGACCAUGGUCCGCACGAUGACCGAAGGCAUCGUGAAUAGGUUUUUGAGCUCCGCGAAGGCCAAGAUGCUUGAAAAGAACGAGACGGAGAUAAGAUGUCCGUGUCAAAGAUGCAAGCUGAAGAGCCUUAUUGCGGACCCGGAUUCCGGGCAGGUGCGGGACCACCUGCUCUUGGUGGUUUCAUUGAUGGCUAUCGGUGGCAAGGUGAUGAAGAUGACUAUGAAGUCGUCCAUGGGGGUCGGGCAAGAAAUGAGGAUGGGCAGCAAGACAACCACCAUGGCUCGGGCGGGCGAGAAGAUGAAGAAUCUCCAGGACAUGAUCACGACGGUGAUGCUGUACACAGUCAUCAUGUAGAAGAUGCCGGACAUGAUGAUGAUGAAGAUGCGGGAGCAGACGAAGGGCAUGAUCGUGAAGAUGAAGAUGCCGGCGGAGCAGACAACGAUGGACCAUCGAUGGGCUGGGUGCAGGACCCUCAUAUUCAAGAGCUGCUUCUCAAGCAGACGGAUAACGCAAGAGCUGCCGCCUGAGAGAAAGCCAUGGUGGAUCAACUGGAGAUAGACGCGGUUACUCCAUUGUAUGAAGGAUGCAGGCCCGAGGAUACCCGCCUGAAAGUAACGCUCAUGGCUCUGGAGAUGAAGGUAAAACACAAAAUGACCGACGCAUGCUUCGACGAGAACAUGUCAUUCUGGCACGAACGUCUUCCCAAGGGGAACAAGUGCCCGACCAGUUUCGAGGAGGCGAAGAAAAUCAUGUGUCCUCUGGAUUUACCGCACGUGAAAUACCAUGUGUGCAUGAACGAUUGCAUCAUUUAUCGGGACGAGCACGCGGAGUCUACCAUAUGUCCGGUGUGCGGCGUCACUCGAUACAAGAAGAGGAAGAAAGCUCCUCGAAAAGUGGUGUGGUACUUUCCGAUCACUCCUCGUCUGCAGCGGUAUUUCGUGGACCCUAAGGUAGCAAAGCUCCUGCGUUGGCACGCGGAUAGGGAGGAGAAGAAGCAAGAGGAUGACGCAAAUGAUCCGGAGAUAAAUAAAAAAGACAAGAUGCUGAGUCACCCUAAGGAUGGGAGCCAGUGGCAAGCGUUGAACUUCGAACACCGAGAAUUUGGGAAGGAUCCAAGGAACAUCGUGCUGGGCGCGAGCACCGAUGGAGUCAAUCCGUUUGGCAGCCAGAGAAGCACACAUAGCACCUGGCCUGUGUUUGUGUGGAUGUACAACCUUCCCCCCUGGUUGUGCAUGAAGAGGAAGUACAUUCACAUGAGUAUGCUAAUUGAAGGGCCGAAACAACCAGGGAACGACAUCAAUCUGUAUCUGGGGCUGCUGAAAGAGGAGCUAGACACGCUGUGGAAAACGCCAGCCAAUACGUGGGACGCCGCAGAGAAAGAAUAUUUCCCUAUGAGAGCCGCACUGCUCACGACGGUGCACGACUAUCUCGGUUACGGAUAUCUUGCGGGGCAGGUGGUCCACGGAUUUUCUGGAUGCGUCAGGUGCAUGGAUGACACAACGUAUCACCAGCUAGAUAGAGAUCCUGGGUCUUCGAAAACCCUGUUCAUGGGACAUCGAAGGUGGCUUCGCGACGAUGACCCGUGGAGGAAACGCAAGGAUCUGUUCGAUGGUGAAACCGAACCCCGAAGACGCCCGCGUACGAGGAGCGGCGAGGAAAUAGAUGAGCUGUUGAAAAAUUGGAAAGAUUGCUCACUGCCGGGAAAGAAGCAAAAGGCGCCAGAGCCGGGAAAGAAGCGAAAGGCGCCAGAGCCAUUGCUGAAGGUAUGGAAAACGAGGUCUGUUUUCUGGGACUUUCCGUACUGGAAGAUCCACCGUGUGCCUCACAGCCUUGAUGUCAUGCAUAUCACGAAGAACGUGUGCGAGAGUCUGCUUGGUACCCUGCUCAACAUGCCAGAGAGGACCAAAGAUGGGCCGAAAGCAAGGGCAGACUUGAAAUCAAUGGGCAUCAGGGAGGAGCUUCACGCUAAUGAUGAUGAUGAUGAGGCGAAGCAGGACACGGAAAGUCGUCGCAAAGGCAAAAAAGCCAAGAAGACCGGAAAUGACUUCCCUCCCGCGUGCUUCACUCUAAGUCAGGAGGAUAUCGAUCAGUUUUUCACCUGCCUCGUAGGAGUAAAACUUCCUUACGGUUACGCGGGGAAGAUAAGCAGAUACCUAGACUCAGCGAAGCAGAAGUUCAGCGGGAUGAAGUCUCACGACUGUCACGUGCUGAUGACGCAGAUACUUCCAGUUGCAAUCCGUGGGAUCAUGGACGCGCACGUCCAUGAAACGCUAUUUGGCCUAUGCAACGUUUUUGACGUCAUCUCUCGGAAGUCGGUUGGCGUGAGGCAACUCAGAAGGCUACCGGAAGAGAUCGUGGUGAUACUAUGCGAGCUUGAGAUGUACUUCCCGCCCGCAUUCUUCGACGUUAUGGUGCAUCUACUGGUCCAUAUCAUGGAGGAUAUCAUCCAACUCGGGCCGACGUUCCUGCACAGCAUGAUGCCAUUCGAAAGGAUGAAUGGUGUCAUCAAAGGAUACGUUCGCAACAUGUCACGUCCAAAGGGAAGCAUAGCCAGGGGCUUUCUGACCGAAGAGUGCAUCUCCUACUGCACGAAUUAUCUAGGCAUCGAGAACCCCGUUGGUCUGCCCGUCAACAGGCACCUCGGCAGGCUCGCUGGAUGGGGUCACCGUGAGGGUCGCCGCGAAAUGCAUGUCGACUUCGAUGGUCGACUCGCCGACUUUGAAAGAGCAAACCUAGUCGCACUACAACACAUAGACGUGGUCGAUCCUUGGGUGGUAGAGCACAAAACCUUUAUUGAGAAGACGUACAAUGACCGAGGCCAACAAAGGACGGACGGAGAUAUAAUCAAAGAGCACAACUCAUGUUUCACGCAUUGGUUCAAGCAGAAGCUUCUGUCGUACCCUUUACAUGAGGAUUCUUCCGUGGAAGAACAACUCAUAUUCGCCUUGUCACAGGGCGCCGAGCAUAACCUGAUGACGUAUGAGGCAUACGAUAUCAACGGCUACACAUUCUACACCGAGGACAAGGACAUGAAGAGCGAUGGUUAUCAGAACUCCGGGGUAACGAUGGAAUCCUACACCGGUAACGACAAGGACAGAUACUAUGGAAGGAUCGAGGAGAUCUGGGAGCUGAGCUACGCUGGAGAGAAGGUCCCGAUGUUCCAUGUCAGAUGGGCCAAGAGCGUCAUAAAAGAAGACCGGUAUUUCACCACCAUGGUUAUACCCGAAGCCAAAUCCAAGACCGCAGGCGCGAACGUCACCGCAAAAAAUGAGCCAUGGGUACUGGCUUCCCAAGUAGACCAAUGCUUCUUCAUUACCGACCCGUCAAAGCCUAGUCGUGUUGUCGUGAGGAGAGGCAAAAGGAAGAUCAUCAGAAUGGAUGGAGUUGCCAAUGAGCAAGACUUCGACAAGUACGGCGACCCGAAGAUGGAACAUGACGACGACGAUGAAGUAUCAGCAUACACCACAAGAAGAAGCAGGACCACCCUACCUAAAGGACGUCCGUUCAAGAGAAGAACUCCAUUUACGAAAAAUAAGGGCAAGAAGAUUGUGAACAGAUAGCUAGCUAAGAUUGAUUGUAUUUAAAUUGUAGCCUUCAUUUCUUGAUUGUAUUUCAUGGGCACUUUUUGAACUCAUGAAUAUUUUUAAAUUUCAUGGACACUCGAUCUCGAUCCCCCUCCAUCUCGAUCGCUAUCCCACCUCGCUAGAUCCGGUCCCCCUCGCCACCGAGCACCCCCCGCACCCUCUACCCCGCUCCACCGGCCGCCGUCGCCGACCCCCGCACCCUCCCCCGCUCCACCGCCGCCGACGACCCCCCACACCCUCCCCGGCCCGCUCCACCGUCACAAAUGAAUGCAACUAAAAUUGCAAAAAAAACAAAUUUGAUUAUAUUUUCAAACAAUAAAUUUGAUGAUUUUUUUCAUAUUCAUAAAUACUAUUACUGUUUUUAUAAAAAAUUAUUACUGUUUCAUAUUCAUAUUCAUUUUCUAAAAAAUUAUUAGAUGCAACAAAAAAUAAUAAUAAAAAAAGAUUACUAAUGGCGCACCUCUGGCUGGUGCGCCAUUGCUAUAUAAAAAAAGUUUACUAAUGGCGCACCGACCGUGGGUGCGCCAUUGCUAUAUAAAAAAAACAGUGCGCCAUUAGUAAGUUUCCCCCCUAUAGCUAAUUCCUCCCUCUCCCUCGCCAGUUCCCCUUCGUCCCUCUCCCUCGCCAAGAUCCACCCGCGCGCUGCCCCGACCCACGACGCCGCCGCCCCGACCCCCGCCGGACUCCACCCCCGCCGCCCCCCACCACUACAGCUCCCCCNNNNNNNNNNNNNNNNNNNNNNNNNNNNNNNNNNNNNNNNNNNNNNNNNNNNNNNNNNNNNNNNNNNNNNNNNNNNNNNNNNNNNNNNNNNNNNNNNNNNNNNNNNNNNNNNNNNNNNNNNNNNNNNNNNNNNNNNNNNNNNNNNNNNNNNNNNNNNNNNNNNNNNNNNNNNNNNNNNNNNNNNNNNNNNNNNNNNNNNNNNNNNNNNNNNNNNNNNNNNNNNNNNNNNNNNNNNNNNNNNNNNNNNNNNNNNNNNNNNNNNNNNNNNNNNNNNNNNNNGGAGGAGGUCUUCCUCUUCGACUACGAGGACCCGGAUGAGCUCGGACGCCCUCGAGCCAUCCCUUCGACGCCCGCCGAUUUCCUCCGCCUCGGCCACCAUCGCCACCGCUCGACGCCGAAUUCGCGCCGCCUCGACUAGCUCCGGCUACCCCGAGUCGCCCUCGACCUCCCCAGUGAGCACCCGAGCCGCUUCCCCCUCUUCCCCCUCUUGAUUUCCUUCUGAUGUGUUCUAGGGUUGGGGGUUAGAGAAUUUUGGACAAGGAAAGGGGUUGGAGAAUUAAGUAGCUAGGGUUGGGGGUUUGCAAGAGAAGAAUCUUCAGGCUUACUCACUGUUCAAUUUGUUGCUGUGAGUUUGAAUUUGCUGUUCUCAGUACAGUAGUUUACACUGGUUGUCAAGCUGUAGAGGAAAUUCAGUCAGUGGAUACGAAGGUAGAGAAAAAAUCCAGGACAAAGGUUGUACACUGCUGCUAAAUGAUGAACAUAUUAUGGUGAAAAUUCAGUUUGAUGCCAUCAAAUUCAUUUAUAGUGCCUGUUAUUCAGUUAUGACUCCUUCACUGAAACUGUAGUGUUAGCUAAAACUGAGAUGUAAACUAAAGGAGUUUGUGAUUUGCAGAAGCUCUAGCAUACUCCAACAAGUGAUAAAUGCACUCAAAAGUUCACUAAGAAAAUGCAGAUGCUUCUCACUUGUUACUGAAAGUUUUCUGGAGUAGAUCAAAUUGCAACAGAUUAUUUGCAGUAGAUCAAACUCCAGUAGAUUACUCAAUAUUCUUGCCAUUUGUUGAUAUGUUAUAAAUAUUGACCAUAAAUAAGAAUGAAUAUUGACCAUUUGUUGCUGCUAGCACAUGUUGAAGUGUACAUGAUGAUGCUUCUGUAGAAAAUUCAAUCUUCCUCCUCAGGCAUGUGUUGUGUGACCUGACAAAAUAUAAAUGUGUUGUGUGCCAUGCGUUGGUAAUUCAGUAAAGUCAAACAAGCACUGGAUUUAGGCAUGUUGCUUGCUGAAAUUGUAGCAGCAACAACAACUAUGGCUGAAUGAUGAACAGGUUAUAGCGGUCAGAUUAGUUCAGCAACAACAACUAUUUUCAGUUUGUCUUAUGGGUCAUCUAAAAAAAUUAGCUCAACAAGUUGCAUCUGGCUUUUACAAAGUUGUUUUGGCUUAAGAGGAUAAGUUGUUGUAUAUACUGUCAUAAAGUUCAGCAAGAACAGGGCAUCAACAGUGCUCCUCUAGUAUCUAGUUGGGGAGGGACAAAUGGACAGGGCUUCUUGCAGUUUUGAAAAUUCAGUUUAUUCGGUUACUAAAAAUUCAGUUAGGCACACAAAUUUCAGAACUUUUGUGUGCCCUAGUACUUGGUGUUUGUAGAAAACCAGGAGUGUCAAUGUGACUAGAAUUCACUUGUUCUUAUAUGGGUGAAACUUCACUUGUUUUUAGGCUAGUGCAGGGUGUUGCUUUAUUCUGUCAUCAUUUGUAACUAUGUCACAAAUAAAUUGUUCCUUCUUCUGUAUUUGACAAGUAAUGACUGUUGAUAAGCUGAGGCAUGGAUUAAGCUAUUUCUUUGCUGUAACAUACUGUAUAUCACUCCACAAUGAAAUACAUUACAUAUUGAUGUGCUUUGUAAAACUUGUUCAUGUACUGAACUACUAAUGCCUUGUGAUGCUCUGAAUUACUUGUGAUGCCUCUGAAUUACUUGUGAUCACAUUGAGAAAAACUUGUAAAGAUGAUGAUCAUCUUUUACAGAAAACAAUUUCUGUAAACACCGAGAGGCCCUUGAGUUUGCUGGAAUGUCGAUUAACUUCCGUUCCGGCAAAUUCGGGUACUCCAUAUGUCCUAUUUUCAGCAAAGGUCAUGCUAAAAUUUUCCGUGAAUGUUAGCAUGACUUUGCUAAAAAUAGGACAUAUGGGGUACUUGUGACUAAUGCAUGGGCCGGGGUAUUAGUACUUAAUUAAGUAGGAUCAACUGCCCCUUUAUUCUGCAUUAAACCAUAGGUGGCAAUAGAGCCAAGUGAUUAGGCCCAACUUAGAAUUCUCCUUCCCAGCUUAGCUUUUAGGGUGCCUCGGUGUCGAUGAGAACCUAAAUGAUGUACGCUUAGGCUUUUAGGGUGCCUCGGCAUCGACAAACCCUAAAUGAUAAAAGCUUAGCUUUUAGGAUGCCUCGGUGUCGACAAACCCUAAAUGAUGAGACCAUGAUCUUGUUCCUUGACAAUAACCAACUUUUUGACCAAACUUUUUUCCUAUUUAGAGCGAAACAUGGCCCACAACGAUGAGGCCGGCGGUUUGGGUGGCAAGCAACUGUCCCAGGAGAUGGAGGAAGAACCUCACCGCUAUGAGGACGCCGCCGCGGAAGACACCGAUCCUGACUACACAACCCCUAGUGGCGUCGGGGAUGACACCAGUGCGAGCCAGCCGGCACCGAGUACGAUCCGUGCUCAGGACGGGCCACCUUCACCUAAGGAUAUCUCGAGGAGGGUGCAUGUGGCGGGUAGGGCGAUGCUACCAAAAAAUAUGCUCAAUGCUGCAACCGGUGCUAUGCGGAGUCUGCAUGACAGUGUUCUUUCUUUGGAGAAGCGGCGUCUCAGAGAGAAUGAUGUGGCAUACCCGGUUUUCGUGGCCAAGGUGCCAGAGGGCAAGGGCUUUGUGGAUAGCGCCGUCGGGGGUACGAUCGUCCUGCGGUUUGAUGACAUCUUUGCUAUGCUUAACCUUCAUCCGCUGCACUACACCUUCGUUCGGCUGUUUUCGCUGAGUAUGGAGAUGCGGAUCAUUAGAGACAAGACCCCGGACAUUGUGAUAGUCGACCCCUUCUACAUGCGUGCCAAGAUCUUAGGCAGCACUGGGGACCGGCAAGUCGCGAGUUCACACCUCGAAGGCGUCAUUCUGGCAAACCCAGAUAAGGAUAACUUCCUCGUGCCUUACUUACCCGAGUAAGUCAUCCCCUAACCGCCCUGUAACAUAUGAUUUCUUAGAUUUCAAUCGUUCUUUUUUUUUCUAACAUUCCGUGUUCUGUGCAGUGACACACAUUGCACACUCAUCCUCUUAAGCCCGAAAUAUUCCAUGGCCACGUAUUUCGACCCGAACCGUGACUCCAAGAUAGACUACACAAAUAUCAAGAAAGUUCUUGAUGAUGCUCUCCUCGGCUACGCCGCAUCUGGAGGCACCUUUAAGAGGCCAGUUCGUAGGUACGGCAGGCACGUGUUCACCCACAAUACGACGUUCCCCUGCGUCAAGCAGCCUCUUGGCGGUCAGAAGGAUGCCUACUACGCCCUCCAUCACAUGCGGGCGAUCGUACGGGACCAUAAUCACCUUCUGCUACCAAAUAAUCUCAAAGAUUGGGCCGCAAGCUUGGCGGCAAUCCAGGACACGGACAUCUGACAAGAAUUCUUUCGCAUCCAGUCGGAGUUUGCAGAAAUCAUCCAUCAAGAUGUCCUUCGUACCUCGGGGCAGUUCUACCUCAAAUUUCAACCGUCCAACAGUGAGAUAGACACAACGCUACAAAUGCAGGCUGACAACGCUCGCGACUUCCUGGCCAUCACGAUAGACGGCGGCUUCAUCCACGCUCCGGUCCCAUGAGUCGAGUCGAAAGUAGUGAUGCUAUGUGUAGUUCUGAAACAUUGAUUAGCUCAUGUUGUAAUUAAACUUUAAUGAACUUGUAUGUCUCUUUGGUUUGGACAGUCGUUCAACUUAGAUGUAAUCGAUGCUAUUUAUUAGUAGGACCAUGAAUCGUGCUAUUAAUGUCUUGCUUUUCUCUUCUGAUCCUUUUGUUACAUACUUAUGUAUUGCUUAUGUAUUGUCUGUUGUUUGGCUAGUGCAUAGAGAUGCCAUCGUAUGUCGUGUACAAGGGUAAGGUUCCCGGAGUCCACGAUGACUGGGAGGAGUGUCGGAGACAGGUUCACCGUUUCAGCGGUAACAGUUACAAAGGGUACACCACUAGGGCGGAGGCGGAAUCUAGAUACGCGCGCUAUCUAGCGGGAGAGAGGAGGGAGCAUUGGAGGAACCGGAUGAAGACCAGUUUCAUCGCGAUGAUGCUCAUCAUGAUGACCGCAGCUCUCUUCUAUGUGAUGGUAGUUUAGAUGAUCGAUAUCGACUUGUAAUGUGAAGACAAACUCGCUACUCGCGGUCUCGAGACUUGUAAUGUUCUAUCUUUGUUCGGUCUUUUGAAUUCGGAGACUAAUAUGAUGAAUUGUAUUCGGAGACUAAUCUUCUAUUGUAUUCGAUGAAUCUGCUGUUGCUGUGUGGUGCUGCUUAUAUUCUGUCCAAUAAUAUAUUUUGUAAUCUGUGCAAAAAUCAGAAAAGAAAAAAAUCCCUAAUAUACAUACUAAUGGCGCAUCACCCCAACGUGCGCCAUUAGUAUGCCAAAGGAUACUAAUGGCGCAUCACACCGCAGUGCGCCAUUAGUAUGCCAAAGGAUACUAAUGGCGCAUCACCCCCAGUGCACCAUUAGUAUGCCAAAGCACAUGGGUAAAUAUGGCCCCCUGGGAGGCAUACUAAUGGCGCACCGUGGCCUAUACUAAUGGCGCACUGCCUGGUGCGCCAUUAGUAAAAAAUACUAGUGGCGUGGUACUAGUGGCGCACUAGUAGUGCGCCAUUAGUAGGCAAAACUGGUGCGCCACUAGUAGGCCUUUUCCUAGUAGUGACCAGUGUAUAUGAUAUGCUGUUUUGUUCCCUAUAUUUGCACUGGUGGCGAACUUUGAUGCCCAGUGGAUGUAAUAUGUGUAAUAGCCGUGAUAGCCUAGCGUUAGUUGCUUGCUUAUUUAUUUCCUUGUUGUCUUGUUUAUUUGUUUGCUUGUAGUCAUUGCAGUUCUUUUUCCGCGGUUAGCUAGUGGCUGCAAUAGCCUAUUUUUAAAAACUAGGCCACAAUAACCAUGGGCUAAUAUUUACUGUAGUGACACUGGGCCUCCUACUAGCCGUAGAAACAGUGGGACUUCUACGGGCCGUAGAAACAAUGGGCCUUCUGCGGGCCGUAUCAUCAAUGGGCCUUAUACGGGCCGUAUGAUCGAUUGGCCAAACAUGGGCCAAACAGACCGCAUUAUGGCCGUAAAUGGGCUAGAGUUGGAAUCGUCCAUUCAUGGGCCGACCAUAAUGGGCCAUCGUUAAUAGGCCGUAUUUGAUGACGCUAUGAAAACGGCCCAACGUAUUAACGGACCACAAACGGGCCGACUGUAACCACGGGCUGAAUUUGGCCCACAAGCAGAAAAUUACAGUAACGGGCCGUAAGUAAACGAAUGCUGGAAAUGAGCCCAAGAAUAAAUGGGCUCUGAGAAGGCCGAAAGAUAACAUGGGAUGGAAACGGCCCAACGGAAUAACAGGCCGUUAAUGGGUAUUAAGUGAUACACUGUUCAUUACGGGCCAGUUUCACCAUGGGCCGUUAAUGGGUGUAAAGUGAUACACUGUUCAUUACGGGCCAGUUUCACCACGGGCCGUUAAUAGGCCAAGAGUUACAUAGGGCCUCAUAUGGGCCAAAAGACGUCAUGGGCCAUACAUGGGCCAGAAGUGAAAACGGGCUGGAAUCAUAUUGGAUGGCCCAGAUGACACUACUGGGCCUAAUUCGGAUAGGGCGUAACGGGCCUUGGGUUAGCGGGCUGUAAAUGGGCUAUAUGCGAACAUGCCGUUAACAUGCUUUCCAUGGGCCGGCCCGCCACCUUUUGACCAAGUCAAACGGGCCGGCCUUUUCAUAGGAAUGGGCCUUUGUUGGGCCGUGCCAUGUGUCGACGUAUCAUAGGUGCCUUCUGUCCAAUGAGUGGAUGACAUCUGUCCCAACGAUGAGACGUCACGUGUUUCCUCCAGCCAAUGAUGAUUUUACACGUGGAAAAUCUCCAUUGGCCGGGGCUGUUAACGGGUUAUCAGAUCCAAAACCCAACCCGAUAGCUUAACGGCGUUCUGUUAUGGUGGAUGCCAUGUGUCGGUCACCCUUGACAAAAGCACUUCUGUGACGCGCGAUUUAUCAUCAUGGAAGUGGACACUUCCGUGAUGAUAAUUUUGGUAAUGUCAUGGAACACUUCUACGACAGCACAGGUAUGACUAUCUUGAUUCUGUCAUAAAUUUGUCAUGGAUGUACAUGCAUGACAAAAAACGCGACCUACUGUGACAAACACGUAUCAUCACGGAAGUGUCUUUUUUUGUAGUGGGAGGGGGGCACCGCACACGCCUAAGACAAACUUCGGUGUAUCUUUGGGGUGCCCCCUCCCACGUAUAUAAAGGGGGGAGGAGGAGGAGGCCGGCCCUAGAGGGGGCACGCCAAGGGGGGAUUCCUACUUGGACUCCCGGUCCAAGUAGGAUUUGGUCCCCCCUUUCCUAUUCCAAGUAGGAGAAGAAGGGAAGGAGGAAGACGAGAGAAGGAAGGGGGGGGGGGGGGCGCCGCCCCCACCCCUUGUCCAACUUGGACUAGGCAAGGGGGGGCGCCACCUCCUGGCCGGCCCUCUCUCUUCUCCACUAAGGCCCAUGGUGGNNNNNNNNNNNNNNNNNNNNNNNNNNNNNNNNNNNNNNNNNNNNNNNNNNNNNNNNNNNNNNNNNNNNNNNNNNNNNNNNNNNNNNNNNNNNNNNNNNNNNNNNNNNNNNNNNNNNNNNNNNNNNNNNNNNNNNNNNNNNNNNNNNNNNNNNNNNNNNNNNNNNNNNNNNNNNNNNNNNNNNNNNNNNNNNNNNNNNNNNNNNNNNNNNNNNNNNNNNNNNNNNNNNNNNNNNNNNNNNNNNNNNNNNNNNNNNNNNNNNNNNNNNNNNNNNNNNNNNNNNNNNNNNNNNNNNNNNNNNNNNNNNNNNNNNNNNNNNNNNNNNNNNNNNNNNNNNNNNNNNNNNNNNNNNNNNNNNNNNNNNNNNNNNNNNNNNNNNNNNNNNNNNNNNNNNNNNNNNNNNNNNNNNNNNNNNNNNNNNNNNNNNNNNNNNNNNNNNNNNNNNNNNNNNNNNNNNNNNNNNNNNNNNNNNNNNNNNNNNNNNNNNNNNNNNNNNNNNNNNNNNNNNNNNNNNNNNNNNNNNNNNNNNNNNNNNNNNNNNNNNNNNNNNNNNNNNNNNNNNNNNNNNNNAGUAGGAUUUGGUCCCCCCUUUCCUAUUCCAAGUAGGAGAAGAAGGGAAGGAGGAAGACGAGAGAAGGAAGGAGGGGGGGGGGGCGCCGCCCCCACCCCUUGUCCAACUUGGACUAGGCAAGGGGGGGCGCCACCUCCUGGCCGGCCCUCUCUCUUCUCCACUAAGGCCCAUGGUGGCCCAUUAACCUCCCCGGGGGGGGGGGGGGUGGUCCGGUAACCCCCGGCACUCUGAAACUUAUCCGAAACGACCCGAACCAUUCUGGUGUCCGAAUGGAGCCUUCCAAUAUAUGAAUAUUUAUGUCUCGAACAUUUCGAGACUCCUCGUCAUGUCCGUGAUCUCAUCUGGGACUCCGAACGAACUUCGGUUCAUCAACACACGAAACUCGUAAUACGAAUCGUCAUCGAACGUUAAGCGUGCGGACCCUACGGGUUCGAGAACUAUGUAGACAUGACCGAGACACAUCUCCGGUCAAUAACCAAUAGCAGAACUUGGAUGCUCAUAUUGGCUCCUACAUAUUCUACGAAGAUCUUUAUCGGUCAAACCGCAUAACAACAUACUUUGUUCCCUUUGUCAUCGGUAUGUUACUUGCCCGAGAUUCGAUCGUCGGUAUCAUCAUACCUAGUUCAAUCUCGUUACCGACAAGUCUCUUUACUUGUUCCUUAAUGCAUCAUCCCGCAACUUACUCAUUAGUCACAUUGCUUGCUAGGCUUAUAGUGAUGAGCAUUACCGAGAGGGCCCAGAGAUACCUCUCCGAUACACGGAGUGACGGAUCCUAAUCUCGAUCUAUGCCAACUCAACAAACACCAUCGGAGACACCUGUAGAGCAUCUUUAUAAUCACCCAGUUACGUUGUGAUGUUUGAUAGCACACAAGGUGUUCCUGCGGUAUUUGGGAGUUGCAUAAUCUCAUAGUUAGAGGAACAUGUAUAAGUCAUGAUGAAAGCAUUAGCAAUAAAACUAAACGAUCAUUUGUGCUAAGCUAACCGAUGGGUCUUGUCCAUCACAUCAUUCUCUAAUGAUGUGAUCUCGUUCAGCAAAUGACAACACAUGUCUAUGGUCAGGAAACUUACCCAUCUUUGAUUAACGUGCUAGUCUAGUAGAGGCAUACUAGGGACACUCUGUUUGUCUAUGUAUUCAGACAUGUACUAAGUUUCCGGUUAAUACAAUUCUAGCAUGAAUAAUAAGCAUUUAUCAUGAUAUAAGGAAAUAUAAAUAACAACUUUAUUAUUGCCUCUAGGGCAUAUUUCCUUUAGUCUCCCACUUGCACUAGAGUCAAUAAUCUAGAUUACAUAGUAAUGAUUCUAACACCCAUAGAGUCUUGGUGCUAAUCAUAUUUUGCUCAUGAGAGAGGCUUAGUCAACGCGUCUGCAACAUUCAGAUCCGUAUGUAUCUUGCAAAUCUCUAUGUCUCCCUCCUUGACUUGAUCGCGGAUGGAAUUGAAGCGUCUCUUGAUGUGCUUGGUUAUCUUGUGAAAUCUAGAUUCCUUUGCCAAGGAAAUUGCACCAGUAUUGUCACAAAAGAUUUUCAUUGGACCCGAUUCACUAGGUAUGACACCUAGAUCGGAUAUGAACUCCUUCAUCCAUACUCCUUCAUUUGCUGCUUCUGAAGCAGUUAUGUACUCCGCUUCACACGUAGAUCCCGCCACGACGCUUUGUUUGGAACUGCAUCAACUUACAGCUCCACCAUUCAAUAUAAAUAUGUAUCCUGUUUGUGACUUAGACUCAUCCGGAUCAGUGUCAAAGCUUGCAUCGACGUAACCAUUUAAGACGAGCUCUUUGUCACCUCCAUAAACGAGAAACAUAUCCUUAGUCCUUUUCAGGUAUUUCAGGAUGUUCUUGACCGCUGUCCAGUGACCCACUCCUGGAUUACUUUGGUACCUCCCUGCUAAACUAAUAGCAAGGCACACAUCAGGUCUGGUACACAGCAUUGCAUACAUGAUAGAACCUAUGGCUGAGGCAUAGGGAUUGACUUUUAUUUUCUCUCUAUCUUCUGCAAUGGUCGGGCAUUGAGUCUGACUCAACUUCACACCUUGUAACACAGGCAAGAACCCUUUCUUUGCUUGAUCCAUUUUGAACUUCUUCAAAACUUUAUCAAGGUAUGUGCUUUGUGAAAGUCCAAUUAAGCGUCUUGAUCUAUCUCUAUAGAUCUUGAUGCCCAAUAUAUAAGCAGCUUCACCGAGGUAUUUCAAUUAAAAAUUCUUAUUCAAGUAUCCUUUUAUGCUAUCCAGAAAUUCAGUAUCAUUUCCGAUCAACGAUAUGUCAACCACAUAUAAUAUCAGAAAUGCUACAGAGCUCCCACUCACUUUCUUGUAAAUACAGGCUUCUCCAAAAGUCUAUAUAAAACCAUAUGCUUUGAUCACACUAUCAAAGCGUAUAUUCCAACUCUGAGAGGCUUGCAUCAGUCCAUAAAUGGAUCGCUGGAGCUUCCACACUUUGUUAGCACCUUUUGGAUCAACAAAACCUUCUGUUUGCACCAUAUACAACUCUUCCUUAAGAUAUCCAUUAAGGAAUGUAGUUUUGACAUCCAUUUGCCAAAUUACAUAAUCGUAAAAUUUGGCAAUUGCUAACAUGAUUCGGACAGACUUAAGCAUCGCCACGGGUGAGAAAGUCACAUCGUAGUCAACUCCUUGAACUUGUCGAAAACCUUUCGCAACAAGUCGAGCUUUGUAGACAGUAACAUUACCAUCAGCGUCAGUCUUCUUCUUGAAGAUCCAUUUAUUCUUUAUGUCUUGCCGAUCAUCUGGCAAGUCAACCAAAGUCCACACUUUGUUCUCAUACAUGGAUCCCAUCUCAGAUUUCAUGGCCCCAAGCCAUUUCGCGGAAUCUGGGCUCAUCAUCGCUUCCUCAUAGUUCGUAGGUUCGUCGUGGUCAAGUAACAUGACUUCCAAAACAGGAUUACCGUACCACUCUUGUCGUGGAAUUGUCACGGCAGAUGUCCUCGAGCUAGGACUUAGUCGUGGAGCCAUCGCAGCUAGGAAGCUUGAAGGGGUUAAUGCGGGACAAGGAACAUGAGGGUUUAUACUGGUUCGGCCCCUUACGGUGAAGGUAAAAGCCUACAUCCAGUUUGAGGUGGUAUUGAUUAGGGUUACGAUCACCGGGGAGCAGAACUGUUACGCCCGGCUCUCGAUGAGAUUGUUCUCUCCUUAAACCGCUGCCGGGUCGUCCCUUUAUAUAGGGAGGCUGACGCCCUGCAGCUCUCAGAGUCCCGGCCGGCUCAUAAGAGUGUCCGACUCGGACUCUCAACUAUUCUUGCCUUACACUACAAGUUCUACCAUAAUAAUGAUUGCAACUACGGGCUUUAAGCCAUAUCCGGGUCGUAAGCCCAUCUUUGCCCCAACGUCUUCAGGCUUGGCGCCGGGCUUCUGGCAAUGACCAUAUGAGUAACCCGGCCCCUCCUGGCGGGUGACUCUAAGGUCUAUAUCCUCAACAUUAGGCCCCAGAUUGAUUUGAGCCGGCUCAUGUCAAUCUUCCAUUCCUUCGACAGAAAACCUCCGGCUUACAAUUGUGUGAAGGCCAUAACCCGGCGUGACGUCAUCCUCUGGACUCCGGAUAAUCCGCCGUGACGUCAUCUUCUAUUAAGCCCGUUUUUUACUCCGCCAGAUCCGCAACGGAUCUUUACCUUUACUGUCAUCCCGAAAAUCGAGGCGUUUCGUGGGGAGAUAACCACGCCGUGGUCUCCUUGAUUCUCGCGCCCACUUAUGAGCUCGCCUUAUAAAUAGGCUGGCCCGACGGGCUCUCAGCCACUUCUCUCUCCUUCAUCUUCUUCCUCGCGCCACUGCUCCCCUGCCCGAGCUCUGCUACUGCCGCCGCCGUCGCGCCCCCGGUCUUCGUCAACCUUGGCCGCUGCAUCACCCUGACUCGGUCCAGACAAACGGCGGCAACCUCCGCUCCUCUUCAGCUCCGGUGAGUCCUCGCCACUCCAUAGGGCAGAUCCGCACUAGGGCUUCAUAGUUCUUCCUCUGUUCUUCGUAGUUCAUCGCGGCUCUCAGUAGAUUUGAAUUUUACUGCCCCUUUUUGAUCUUAGCUCUGUAUAGACUUACUGCGGUAAACGUUGAAGACCCAUUUCACAUGCAAAUAUCCCUCUUUUUACGGCAUAAGAGCCUUGUUCAAGCUCAAGAACCUCCGCGCGUCUGUUUCUAGGUCUAGAAACUUUUCUUUUACCCGACCAUUUUGAUCCAAAUUUUUUUACUGCGAUGUGUGAAACCUGUUUUACCACACUUAGUAAAAAACUGCAAUCAUUGAAUCUCGGCGGUUUACAGUUCCGGUUUAAAGAAACCACGCGCCGUAGAACCUUCCGGCUUAAAGAAAACCAUGCGCCAUAAAAUUUCCGGCUUAGCUGUGAUAAGGCCUGUAGACAAUCAAAUUACUCUCAAUCCCUCGACGGCUUAAAUAGCCCGAUGCACUUAAAUGUAUACCAUUAGUCCCCUUCAUAAGCCGCCACCUUGACAUUGAACUGUAGAUUUCUUCCGGCUCAUAAUUAACCCGGACGUUUUUCCUUUUAUCAUAGACUGCCGACUUUUACCAUGCCUCCCAAAGCUCCCAAAGCCUCCAUUACUUGCAACUGGAUGAGGUCCAAUGUCACCAAUGAAACCCUAGCAGAUUUUGUCAAGUCUGGAUAUCUGCCCAAGAAGGACGUCAUGUCCUACCGUGCCCCUGACCCGUCAGAAGAGAGACCACAGCCAAAGGACAGGGAGGUAGUGAUUUUUGCGGAUCAUAUGAGCCGGGGCUUCGCACCGCCCGGUUCAAAGUUUUUCAGAGACGUUCUGAAUUUCUUCGAUCUGCGGCCUCAGCACAUAGGACCCAUCUCAGUGUCCAAUAUCUGCAACUUCCAAGUGUUCUGCGAGGUUUACCUUGGAGAAGAACCUAGUCUGCUGCUCUUCAGAGAGCUUUUUUACUUGAACCGUCAGAAUGAGUGCGCCAAUGGGCCAGGUCUAGAGCUAGGUGGCAUCUCCAUUCAGCGGCGAAGGGACUGCCUUUUCCCUUACGCAGAGCCGCCCAGCCACCCCAAGGACUGGAAUCUGACGUGGUUUUACUGCCAAGACACGUCGCCGGCUGAUGAAAGUCCAUUGCCCGGCUUUCGCCCCUCACGUCUGGAGCCGACUCACCCACUGUCAGACAAGCUGACCCAAGCGGAGCGCCAACCUGCUCCCCACUAUCAACAAGAUCAAAGCUCUCCUGGGCAAUGGUCUGAAUGGAAUCGAUCUGGUCCGGGUCUGGAUCUCGUGGCGGGUGAUCCCAUUGAGCCGCCGCCCCGGCUUAAUGUGUGAGUACACGGGCCGAAAGGAUGACCCUCAGAGACACAGCCGCAAUGAUCUUCCUGAAGAUGUCGCAGAGGAGAUGACCAAGGCUCUUUUAAACGAGAGCCUGGCAGACUGCGGAAGGACCGGGUUAGCCCCCUUCUGCAAGACCAACCCAGCCCCAGCGGUAAACCGCCAACCUGAACAUCCUAUCUUCUUCUGUAUAUAACUUUCAUCUGAAUCGUUUGAAGAAAUCAUCAUUGUAUUUUUCAGGCUGACGGCAAGUUCUGGCGGGUCAAAUAUGACCAUGAAGCGGCCAAGAAGGCCAGAAAGGCGAAGAAAGCCGCCAAGAAAGCCGCUCCCCGCAAGAAGGGGAGUAGGCCAACUGCUUCGGAGCUGAUGAAAUUAAGCGACAGCUCCGAGUCAGAGGUAACCCCUGAACCUGUAAGCUCUUUGUUGCGUUUAUUGUUUUAUUUCUUGUCCGCCUUACCAACACUUGUUCAUCAACAGGAUGACACCGGAGCCAGUAACCCAGUGGUUGAAGAGGUAAUGUCACUUUCCUCCGACUCGGAGCCCUUGCCAAGGCUGAAAGUCCGAAGGGUAACCCGGAAAGUAAGCUUUUCACAUCCUUUAGCUUAUCAAGAUCCUCAAUUUAUUUUGAAGCGACAGGUUCAUGAGAGUCGGCGUCAUACCCGGACCAACAAGGACACCGACCUCUCCUCCGGGUUACCUGACGCAUCAAGGAAGUGCCGAACUGAGGUUAUUUCCCACUUGUACCCUUUUCAUCCGUUGGCGGGUGUUAUACGUCAGCCACUCAAUUCUUCUGACUCAAAUUAUCAGGAGACCUCCCCCUCUUCGGGCGACUCUAUGCAGUCGAGUCUUCCGGCUUUCAAGACCGCGCCCGGGUAAUGAUAACCAUCUCAUGUUAUACUUGUCUGUAAUUACCCUUUUUGUGCUUAACGUUUCUGUCCUUUCAGUGCCGAAGCCAAACUCACCAAGAGGGCGAAGAAAGCCAAGCAAAUCGAAGAGCCGGAGGCAGCAGGUCAAGAACCACCAGCUGCCUCCGCUCCCGAAGCCGCCGCUCCAACUAAUAAGGCAGCUACCGAAGCGUCUGCUAACCCGGAGGCCUCCGGCUCGGCUCAACCAGCAAAUGAUCCGGACGUGGUAAUCAACCGGACGGAAUUUGUUGAGCCGGGGAGACCUACCGCACUGGCUAAGUGCUCCGCUAAGGGGGAGUUGCUGCAGCCCCACCGGGUGAACCUGGACCUCUCCGACUACGCCAACCUGAGCAUUGGAGAGCUCGUCUUUGGCUACAUCAGCCAAGUGCACAAGAGCCGGGACGCAGAGGUUGCCAUGGUGAACCAGAUCCAGCAGAAAUCUGAGGUAUCAUUCUGCUGUCCUCUUACUUACUGCCUAGUUACCUUUACCAUGCUAGCUCCCAAGUCGACGACUUAUGAUUGAAUAUGUUGUAGACUUAGGUUCCGGCUUACUCAAUUGAGCUGGCAGUUUGUAGAUAGAUACGUUCAAUAUGCAUUAGCCCCCAAGUGCCAAGUGUCUUUGCUUGGAAAACACUUGGGACUUUUAAAUUUGUAUAGUAACCGUUCCUGUCAUAACCCGGAAAUUUAUGCAGGCUGCGGGCAAGAAGCUUGAGGCUGACAUGGCCAAUCUCAAGAACCGGCUGAAGAUGCAAGAGAUGGAGACCCGGAAGGCAAAUGCCAAAUUUGUGUCCAGCAUCGCCGCUCAAGAGAAGCUGAAGACGGAGUUUGACGCUGAGCGGAAGGCGUGGGCCGAAGAGAAGGCCGUAUUGGUGAACCGGGCUGAACAGGCGGAGAAGACCCUCUCCGAGAAGACCGCCGAGCUCUCCGGCCUAAAGCGCCAGGUGUCCCAGAUGGUGGCCGCAAUCUUCGGUAAGUCGCCUCACCGGCUUUCAUCAAGUUUAGAAUUUUUAUAUCUCAUAAUUCAUCCUUGUCGACGGUGUAUCUGAUUCUGUUAAACAGGUCCCAGAAGUGCCAACCUCAACCAGAGCGUGGUAACCAAGCUAAAGGCCGUGUAUACCCUAGUGGAGCAGCUCUACACCGGGUCACAGCGUGCCUUAGCUGUGGUGGCCCUAUCCAACGAGGUGCCGACUCACCUGGCAGAAGUCCUUCGCCGGCUCGCUGUACUGCCCCAACGGAUCCAAGAGCUGCGAUGGGCCUCUGCAAGAGCCGGAGCGAUCACCGCGUUGAGCCGGGCCAAGGCGUUCCUGCCGGAGUUAGACCCGGCGGACAUCGCCCUUGGCUAUCCAAGCCUGAAGGAAGACGGCUCCGCUUUCGAUCAGAAGGACUUCGCAGCUUGCGUGAAGGCCGUACGCCCGGUGGCCACUCUGAUUGGCAAUGAUACAGAUCUGACUAAGUACCAGCCAGGCUACGAUACAGAAAAUCAGAGGAUCCCUACUCCGCGCUAUGAAGCCCUCAACUUGAUCCCGCCGGCUCGUCAGCACACCUUCGCCCCGGAGAUUGACCCAGCGGGGUUAAUUGACGAGGAAGCCCAAUUCGAAGCUCUCAGCGGCAUCGACUGGAAGUCAUCAACUUUCCAGGUCUUGGGAUCAGCCGGAGGAGAAGAUAGGAACGAGCCGGAGACUUCAACUCAACAAGCGUCGUAACUCGGCUGACGGCUUAGCAAACAAUGCCUAAUCCUUUUGGACUCAAUGAGUCUUGUAAUAGAGUAGGACCAAUACUUUAUCUAUGUCAUGCCAUCGAGCAUGCCUUGAAUGCUGAAGUCUGCGGAAAUUGUCUCCUUUAUGUUUCUCCGGGUCAUAAGUAAUCAUUUGUUUUCCUUGCUCUCAAAAUAGUUACCUGUAACUAUCCUGCAGAGAAAGACAAAUCACAAGCCUUCAGGCGACUUACCGCCCUGAGAAUCAUAGGUUUUUUAAAUAACCCGGAAUAUGAAUCAAAAAAGGACUGGUCUUCAAUAAUAUCCUAAAUACAGCCGUAAUAACAUACUUAGCGGCCUGCAAGCAUACUUCCGGCUUAGAUAACCCGGGUAUGAAGGUUGGUACCGCAAUUCCGGUUUACCUGUCUUAAUAACACCCAUUGUGUUCAGCGAAUACUGUAAACCAAAGUUAAGCCGGCAAAGUGAGACCCGGCUGUACACACUUGGAAAUAAACAGACAGAACUUACUAUAAAGCAGAGGAACUUAGGGGCUUCCGGUUCGAAUACGACCAGAGACCCGGCCCAAAGGGGUUAUGCUAGGAUUCGAAUGCGAUCAUAUAGCCCCCAGUGGGUGUGGCGAUGCCAAUCAAGAGGGUAUCGACAGCUAUGUUCUCUUUGGUUCGAAUACGACCCAUGUUUGAACAGGAAGCCCCCAAGUGAUUUUAAGAAUUGUUUAACAACGCUGAUUCGAAUACGAUCCACGUCGGUUCUCAAAGGGGUUAAACUAAGAUUCAAAUAUGAUCAAAGAAAACUCCCCAAUGAGCUCGGUACUUUGCCAAUCAAAUGGGUAUCGACAGUUGUGUUCUCUUUGGUUCGAAUACGACCUAUGUUUGAACAGGAAGCCCCCAAGUGACCUUAUCGCCUACGGCUAGAUUCGAAUACGAUCAUAAGCCGGAUCCUCCUUCAAGUUAUCAUGUAAUCUGGCGAUGAAAACAACACGUGCACAUUUGGAGGAGAAAAAAGGACAGAGGUCCUGCUUUAUUGCUUAUCAUAAUAUAUACAUGGCUUAGAGAAGUAUGUACAUCAUGAGAGCCGGUGGCUCAAGUGUAGUAAGGCCGAAGCUGAGCUAUGAUCCACGGCCGUCGGGUCUCUUCCUCCGACUUACGUGAAUCUUUGUGCUCCCGAAUGUCAAUGAGGUAAUAUGACCCGUUGUGCAGAUUCUUGCUGACCACAAAGGGCCCUUCCCAAGGCGGGGAUAGCUUGUGCGCAUCUAUUUGAUCCUGGAUGAGCCGGAGCACGAGAUCACCUUCCUGGAAGACCCGGGAUUUAACCCGGCGGCUAUGAUAACGGCGCAGGUCUUGUUGGUAAAUCGCUGAAUGGGCUGCUGCCACAUCACGCUGUUCGUCCAACAAGUCAAGAGCAUCCUGACGCGCCUGUUCAUUAUCCGCCUCAACGUAAGCCGCCACUCGAGGUGAGUCAUGACGGAUGUCACUGGGGAGGACUGCUUCUGCCCCAUAAACCAUGAAGAAAGGCGUAAAACCUGUAGACCUGUUAGGAGUAGUGUUGAUGCUCCAUAACACGGAGGGCAACUCCUCCACCCAACAACCCGGCGUCCGUUGCAAAGGGACCAAAAGCCGGGGCUCGAUACCCUUCAGAAUCUCCUGAUUAGCUCUCCAGCUUGACCAUUGGAUUGAGGAUGAGCCACUGAGGAAACAUCAAGUCGGAUAUGCUCCCGUUGACAAAACUCGUCCAUGGCGACUUUGGAGAGAUUGGUGCCAUUGUCAGUGAUAAUGCUGUGCGGAAAACCAAAGCGAAAGAUCACCUUUUUCAUAAACUGAACCGCUGUGGCUGCAUCGCACUUGCUAACUGGCUCCGCUUCAACCCACUUGGUAAACUUGUCAACUGCCACCAAAAGGUGGGUCUUCUUAUCCUUGGACCUUUUGAAAGGCCCAACCAUAUCCAGCCCCCAGACCGCAAAGGGCCAAGUAAUUGGGAUCAUCCUCAGUUCUUGAGCCGGUACAUGAGCCCGUCGCGAGAACCUUUGGCAACCAUCACACUUACUGACCAAGUCCUCUGCAUCAGCAUGAGCCGUCAACCAAUAAAAACCAUGACGAAAAGCCUUGGCCACCGGAGACUUUGAGCCGGCAUGAUGGCCACAAUCCCCUUCAUGGAUCUCACGCAAGAUCUCUUGCCCUUCCUCAGGGGAAACACAACGCUGAAACGCUCCCGUAACACUGCGGUGGUGCAACUCACCAUUGAUAACAAUCAUUGACUUAGCCCGCCGGGUUAUUUGCCUGGCCAAAGUUUCAUCCUCAGGCAACUCGCCCCGGGUCAUGUAAGCCAGAUAGGGCAUUGUCCAGUCUGGUAUGAUAUGGAGAGCCGCCACCAAUCGUGCCUCCGGGUCGGGGACAACCAAGUUUUCCUCUGUAGGCAACUUAACAGAAGGAUUAUACAGGACAUCCAGGAAAGUAUUAGGCGGCACCGGCUUUCGCUGAGAGCCUAGCCGGCUUAAAGCAUCAGCCGCCUCAUUCUUCCUGCGAUCAAUGUGCUCUACUUGGUAGCCCUGAAAGUGCCCAGCAAUGGCAUCAACUUCGCGGCGAUAAGCCGCCAUGAGAGGGUCCUUAGAGUCCCACUUGCCUGAUACUUGUUGAGCCACCAAGUCUGAGUCACCGAAACACCUUACCUGGCUCAAGCUCAUCUCCUUAGCCAUCCGAAGACCGUGGAGCAAGGCCUCGUACUCAGCCGCAUUGUUAGUGCAAGGAAACAUCAACUGUAGCACAUAAUGGAACCUGUCACCUUUAGGGGAAGCCAAUACAACUCCAGCCCCCGAGCCCUCCAACUGCCUGGACCCAUCGAAGUGAAUAGUCCAAUAUGUGUUAUCCGGCUUUUGCUCGGGCACUUGUGACUCUGUCCAAUCAUUGAUGAAAUCCACCAGGGCCUGAGAUUUAACAGCAGUGCGUGGCACAUAUUUGAGACCAUGAGGUCCGAGCUCGAUAGCCCACUUAGCCACUCUCCCUGUGGCCUCUCUGUUUUGAAUGAUAUCACCAAGAGGGGCAGAACUGACCACAGUUAUGGGAUGACCCUGGAAAUAAUGCUUAAGCUUCCGGCUUGCCAUGAACACACCAUAAACAAGCUUCUGCCAAUGUGGAUACCGCUGUUUGGACUCGAUAAGCACUUCGCUGACAUAAUAAACCGGCCGCUGAACCGGAUGCUCCUUACCCUCUUCCUUGCGUUCCACCACCACAGCCACACUGACGGCUCGUGUGUUUGCCGCCACGUACAGUAAUAAGGGCUCCUUAUCAACCGGAGCAGCAAGGACUGGGGGCUCUGCCAGCUGCUUCUUCAAAUCCUCAAAAGCGGUAUUAGCUGCAUCAUUCCAGACAAAGUUAUCAGUUUUCUUCAUCAACUGAUAUAACGGCAUGUCCUUCUCACCCAAACGGCUUAUAAACCGGCUUAAAGCAGCGAUGCGACCCGCCAAACGCUGAACGUCAUUUAUACACGCCGGCUUAGCCAGGGAGGUGAUGGCCUUGAUCUUCUCCGGGUUAGCCUCAAUGCCUCUGUCAGAAACCAAAAAACCCAAGAGCUUGCCUGCAGGGACACCAAAGACACACUUGGCCGGGUUAAGCAUCAUCUUGUAGACCCGGAGAUUAUCAAAGGUUUCUCUCAAAUCAUCUAUCAGGGUUUCCUCCUUUAUGGAUUUAACCACAAUAUCGUCCACAUAAGCAUGAACAUUGCGCCCAAUCUGUUUAUGAAGACAGUUCUGCACGCAACGCUGGUAAGUCGCCUGUGCACACUUGAGUCCAAAGGACAUGGAUACAUAGCAGAAGGCUCCAAAGGGAGUGAUGAACGCCGUCUUCUCCUGGUCCUUAACCGCCAUUUUAAUCUGAUGAUAUCCAGAAUAAGCGUCCAGGAAGCUUAAGCGCGCACAACCGGCCGUAGCAUCAAUAAUUUGAUCAAUACGGGGAAGGGCAAAAGGAUCAGCCGGACAUGCUUUAUUUAAGUCCGUGUAGUCCACACACAUCCGCCAAGUGCCGUUCUUCUUGAGUACGAGCACCGGGUUAGCUAACCAUUCUGGGUGGAAGACUUCAACAAUAAACCCGGCCGUCAAGAGCCGGGCCACCUCUUCGCCAAUGGCUUUCCGCCUCUCUUCAUUAAACCGCCGAAGGAACUGUCUAACCGGCUUAAAUUUCGGAUCAACAUUGAGAGUGUGCUCAGCGAGUUCUCUAGGUACACCUGGCAUGUCAGAAGGUUUCCAUGCGAAGAUGUCCCUAUUCUCACGGAUGAACUCGAUGAGCGCGCCUUCCUAUUUUGGAUCCAGAUUGGCACUGAUGCUGAAUUGCUGAGAUGAAUCUCCUGGAACGAAAUCAACAAGUUUAGUCUCAUCAGCCGACUUAAAUUUCAUUGCCGGCUCAUGCUCCGUAGUCGGCUUUUUCAGAGAGGUCAUAUCUGUUGGGUCGACGUUGUCUUUGUAAAACUUCAACUCCUCUGUUGCACAAACAGAUUCUGCAUAAGCUGCAUCGCCUUCCUCACAUUCCAAGGCCACCUUUCGGCUGCCGUGAACCGUAAUGGUCCCAUUAUGACCCGGCAUCUUGAGCUGUAAAUAUACGUAACACGGCCGUGCCAUGAACUUGGCGUAAGCCGGCCGCCCAAAUAUGGCAUGGUACGGACUUCUUAUCUUGACCACCUCAAAGGUCAAUUUUUCCACCCUGUAGUUGUUCUCAUCUCCGAAGGCCACUUCCAACUCGAUCUUGCCGACUGGGUAAGCCGACUUACCAGGUACCACACCGUGGAAAAUAGUGUUUGAUUGGCUGAGAUUCUUAUCAAUCAACCCCAUACGACGAAAUGUCUCAUAAUAGAGGAUGUUGAUGCUGCUGCCUCCAUCCAUGAGCACCUUAGUGAACUUAUAUCCUCCCACCUGAGGAGCCACCACUAAGGCCAAGUGACCCGGAUUGUCUACCCGGGGUGGGUGAUCCUCUCUACUCCACACUAUAGGCUGCUCAGACCACCGCAAGUAGCGUGGAACCGCCGGCUCGACAGCAUUCACAGCCCUCUUAUGAAGCUUCUAGUCUCGCUUACACAGACUGGUGGUGAAUACAUGGUACUGUCCACCGCUAAGCUGCUUGGGAUUGGUCUGAUAACCCCCCUGCUGCUGUUGGUGACCCUGGCCAGACUGCUGAUUAAAGCCCCAUUGACCGUUCGGAGGAUUGGAAUUUGAGCCGCCGCCUGGGCCAUGAAAACCGCCGGCGCCUGAGCCGCCGCCCGGGCCAUUGUAAUUCUUAAAGGCCUUCAUGAUUGCACAGUCCUUCCAUAGAUGAGUCGUUGGCUUCUCUCUAGAGCCAUGCCUUGGACAAGGCUCAUUCAAUAGCUGCUCCAGCGUUGGGCCUGACCCGCCGCCUCGGGGAGGGGGCCUCCCCUUACGUCGCUGGUUAUUCCCUUGUGAGCUGGCGUUGGCCACAAACUCUAGGCUGCCAUCGGCCUUGCGCUUGCCUCCUCCUUGGUUUCCCGAGUUAUGCUGAGGACCCUUGCCAUUGCCGUUCUUCUUUCCCUUCCCUGUCCUUUCAUCAUCUGAAGCGGGGUCCUUGGUACCAUCAGAAUCGGCGUACUUGACAAGAGCCGCCAUCAGUGUACCCAUAUCAUUGCAGUCGCGCUUAAGCCGCCCGAGUUUCAUCUUUAGGGGCACAAAAUGACAAUUCUGUUCCAACAUUAAGACUGCAGAGCCGGCGUCCAUCUUAUCCGAGGAGUGUAUUAUCUCCUUAACCCGGCGAACCCAAUGCGUCGUAGACUCCCCUUCCUGCUGCUUGCAGUUAGUCAAAUCCAUGAUUGACAUAGACUGCCUACAGGUAUCCUUGAAGUUUUGGAUGAACCGGGCCUUUAGCUCAACCCAAGACCCAACGGAAUUCGGUGGUAGCCCUUUCAACCAAGUGCGGGCAGUCCCAUCUAACAUCAUGGUAAAAUACUUAGCCAUGGCCGCCUCACUGACCUCCAGCAGCUCCAUAGCCAUCUCAUAACUCUUGAUCCAGGCUGCAGGUUGUAAGUCUGCUGUGUAAUUAGGCACCUUCCUUGGGCCUUUGAAGUCCUUGGGUAGACGCUCAUUGCGGAUAGCUGGCACUAAACAAGGGACACCCCCAGUCCUGGUAGGGAUACCCACGUCGACGGAAGUCGUCGGAUAAACCGGGGGGUCUGGUAAGCCGUCAAUGGAGGCACCUUCCCCGCCUCUUGCCGCGCUCUGUCCUGGUCUGCUGCGUGAAAGGCUCCGUUAUGAAUCGGGCCAUGGCCAGGGGGCGGGUCAUGGCGUCGGACGUUACUUGAACCGGUCGCUGAGACCAUGUGUCUGCUGUAACUCGGUCUCCGGCCUGGACGAGGGGUCGAGUGGAUCCUGUCUCGGCUGUAGGAAUACGCCUCUUGCUGCGCCAGUGCUGUCUGAAGGAGUUCCCUGACCCGACGGGUUUCAACAGCCGUCGGAGAGUCGCCGUCAACUGGGAGAGCCGCCAGCCGUGCCGCCGCGGCGACCAUGUUCUUCAGCGGGUUAUUAUAAUGACCCGGGGGUAUUGGUACGUACUGAGGUGGGGCAGGGGGCACAUGGGGAGGCCCCAUCACUUGUGGCUGAAUAGGGGUCCCAGACCCGGGCACUAUGACCCCUGGCGGGUUACUAGACCCUGCACCUGGCGUGUUGAAGAGGUUUCGCAGAUCUUAAACCGGAGGGAGUCGAGAUUGGGCCUUUUGAUGCCUCCUUCUCAGGACCUCAUUGGACGCGUUUUGAUCCAUGGUUAGCCGGAAGGACUGCGCUUGAAUCAACUGGGUUUGGGCGUCGAGAGCCACCCUUUCCGCAGCCAUCCUGGUCCCCUCUGCUGCCAGAUCCUCCUUGGCUUUCACUAGAUCCAAUUUUAACUGCGCCACCUCCGCAUCAUGCUGAGCUUGAUUUGUCGGGUCAACCGUAGCGGUUAACAGCGCCGUCAUCUUGUCCGUAAGAUCCAUUAGUACCUGAGUCGGAGAAGGCACCGGGUUUCCCGCUCCAGCAGCGGGGUUCUGAACAGACUGUGCACCGGCCAUAAAGACUCCAACCUGACUUGGCGGCUCAAACGGGUCCGGAAUACUGUCACCAUCGGAACAACCCAUGAGCCUGCCAUCUUGAAGUUGAUAUAACGAGUUUGACUCAUCGGUGGACGACUCGCCGUCAGAGCCGGCGGCCGCCUCAUCACCAGAUCCAGAUCGACCAGAGGGCCCUCCAUGGAUACAUCCCACAAAAGCAUGCCUUAAGGCAGGCCGGGCCCUGGCGGGUCGUGCACGCUGAGCCGUCUCGACGAGAUCGGCGCAGAGACCCGGCUCAGGGCCCGGCUCACCAAUCUUGCCAAUGAAAACAUGAAUUCCGCCAAAGGGGACCCGGUACCCGUACUCAAUUGAGCCGGCGUCGGGGCCCCAGUUUGCAUCGUCGAUGUAGAGCUUGCCGCGACGACUCUUGGUCAUCCGGCCCACAGCGUAUCCCUUGAGCCCUUCGAAGCCGCCCUUCAAGAACUCAAAUCCACCGUGCGCUGGCCCCACGGUGGGCGCCAACUGUCGUGGAAUUGUCACGGCAGAUGUCCUCGAGCUAGGACUUAGUCGUGGAGCCAUCGCAGCUAGGAAGCUUGAAGGGGUUAAUGCGGGACAAGGAACACGAGGGUUUAUACUGGUUCGGCCCCUUACGGUGAAGGUAAAAGCCUACAUCCAGUUUGAGGUGGUAUUGAUUAGGGUUACGAUCACCGGGGAGCAGAACUAUUACGCCCGGCUCUCGAUGAGAUCGUUCUCUCCUUAAACCGCUGCCGGGGCGUCCCUUUAUAUAGGGAGGCUGACGCCCUGCAGCUCUCAGAGUCCCGGCCGGCUCAUAAGAGUGUCCGGCUCGGACUCUCAACUAUUCUUGCCUUACACUACAAGUUCUACCAUAAUAAUGAUUGCAACUACGGGCUUUAAGCCAUAUCCGGGUCGUAAGCCCAUCUUUGGCCCACCAUCUUCAGGCUUGGCACCGGGCUUCUGGCAAUGACCAUAUGAGUAACCCGGCCCCUCCUGGCGGGUGACUCUAAGGUCUAUAUCCUCACAAUUCUGGUGCGGAUCUUACUGUGGUUGACCUACAAGGUCUGGUUGUAACUUGAUCCGAAGUUUCAUGAUCAUCAUCAUUAGCUUCUUCACUAAUUGGUGUAGGAAUCACUCGAACUAAUUUAUGUGAUGGACUACUUUCCAAUUCGGGAGAAGGUACAAUUACCUCAUCAAGUUCUACUUUCCUCCCACUCACUUCUUUCGAGAGAAACUCCUUCUCUAGAAAGGAUCCAUUCUUAGCAACGAAUAUCUUGCCUUCGGAUCUUUGAUAGAAGGUGUACCCAACAGUUUCUUUUGGGUAUCCUAUGAAUACACAUUUCUCCGAUUUGGGUUCGAGCUUAUCAGGUUGAAGCUUUUUCACAUAAGCAUCAUAGCGCCAAACUUUAAGAAACGACAACUUGGGUUUCUUGCCAAACCACAGUUCAUAUGGUGUUAUCUCAACGGAUUUAGAUGGUGCCCUAUUUAACGUGAAUGCAACCGUCUCUAAAGCAUAACCCCAAAACGAUAGCGAUAAAUCAUUAAGAGACAUCAUAGAUCACACCAUAUCUAAUAAAGUGCAGUUACGACAUUCGGACACCCCAUUACGCUGUGGUAUUCCAGGUGGCGUGAGUUGCGAAACUAUUCCGCAUUGUUUCAAUGAAGACCAAACUCAUAACUCAAAUAUUCACCUCCACGAUCAGAUCGUAGAAACUUUAUUUUCUUGUUACGAUGAUUUUUCACUUCAGUCUGAAAUUCUUUGAACUUUUCAAAUGUUUCAGACUUAUGUUUCAUCAAGUAGAUAUACCCAUAUCUACUCAAAUCAUCUGGGAAGGCCAGAAAAUAAGAUACCCGUCGCGAGCAUCAACACUCAUUGGACCACAUACAUCAGUAUGUAUUAUUUCCAAUAAGUCUGUUGCUCGCUCCAUUGUUCCGGAGAACGGAGUCUUAGUCAUCUUGCCCGUGAGGCAUUGUUCGCAAGCAUCAAGUGAUUCAUAAUCAAGUGAUUCCAAAAGCCCAUCAGCAUGGAGUUUCUUCAUGCGUUUUAUACCAAUAUGACUUAAAUGACAGUGCCACAAAUAAGUUGCACUAUCAUUAUUAAACUUAUAUCUUUUGGAUUCAACACUAUGAAUAUGUGUAUCACUACUAUCGAGAUUCAACAAAAAUAGACCACUCAUCAAGGGUGCAUGACCAUAAAAGAUAUUACUCAUAUAAAUAGAACAACCAUUAUCCUCUGAUUUAAAUGAAUAACUGUCUCGCAUCAAACAAGAUCCAGAUAUAAUGUUCAUGCUUAACGCUAGCACCAAAUAACAAUUAUUCAGGUCUAAAACUAAUCCCGAAGGUAGAUGUGGAGGUAGCAUGCUGACGGCGAUCACAUCGACUUUGGAACCAUUUCCCACGUGCAUUGUCACCUCGUCCUUAGCGAAUCUUCGCUUAAUCCGUAGCCCCUGUUUCAAGUUGCAAAUAUGAGCAACAGAACUAGUAUCAAAUACCCAGGCACUACUACGAGCAUUAGUAAGGUACACAUCAAUAACAUGUAUAUCAAAUAUACCUUUCACUUUGCCAUCCUUCUUAUCCGCCAAAUACUUGGGGCAGUUCCGCUUCCAGUGACCAGUCCCUUUGCAGUAGAAGCACUCAGUCUCAGGCUUAGGUCCAGACUUGGGCUUCUUCACUUGAGCAGCAACUUUCUUAUCGUUCUUCUUGAAGUUCCCCUUCUUCCCUUUGCCCUUUUUCUUGAAACUAGUGGUCUUGUUAACCAUCAACACUUGAUGCUCCUUCUUGAUUUCUAGCUCCGCAGCCUUUAGCAUUGCGAAGAGCUCGGGAAUUGUCUUAUCCAUCCCUUGCAUAUGAUAGUUCAUCACGAAGCUUUUGUAGCUUGGUGGCAGUGAUUGAAGAACUCUGUCAAUGACACUAUCAACAGGAAGAUUAACUCCCAGUUGAGUCAAGUGAUUGUGGUACCUAGACAUUCUGAGUAUAUGUUCACUGACAGAACUAUUCUCCUCCAUUUUGCAGCUGUAGAACUUAUUGGAGACUUCAUAUCUCUCAAUGCGGGCAUUUGCUUGAAAUAUUAACUUCAACUCCUGGAACAUCUCAUAUGCUCCAUGACGUUCAAAAUGACGUUGAAGUCCCGGUUCUAAGCCGUAAAGCAUGGCACACUGAACUAUCGAGUAGUCAUCAGCUUUGCUCUGCCAGACGUUCAUAACAUCUGGAGUUGCUCCUGCAGCGGGUUUGGCACCUAGCGGUGCUUCCAGGACGUAAUUCUUCUCUGCAGCAAUGAGGAUAAUCCUCAAGUUACGGACCCAGUCCGUGUAGUUGCUACCAUCAUCUUUCAACUUAGCUUUCUCUAGGAACGCAUUAAAAUUCAAAGGAACAGUAGCACGGGCCAUUUAUCUACACCAACAUAGACAUGCAAAAUACUAUCAGGUACUAAGUUCAUGAUAAAUUAAUGUUCAAUUAAUCAUAUUACUUAAGAACUCCCACUUAGAUAGACAUCCCUCUAGUCAUCUAAAUGUUCACGUGAUCCAUAUCAACUAAACCAUGUCCGAUCAUCACGUGAGAUGGAGUAGUUUUCAAUGGUGAACAUCACUAUGUUGAUCAUAUCUACUAUAUGAUUCAUGCUCGACCUUUCGGUCUUAGUGUUCCGAGGCCAUAUCUACAUAUGCUAGGGUCGUCAAGUUUAACCCGAGUAUUCUACGUGUGCAAAACUGGCUUGCACCCGUUGGAUGUGAACGUAGAGCUUAUCACACCCGAUCAUCACGUGGUGCCUCGGCAUGACGAACUGUAGCAACGGUGCAUACUCAAGGAGAACACUUGUACCUUGAAAUUUAGUGAGAGAUCAUCUUAUAAUGCUACCGUCGUACUAAGCAAAAUAAGAUGCAUAAAGGAUAAACAUCACAUGCAAUCAAUAUAAGUGAUAUGACAUGGCCAUCGUCAUCUUGUGCCUUUGAUCUCCAUCUCCAAAGCACCGUCAUGAUCACCAUCGUCCCCGGCUUGACACCUUGAUCUCCAUCGUAGCAUCGUUGUCGUCUUGCCAACUAUUGCUUCUAUGACUAUCACUACCACUUAGUGAUAAAGUAAAGCAAUUACAUGGCGAUUGCAUAUAUUACAAUAAAGCGACAACCAUAUGGCUCCUGCCAGUUGCCAAUAACUGUUACAAAACAUCAUCAUCUCAUAGCACAAUUUAUAUAUCAUCACGUCUUGACCAUAUCACAUCACAACAAGCCCUGCAAAAACAAGUUAGACGUCCUCUACUUUGUUUUUGCAAGUUUUACGUGGCUGCUAUGGGCUUCUAGCAAGAACCGUUCUUACCUACGCAUCAAAACGACAAUGAUUUUUCGUCAAGUGUGCUGUUUUAACCUUCACCAAGGACCGGGCGUAGUCAAACUCGAUUCAACUAAAGCUGGAGAAAUAGACAGCCACCAGCCACCUGUGUGGGAAGCACGUCAGUAGAACCAGUCUCAUGAACGCGGUCAUGUAGUGUCGGUCUGGGCCGCUUCAUCCAACAAUACCGCCGAGUCAAAGUAAGACGUUGCUAGUAAGCAGUAUGACUAUUAUCGCCCACAACUCAUUGUGUUCUACUCGUGCAUAUAACAUCUAUGCAUAGACCUGGCUCGGAUGCCACUUUGGGGAACGUUGUAUUUCAAAAAUUUUGCCUACGAUCACGCAAGAUAUAUCUAGGAGAUGCACAGCAACGAGCGGGGAGAGUGUGUCUACGUACCCUCGUAGACCGAAAGCGGAAGCAUUUAGUAAUGUGAUUGACGUAGUCGAACAUCUACGCGAUCCAACCGAUCCAAGUACCGAACGUACGGCACCUCCGCGAUCCGCACACGUUCAGCUCGAUGACGUCCCUCGAACUCUUGAUCCAGUUGAGGCCAAGGGAGAGUUCCGUACGCACGACAGCGUGGCGACAGUGAUGAUGAAUUUACCGGCGCAAGGCUUCGCCUAAGCACUACGACGAUAUGACCGAGGUGUGUAAUUGUAGAGGGGGGCACCGCACACGGCUAAGAGAAACUUUGGUGUGUAUUUGGGGUGCCCCCUCCCACGUAUAUAAAGGGGGGAGGAGGAGGAGGCCAGCCCUAGAGGGGGUGCACCAAGGGGGGAGUCCUACUUGGACUCCCGGUCCAAGUAGGAUUCGGUCCCUGCUUUCCUAUUCCAAGUAGGAGAAGAAGGGAAGGAGGAAGAGGAGAGAAGGAAGGAGGGGGGCGCCGCCCCCCCUUGUCCAAUUCGGACUGGGCAAGGGGGGGCGCCACCUCCUGGCCGGCCCUCNNNNNNNNNNNNNNNNNNNNNNNNNNNNNNNNNNNNNNNNNNNNNNNNNNNNNNNNNNNNNNNNNNNNNNNNNNNNNNNNNNNNNNNNNNNNNNNNNNNNNNNNNNNNNNNNNNNNNNNNNNNNNNNNNNNNNNNNNNNNNNNNNNNNNNNNNNNNNNNNNNNNNNNNNNNNNNNNNNNNNNNNNNNNNNNNNNNNNNNNNNNNNNNNNNNNNNNNNNNNNNNNNNNNNNNNNNNNNNNNNNNNNNNNNNNNNNNNNNNNNNNNNNNNNNNNNNNNNNNNNNNNNNNNNNNNNNNNNNNNNNNNNNNNNNNNNNNNNNNNNNNNNNNNNNNCCGGUACUCCGAAACUUAUCCGAGACGACCCAAACCAUUCCGGUGUCCUAAUGUAGCCUUCCAAUAUAUGAAUCUUUGUGUCUCGACCAUUUCGAGACUCCUCGUCAUGUCCGUGAUCUCAUCCGGGUCUCUGAACAAACUUUGGUUCAUUAACACACGAAACUCAUAAUACAAAUCGUCAUCGAACGUUAAGCGUGCAGACCCUACGGGUUCGAGAACUAUGUAGACAUGACCGAGACACAUCUCCGGUCAAUAACCAAUAGCGGAACCUGGAUGCUCAUAUUGGCUCCUACAUAUUCUACGAAGAUCUUUAUCGGUCAAACCACAUAACAACAUACGUUGUUCCCUUUGUCAUCGGUAUGUUACUUGGCCGAGAUUCGAUCGUCGGUAUCAUCAUACCUAGUUCAAUCUCGUUACCGGCAAGUCUCUUUACUCCUUCCGUAAUGCAUCUUCCCGCAACUAACUCAUUAGUCACAUUGCUUGCAAGGCUUAUAGUGAUGAGCAUUACCGGGAGGGCCCAGAGAUACCUCUCCGAUACACGGAGUGACAAAUCCUAAUCUCGAUCUAUGCCAACUCAACAAACACCAUCAGAGACACCUAUAGAGCAUCUUUAUAAUCACCCAGUUACGUUGUGACGUUUGAUAGCACACAAGGUGUUCCUUCGGUAUUCGGGAGUUGCAUAAUCUCAUAGUCAGAGUAACAUGUAUAAGUCAUGAUGAAAGAAUUAGCAAUAAAACUAAACGAUCAUUUGUGCUAAGCUAAUGGAUGGGUCUUGUACAUCACAUCAUUCUCUAAUGAUGUGAUCCCGUUCAUCAAAUGACAACACAUGUCUAUGGUCAGGAAACUUAACCAUCUUUGAUUAACGAGCUAGUCUAGUAGAGGCAUACUAGGGACACUCUGUUUGUCUAUGUAUUCACACAUGUACUAAGUGUCCAGUUAAUACAAUUCUAGGAUGAAUAAUAAACAUUUAUCAUGAUAUAAGGAAAUAUAAAUAACAACUUUAUUAUUGCCUCUAGGGCAUAUUUCCUUCAGGAUUACCAUAGUUAUUAUAGUAAUUUCCAGGAAACGGUCUAGGAUUAAAAUUACGUCUAUAAACAUUGUUGUUGAAAUUAUUUCUAGUGACCAAAGACACAUCAAUAGCAUAAUUAUUUUGCUCAAUCAAAGUAGAUAGUGUCACAUCAUUAGGAUCAACAUUAGCAUUUUUUACUAGCAACCAUUUUCAUAAGAGCAUCCAUUUUAUCACUCAAAGUAUUAGUUUCUUCGACAGAAUUUACAUUCUUACAAGUUGGAGUUCUUUCGGUGUGCCAUUGAGAAUAUUUUUUCAUAAUAUUAUCCAGGAGUUUUGUAGCUUCUCCCAAUGUAAUUUUCAUAAAGGUACCACCUACAGCAGAGUCUAGAAGAUUUCUAGAAACAAAGUUUAGUCCCGCAUAAAAAAUUUGUAUGACCAUCCAUAAGCUUGAACCAUGAGUGGGACAAUUUUUAAUCAUUAAUUUAAUUCUCUCCCAAGAUUGUGCAACAUGUUCAUGCUCAAGUUGCUUAAAAUUCAUAAUUUGAUUUCUAAGAGAAAUCAUCUUAGCGGGAGGGAAAUACUUGGCAAUAAAAGCAUCCUUACACUUAUCCCAAGAAUCAAUACUAUUUCGAGGCAAGGAUGAAAACCAAGUUUUAGCACGAUAUCUUAGUCGGAACGGUUAUCCACAUCUAUUUUCUUUUGCAAAUCACAUAAUUCAGUGAAAGUAUUUAGAUGGGACGCAACAUCUUCAUUAGGACGACCAGAAAAUUGUUCUUUCAUAACAAGAAUUAACAAAGCGGCAUUAAUAUCACAUUACUCCGCACUAGUGGUGGGAGGAGCAAUUCGAGUUACUAAUAAAACCAUUAUUAUUAGUAUUAGAAAAGUCACACAACUUGGUGUUUUCUUGAGACAUAGCGACAAAGCAAGCAAACUAGCAAACAAAUUUUUUGCGUUUUUGUAAAAUUGUUUUACAAGUGGGGGAGAUGAAAACAAGAGGCAAAGGCAAAUAAAAAUAAGAUCAAGUAGAUGAUAGUUUGUGUGAAGGUACUUGAUAGAUUUUGAUGAUGUCUCCCUGGCAAUGGUGCCAGAAAUUCUUCCUGCUACUUGUGAGUUGCGUUGGGGUUUUCCUCGAAGAGGUGAGGAGAUGCAGUACAAUAGAGAUAAGUAUUUCCCUCAGUAAGAACCAAGGUUAUCAAUCCAGUAGGAGAAUCACGCAAAGCCUCGUGAACAGCACCUGCACACUCAAAACCAAAUACUUGCACCCAACGCGAACAAGAGGGUUGUCAAUCCCCUUGGCGGUUACUUGCAAGGAUUAAAUCUUGUAGUGGUAGAUAAACAAAUUGCAAAGAUAAAAUAAAAGAAAGUAAAAAUUGAAGCAAAUUUAUUUUGGGUUUUUAUAUAUGAUAAAAGUAGACCUGGGGGCCAUAGUUUUUACUAGAGGCUUCUCUCUUGAACACAUAGCAUACGGUGGGUAAACAAAUUACCAUUGAGCAACUGAUAGAAAAGCGCAUAGUUAUGACAAUAUUCAAGGCAAUUAUCAUGUACAUAGGCAUCACAUCCGAGACAAGUAGACCGACUCCUGCCUGCAUCUACUACUACUCCCACCAUCGACCGCUAUCCAGCAUGCAUCUAGGGUGUUAAGUUACUAAAAACAGAGUAACGCCUUAAGCAAGAUGACAUGAUGUAGACAAAGUAAACUCAACUAAUAUGAAUAAACCCCAUCAUUUUAUCCUUAAUGGCAACAAUAUACAUGUCGUGUCCCUUUCUGUCACUCGGAUAGAGCACCACAAGAUUGAACCCAUCACAAAGCACCUCUCCCACUGAAGAUAAAUCAAUCUAGUUGGCCAAACCAAACAGAUAGAUCAAAGAGAAAUACAAAGCUAUAACAAUCAUGCAUAAUAAAGUUCAGGAAAGACUCAAUUAAUUCUCAUGAAUAUUCAGUCAUAAGCCCACAAUUCAUCGGAUCCCAACAAACACACUAUAAAGGAUGAUUACAUCAGAUAGAACUCCAAGAACAUCGAGGAGAACAUGGUAUUGAAGAUCAAAGAGAGAGAAUAAGUCAUCUAGCUACUAGCUAUGGACCUGUAGGUCUGUUGUAAACUACUCACGCAUCAUCGGUAGGCCAGCAAGGUUGACGAAGAAGCCCUCCGUGAUCAAUUCCCCCUCUGGCAGGGUGCCGAAAAAGGCCUCUAGAUGGGAUCGCGAAAGAAUAGAGACUUGUGGCAGCGGAAAAGUGUUUUGGAUGGCUCUAUGUUCGUUUCCCAAUAUUUGAGAAUUUGUAGAAGUGAAAUUAGGCCAGACGGAGCCUCGAGGGGCCCACAAGGCAACGACCCCCCUGGGCGUGCCAGGUUGCCUUGUCGUCUCCUUGUACAUUCUCUAGUCUCCUCCCAAAGCUUCCAGGGUCUCUUAUGUCCUAAAAAAUCGUUAAAAAGUUUUGUAGUGUUUAGACUCCGUUUGGUACUAAUUUUCUGGAACCAAAAACAAUCAGAAAACAACAACUGGCAUUGGGCAUUGGGUUAAUUGGUUAGUCCCAAAAAUUGAUAUAAGAUAGCAUAUAAUUGCAUAUAAAACAUCCAAGAUUAAAACUAUAAUAGCAUGGAACAAUAAAAAAUUAUAGAUAUGUUGGAGGCAUAUCACAUCAUCGUAUCUUACAUAUACUUGUGAUAUGCAUAAUUGUGAUUGGAAGUACGAUACGCUUGAUCUUGCAGGUUGGUGCACGAGUGCGAAGCUAGCCCACUUGAGCAAUCAAGCUUGCGUCUCUCCUAGCAUUUGGGCAACACGAGCUUGGUCCUGGAAAAUCAUAUUUGCUCAUUCCUUGGUUGCACAAGCCCCAUUUCUCUAUCGUGUGUGUUUCCAUGCUCAUCACCUAGCUAUUGAUCUAUUUGCAAUUUUUUGAAUCUUUUUCAACAUUUUUGUCGGCGUCCUGGGAACUGGGGUCCCCAGACUUGCCUGCCUGCGACCCACGGCGUGGCUACUCCAGCGGCCCUGUACGGCCCAACUUCAUCAGCAAACACUCAGGACCCUCGCGAGGGGCUCGCGAGGCGGACGACACAAGACCUCCUCGGGGGCAGCCUCACCAGGCUGGCUCGCGAGGGGCGGAGAGAUCAAGGCGAGGGGCACCUCGCGAGGUUCCUGUGAUGCAAGCCAUGACGACCAAGGCCAGGCGGGCGCCAGAGCGUGCAGCAUACUGGUUUCCUCUUUGGUGCUAAAGGGGCAAGCGCAGGCGAGGAGUCCCGAGGCAUCAGGCAAAGGUUUCCAUAUCGGUGCAACGAGACCAAGACCAGCAGGAUGACAGGACAGAGGUCACCGUGGAGCCCAGGACGACGUCACCACCAGAGCCUUUGGCAGGCGAAGACCACCUUUAGUCAGGAUAGCUUGUACUAGUUGUCUCCCUUCAAAUUUGGCCGUUGUUGGAUGCUACCUCUUGAGCAUGCGUUGGUUUCCCUUGAAGAGGAAAGGGUGAUGCAGCAAAGUAGCGUAAGUAUUUCCCUCAGUUUUUGAGAACCAAGGUAUCAACUAGUAGGAGAUAACACGCAAGUCACCUAGUACCUGCACAAACAAUCAAGAACCUUGCAACCAACGCGAUAAAGGGGUUGGCAAUCCCUUCACGGUCACUCGCAAAAGUGAGAUCUAAUAAAGAUAAUAAGAUAAAUAUUUUUGGUAUUUUUGUUGUAUAGAUUGGAAAGUAAAGAUUGCAAAAUAGUAAAACGAGAUGUGAUGUAAAUAAAAGAGAUGUAAUAUAAUAAGAAAGAGACCCGUGGGCCAUAGGUUUCACUAGUGGCUUCUCUCAAGAUAGCAUAUAUUAUGGUGGGUGAACAAAUUACUGCCGAGCAAUUGAUAGAAAAGCGCAUAGUUAUGAGAAUAUCUAGGCAUGAUCAUGAAUAUAGGCAUCACGUCCGUGUCAAGUAGACCAAAACAAUUCUGCAUCUACUACUAUUACUCCACACAUCGACCGUUAUCCAGCAUGCAUCUAGAGUAUUAAGUUCAUAAGAACAGAGUAACGCAUUAAGCAAGAUGACAUGAUGUAGAGGGAUAAACUCAAGCAAUAUGAUAUAAACCCCAUCUUUUUAUCCUUGAUGGCAACAAUACAAUACGUGCCUUGCUACCCCUACUAUCACUGGGAAAGGACACCGCAAGAUUGAACCCAAAGCUAAGCACUUCUCCCAUUGCAAGAAAGAUCAAUCUAGUAGGCCAAACUAAACCGAUAAUUCGAAGAGACUCGCAAAGAUAUCAAAUCAUGCAUAUAAGAAUUCAGAGAAGAACCAAAUAUUAUUCAUAGAUAAAAUUGAUCAUAAAUCCACAAUUCAUCAGAUCUCGGCAAACACACGGCAAAAGAGUAUUACAUCGAAUAGAUCUCCAAGAACAUCGUGGAGAACUUUGUAUUGAGAACCAAAGAGAGAGAAGAAGCCAUCUAGCUAAUAACUAUGGACCCGAAGGUCUGUGGUAAACUACUCACACGUCAUCGGAGAGGCUAUGGUGUUGAUGUAGAAGCCCACCGUGAUCGAUUCCCCCUCCGACAGAUUGCCGGAAAAGGCCCCAAGAUGGGAUCUCACGGGUACAGAAGGUUGCGGUGGUGGAAAAGUGGUUUCGUGGCUCCUCCUGAUGUUUUUAGGGUAUAAGAGUAUAUAUAGGCGAAAGAAGUACGUCGGUGGAGCUCCGUGGGGCCCAUGAGGGUGGGGGCGUGCCUACCCCCCUGGGCGCGCCCUCCUACCUCGUGGACGCCUUGCAGAGUUCCAGACUUCAACUCCAGAAUUGCAUUUGUUCCAAGAAAGAUCAUCGCGAAGGUUUGAUUCUGUUUGGAUUCUGUUUGGUAUUCCUUUUCUGCAAAACACUGAAAUAGGCAAAAAAACAGAAACUGACACUAGGCCUUCGGUUAAUAGGUUAGUCCCAAAAAUAAUAUAAAAGAGCAUAUUAAAGCCCAUUAAACAUCCAAAAGAGAUAAUGUAAUAGCAUGGAACAAUCAAAAAUUAUAGAUACGUUUGAGACGUAUCAAGCAUCCCCAAGCUUAAUUCCUGCUCGUCCUCGAGUAGGUAAAUGAUAAAAACAGAUUUUUUGAUGUGGAAUGAUACCUAGCAUAUUUCUCAAUGUAUUCUUCUUUAUUGUGGCAUGAAUGUUCAAAUCUGAAAGAUUCAAGAUGAAAGUUUAAUAUUGACAUGAAAAUAAUAAUACUUCAAGCAUACUAACAAAGCAAUCAUGUCUUCUCAAAAUAACAUGGCCAAAGAAAGUAUCCCUACAAAAUCAUAUAGUCUGGCUAUGCUCUAUCUUCAUCACACAAAGUAUUUAAAUCAUGCACAACCCCGAUGACAAGCCAAGCAAUUGUUUCAUAAUUUUGAUGUUCUCAAACUUUUUCAAUCUUCACGCAAUACAUGAGCGUGAGCCAUGGACAUAGCACUAUAUGUGGAAUAGAAUGGUGGUUGUGGAGAAGACAAAAAGGAGAAGAUAGUCUCACAUCAACUAGGCAUAUCAACGGGCUAUGGAGAUGCCCAUUAAUAGAUAUCAAUGUGAGUGAGUAGGGAUUUCCAUGCAAUGGAUGCACUAGAGCUAUAAGUGUAUGAAAGCUCAACAAAAGAAACUAAGUGGGUGUGCAUCCAACUCGCUUGCUCACGAAGACCUAGGGCAUUUUGAGGAAGCCCAUCAUUGGAAUAUACAAGCCAAGUUCUAUAAUGUAAAAUUCCCACUAGUAUAUGAAAGUGACAACAUAGGAGACUUUCUAUCAUGAAGAUCAUGGUUCUACUUUGAAGCACAAGUGUGGCAAAAGGAUAGUAACAUUGUCCCUUCUCUCUUUUUCUCUCAUCAUCAUCAUCAUCAUCAUCAUCAUUAUUAUUAUUAUUAUUAUUAUUAUUAUUAUUUGGGCCUUUUUUUCAUGGCCUCUUUUUUUUCUCUUUUUUCGUCCGGAGUAUCAUCCCGACUUGUGGGGGAAUCAUAGUCUCCAUCAUCCUUUUCUCACUUGGGACAAUGCUCUAAUAAUGAUGAUCAUCAGACUUUUAUUUACUUACAACUCAAAAAUUACAACUCAAUACUUAGAACAAAAUAUGACUCUAUGUGAAUGCCUCCGGCGGUGUACCGGGAUAUGCAAUGAAUCAAGAGUGACAUGUAUGAAAGAAUUAAGAAUGGUGGCUUUGCCACAAAUACGAUGUCCACUACCUGAUCAUGCAAAGCAAUAUGACAAUGAUGAAGCGUGUCAUAAUAAACAGAACGGUGGUAAGUUGCAUGGCAAUAUAUCUCGGAAUGGCUAUGGAAAUGCCAUAAUAGGUAGGUAUGGUGGCUGUUUUGAGGAAGGUAUAUGGUUGGUGUAUGAUACCGGCGAAAGGUGCGCGGUAUUAGAGAAGCUAGCAAUGGUGGAAGGGUGAGAGUGCGUAUAAUCCAUGGACUCAACAUUAGUCAUAAAGAACUCACAUACUUAUUGCAAAAAUUUAUUAGUUAUCGAAACGAAGUACUACGCGCAUGCUCCUAGGGGGAUAGAUUGGUAGGAAAAGACCAUCGCUCGUCCCCGACCGCCACUCAUAAGGAAGACAAUCAAUAAAUAAAUCAUGCUCCCACUUCAUCACAUAACGGUUCACCAUACGUGCAUGCUACGGGAAUUGCAAACUUCAACACAAGUAUUUCUCAAAUUCACAACUACUCAACUAGCAUGACUCUAAUAUCACCAUAUUCAUAUCUCAAAACAAUUAUCAAGUAUCAAACUUCUCAUAAUAUUCAAUGCACUUUAUAUGAUAGUUUUUAUUAUACCCAUCUCGGAUGUUCAUCAUAUUAGGACUAGUUUUAUAGCCAAGGCAAACUACCAUGCUGUUCUAAAAGACUCUCAAAAAUAAUAUAAGUGAAGCAUGAGAUAUCAAUAAUUUCUAUAAAAUAAAACCACCACCGUGCUCUAAAAGAUAUAAGUGAAGCACUAGAGCAAAAUUAUCUAGCUCAAAAGAUAUAAUGAAGCACAUAGAGUAUUCUAAUAAAUUCCGAUUCAUGUGUGUCUCUCCGAAAAGGUGUGUACAUCAAGGGUGAUUGUGGUAAACUAAAAAGCAAAGACUCAAAUCAUACAAGACGCUCCAAGCAAAACACAUAUCAUGUGGUGAAUAAAAAUAUAGCCUCAAGUAAAGUUACCGAUGGACGAAGACGAAAGAGGGGAUGCCUUUCGGGGCAUCCCCAAGCUUAGGCUUUUGGUUGUCCUUGAAUUUUACCUUGGGGUGCCUUGGGAAUCCCCAAGCUUAGGCUCUUGCCACUCCUUAUUCCAAAAUCCAUCAAAUCUUUACCCAAAAACUUGAAAACUUCACAAUACAAAACUUAACAUAAAAAUCUCAUGAGCUCCGUUAGUGAAAGAAAACAAACCACCUCCAUAAGGUACUGUAAUGAACUCAUUAUUUAUUUAUAUUGGUGUUAAACCUACUGUAUUCCAACUUCUCUAUGGUUUAUACCCUCCGAUACUAGUCAUAGAUUCAUCAAAAUAAGCAAACAACACACGAAAAACAGAAUCUGUCAAAAACAGAACAGUUUGUAGUAAUCUGUAUCAGACGUAUACUUCUGGAACUCCAAAAAUUCUGAAAUAAAUUUCUGUUCGUGAGGAAUUUUUCUAUUAAUCAUCUGCAAAAAUAAUCAACUAAAUAGCACUCUCCAGUAAAAAUGGCAGCUAAUCUCGUGAGCGCUAAAGUUUCUAUUUUUUUUACAGCAAGAUCAUAAAGACUUCACCCAAGUCUUCCCAAAGGUUCUACUUGGCACAAACAAUAAUUAAAACAUGAAAACACAUCUAAACAGAGGCUAGAUGAAUUAUUUAUUACUAAACAUAACCAAAAAUCAAGAAACAAAAAUAAAA